rnacentral:lncRNA from 1 species
ACAAGUAUAAGUCACCACCACCUCCUUCCCCAAUUUACAAGUCACCAUCACCACCUUCUCCAGUAUACAAAUUACCUCCACCACCUCCUCCAGUUUACAAAUCUCCACCACCAUCAAUUUAUAAAUACAAGUCUCCUCCACUACCUCCUCCAGUGUACAAGUCAUCACCACCACCUGCUUACAAGUCUCCACCUCUUCCAGUUUACAGUUCCCCACCACCACCAAUCUACAAGUCUCCACCUCCACCCUACCAUUACUACUACAAUUCUCCUCCUCCUCCUCCUCGUCACUACUAAGCAAUUGUAUGCAAGUUUUUGAGGUAAUAACGCUUAACCAAUAAACUAACUUUCGCAUGAUAAAACUUAUCUCUAUCAAGACAAACUGCCAUGUGUAUCAUGCCAAAUACGUACACCUAGAUCCAUGAAAAUGAAUGGUAGAAAAUUUUCUUAAGAACUAAGGAACAGCAUUAGUAUUCCCUCUGCUUCCAAAAACUUGUGUAUUAAAUAGAUUAAUGAAUUGUUUAACAUGCUCAUUUACUUGAAAAUACACAAUACCCAUAACCUACUGAAUUUUUUGCAGGAAAAGGGAAAGACAAUCUGUGUUUGAGAGCUUCAUGAAGAUGUUGAAGAAUAAGAAUAAAAGCCCAAUGCGAGGAUGUUUCAAGUUUUUCUAUGUUUCCACUUUAAUUUGUAAAUUGAAUUUUGUGACUCAAUUAAUUCCCUGUUUGUGGGGUACGUGUUGUUUUACGUACCAUGCCGUACAGGUUUGUAAGGAUUUCUAUCCUAUUGGCAAAAGUCGGUUCCAUACAAUUAAUCAAUUCAUUUCACUUCUAUUGGCUCUACUAUUUAUGCAUGUUACGACAUUUUUUCUCUCUUUCCCUUAUAUUUUGCCUUUAAUAUUAUUGAAUCAAUAUUAAUAAUGGGCCUUUUUCUUAAAAUUAUACUAUUAUACAUAGGUUGUUUGGUCUAACGCUAAAUUCAUGUUUGUCUUUCUUUUAUUCCCUUUACAUCUCAAAGUAUACUAUAGUUUGUAAUCAUUGUGGUGAUGAUAUUGCCAGCUGGUACUUAUAGUUUAAGGCAGAGACAUGAUAUUAACAACUAUCUCAUUGAAACAUAAAGAAAAAUCAUGACAAGUGUGAGUCUUGGUUAAUGCACAAUUUGUUAGUGGAAUUUAUAUUUAUAAAACUCAAAAAAAAAUUUUGACAAUGCUAUUACUAAUUAAUUAAGGACUUUAUUGCUAUAAUUUAUCGCUUACUAGUUUAAACUAUAAAUGAUCUCAAUACUUUUCUCCAUGAUGUCGAUUUCUUUAGAUUACGAAAGGGAAAAAUUAGUGACAUAUCCCUUACUGAUUACAACAUCAGCAAAAAUUAGUUAUAAAUUUUUCCGGUGGUUUUAAAUCCCUCGGGCACUAAGAUUUUUUGCACAUCGAGUGAAUUGAGGAACAUAGGCAAUUCGUUCUGCAUACCAAGUCCUUGUUUAAGAUGCAAGUACUAAAAUGCAUCCACUUCAUUAAUUUGGGAAAUUGCCAUAGUUUUUUUUAAGCAUUUUGAUUUUUUACAUGAUUCAAAAUUUUCUUAUUGGAUACAAUCACUUUGUAUCAAGAACAUUUUCAAUCAUCCUUUUUAUCUUCUCAAUAAGAAAAUAAAAAUUUAUUCAUGCUUUUCUAACAUAUCCAAUCAUUGAUCUGAAAAAUAAAGAAUUUAAAAAAAAAGACAUUUUCAAUCAUUGCUUACAGGGCAACUUCCCCAUGUGAACCUCUUCAAACAAAGCCAAUAAUAUGAAGGAACAUCUAAAUACACUUUUGCCCUAAAGGCUGGUUGCCUUGGGGUCAAAAUUUAACCUUCGGGAGUAUAAUUACCCUGCCAAAUUUAUUAUUUUUUAUGGGUAUAUAGUUCCAAUUUUUCCUCCUGUUAAGCUUAUAAAUAUAUUAUCACCCAGAAAAUAAAGGAAUCUUGAAUACUAACAUGUCCAUUUACUUGAGUUGUCAUCAAUUUGGCUACUUCGAUUCCAUGAGGGCAAUCCAAUUCACACUUGCUAGAGAAAAUGGUGAUAAAGGCACAAAGAAAAUUAUAUGUAAUAUUGAUUGGUAGUAACCACCUUGUAUUGAUCCCACUAUUGUGGAUACUCGUGCUCUUAUGAAAAAAAAUUAUAAAAAAUUAGCAAAAUUUAAAAGAACAAAGUAAAUUUAUUCGUACAAAUCAGUCAAAGAAGUAGCAUUUUAAAGACCAUGAUGAAAUUAAUACUUUCAAGGUCUCUAUUAGGAAGACUUCCUUUGUUGGUGAAACUACACUAGGUACGGUUACAUGCAGAUGUUUACUGUUUUGGUACCUAAUUUCCUUGCCUUGAGUUGGGUGCAGAUGUUUAUAUUACAAAUAGAUGGUAUCAUAAAUUUGUUGUAUUAACGUCUGUUCUUUUUUUUCUUCCUUAAGUUUUUUUCUUUAUUCUCGUGACUUCAAAAAUACGAACUCAAGAAAUUAACUGCUUCGACAUUAAGGUAUAACUUCACAACUAGAGCCAAUAGAAAUCGUCAAAUGAUUUUUUGACAUCCAAAUUAAGCAAUAAAUUUUGUUUUCAUUUCACGGGAGAUUUUAUAGUUUCUUUUGGGUAUCAUACCUACAAGUGAUAAUUGUCAUUGGAUAGUGAAAGAAGUGUUAAUGAUUGUAAGAUUAAAUAUUGAAAAUUUAAACUAUUUAUCUUUAUUGAGAGAUACAACUUAAAGAAUCGUAUCCAAAAGAGACUAUAGAAUUUUCUCUGUUUUUCAUCAUCUGUAGACAUAAACUUUCUACGGUUGAUGUACUAUAAGGAAAUUUUGCCUAUACAAUGUGAUACCAUUUUUUCAAAAAGACAAGAUGGCAAAUUGCCCCCUUGAACGGAAAAAAUCAUGAUCUUUCCUCAAACUAGUCUACUUGUCAAUUCUUUGAAAAAGAAUACACUGCCCCGCAGAAUUCUAGAAAGUUAGGCAAAACUAGACAAGUUGACAGCUAUAAUCAUACCCAAGAUCAGGAACAAGCAGUUACACAUUUCAAAAUUCGCUGCUGCAACAACUAAUUUGAUGACUUACAACACUAAAUGGUCAAACUUUGAAUGGCAAUGAAUCUUUUGUUGUACAUCAUGAUGUAAUUUUCAUGUUACAUAAUAGAUUGAUAUCUAUGUUCUUUAAAUUAUCAUAAUAAUUAAAUUUAACUGAUAAAAAGAACACAUAUCAAUACACAAAAGUGUGUAACGUGAAUGUUAUAUUAGUGUAUUGCAGAAGACCUAUAGUCUCUUCACAUCUCUUCCUGCAUCUUUUAUGUUUUAUUACCUCCAAAAGCCUUUACAGGGUCUUUACCCUAAAAAUCAAUUCACCGACUCGCAUUUGAUGUCAGAAAUUCUUAAGACGAAUUCUACUUUACUCAAAGAUUGACUGUUAAUAAUGAGACAACGACCAUUUUGUAUUAUUACACCGUCCUUCUUGAUAGGCAAAAGAAAUAGAGAGGAAAGCGGGUCCGUAUAUGGUCUUUUAUUCAUAGAUAAUACAACAUUACGCCAUCGAGCAUUCACACAAUAUUUCAAAGUCAUUGCAUGCCUAAAGCCCCGCUUGAUAAUCCAAUUUCAUACUUAAAUUUAAUGGAUUCAAAUUUUAACACAUUCAAAUUGUUUGAUAACAAAAAAUUGAACGUCUAAAUUAAUUAAGUAACACUAAAUUUUUUAGACAAAACUUGCUCCCAAAAUUAAGUGAUAAGCUAUAUCACUUAUCACUGAAUGUGAUAUGCAUUCAAAUGUAUUAUAUUUAAUACUUAAUAAUUUAAUAAUUUAAUGGAUUCAAAAUUCAGAUUUUAGAUUUCAGUUUUAUCAAACAUACCCUAAGUUGCAAAAUAAUACCAAAACUUGUUAUUAUAUAGCUUGAGAUUCAAAAAUUUAGAGCAUAAUUCUCAACCUAACACAAUUGAAUAAUGAAUAUUCACGAUUGUCAAAUCUAUCAAAGUACAAUUUGAGGACAACCCAUUCCAACGCGUACACAAUUUCUCACUUUUCUAAAGUUGUUGAGAGCUGUUAAAAGAGAUUUACCAUGUUUACAUCUUCCAAGUCUUGGGAGUAAAAAAUGAAGCCACCGAGUGCUAUAAAAAGGGGGCUAGAGGCUGCCUAGAAGCAUAUCAGCCUAAAACAAGAAUUUGUAGUAACAAUGGGGAGCAAAGCAAAAGCAACGGGGUCUAGGCUGACUCCUCUUCUUACCACUGUUUUAGUGGUAUUUGUCGCCCUUGGCUUGCCCUUGGAAACUGCAGCUGAUUAUUACAAGUAUUCAUCUCCUCCUCCUCCUCCUUACCACUAUUCUUCACCACCACCUCCAGUGUAUUCACCUCCACCAACCCCUGCUUAUAAGUUACCCCCACCAUCUCCUCCAGUUUACAAGUCCUCACCACCACCUUACCACUACUCACCACCUCCGGUGUAUUUACCUCCACCAUCUCCAGUUUACAAGUCACCACCACUACCCCCUCCGGUAUACAACUCCCCGCCUCCACCAGUGUACAAAUACAAGUCCCCACCACCACCUCCUCCAGUUUACAAAUCUCCACCGCCACCAGUUUACAAAUACAAGUCACUCCCACCACCUCCUCCGGUAUACAAGUCUCCUCCGCCACCUGUUUACGAGUACAAGUCUCCUCCACCACCUCCUCCAGUGUACAAGUCCCCACCACCUCCAGUUUACAAGUACAACUCACCUCCACCUCCUCCCCCAGUUUACCUGUCUCCACCUCCACCCUAUCAUCACUACUACGGUUCUCCUUCUCCUCACCACUACUAAGCAAGUGCAUAAGUUUUGAGGUAAUAAUACCUAUCCAAAACUUUAUCAACACAAACUGCCAUGUAUAUCAUGCUAAGGACGUACACUUGAUCCAUGAAAAUGACUAGUAGAAGAUUUUUUUUAAGAACCAAAGAAAUACAUUAUUUUUUCGGUCUGUUUUCAAGAAUUUGAGCAGUAUACAGAUUAAAGAGUGUUUUUUUUUUUGUAAACUUGCUUGUCAACUUAAAAAUGCACAUAGCUGAAAGCCAACUGAAUAUUUGCAGGCAAAGGAGAAGGCAAUCGGUGUUUGAGACCUUCAAGAAGAUGUAGAAGAAUAAGAAUAAAAGCCCAAUGCGAGGAUGAUUCCAAGUUUCUACGUUACCAUUUCUACAUCUAAAUUGACUUUAGCUCCUGAGUUCCAUGUUUAUGGGGUUUGUACCGUUUUACGUACCAUGCAGUACAUGCUUGCAAGGUUUUCUGUCCUGUUGGCAAACUGCAGGUCCAUAUAAUAAAUGAAUACUAUUUACAUUACGACACUUUUCUCUUUUUCUCUUAUAUUUUGUCUUUAAUAUUGUUGAUCAUUUUUUUUUUAUCAAAAGCAUCAAAUGCUUAGGUAAUUUGGUCUAAUGCUAAUUGUUUUACUUUUAUUUUUCACCUACACCCCUUUUCAACUCAAAGGAUGCUAUAGUUUGUGAUAAUUGUUUAAGACCGAAGCAUGAUACUAAUAAAUAUCUCAUUGAAAGUCAAGGAAACUAACAUUAGGAAAAGUUUAAAUCUUGAUUUGAUGAAACUAUUUAUUCGUGGAAUUUAGAGAUACAAAACUCAAAUUGUGACGGUGUUGUUGCUAAAUUAUUAAGGACAUUAUCACCAUUAUUUUUCCCUGAUCACUAGUUUCAACUGCAAUGAUCUCAAUCUUUUUGUGACUAAUUCUUUCCUUAAUAAUUUAUAAAGACAAAACUCACAAAGAAUAUGUGACUAAUUCUUUCCUUUCGUCUUCUAAAGAAAAUGCCAACUGUUAGUUUAUCAAGGGGAAAAAGGAUCGACAUCAGUUAUUAUUGAAACUAGUAAGGAAUAAAUAAUGGUGAUAAUGUCCUUAAUAAUUUAACAACAGCACCAUCAGAAUUUGACUUUGAGCUUCGGUCUUAAACAAUGAUCACAAACUACAGCAUCCUUUGAGUUGAAAAAGGAAGUAGGUGAAAAGAAAAGUAAAAAAUACAAUUAGCAUUCCCUCAAAUUGUAGAAAGUUAGGUAGCAUUAUAGACAAGUUGAUAGCGGCAAUUUUACAUUUCAAACUUCACCUAUUCAAUAACUAAUUCGAUGGCUUGCUACAUGGUCAAUCUUUGGACCCCUUCCUGCCUCCAGAUAUCCCUUUCCUCAAUCAGGGGCUUCUACAAUUACCAGUUUCAAUUGUAUGGUAUAGUGUAAAUAUCAACAAAUUAGAUGUAGAUGCUAACAUAAUAAAUGUGAAUGCUAAGACAGCAACAUACAAUCGAACCUGCAAUUGUAUGAACCCCAAUCUCGCUUCCUAGUCCACCAUCUUUCUCUAGGUAAUAAUCUCCCUUCUAAUUUAUUCACAAAAUGCACCUUUCAUCACCUCCAAUAGCGUCGACAUGAUCUUUACCCUAGAAGACUAUUCACCGACUCUCAAUUGACGUCAGAAAAUCUAAGAGUAAUUCUACUUUACCCUAAGAUUGAUAUCAACAAGACAAGGACAAUUUAGAAUUAUUACACGCCUCUUCUUAAUAGGAAAAAGAAAUAGAGAAGAAAGUCAGGCCAGGUCUAAUUUCUUUUCAAAGGCAAUACAACAUUACGAAAUCAAGCAUUCAUUCAUACAAAUAUUUCAUAGUCACCGGUUUGCUGAGUAGAAAAAUUUAGACAAAAACUUAAUAUUAUAUUGUUUAAGAGUUAACAAUUUAGAGCUUAAUCUCCUUGUACUUUGGAGUUAACAAUUUAGAGCUUAAUCUCCUUGUACUUUGGACUAAACUUGAACGUGAAAGGAAAUCCCAAAACCAUAUUGGGCAUGAAUUCACACUUAAUAUACCCAAUAAAAGAUGGCGACUGGUGAAAGGCAGUGGAGACUGGUGGAGAGAUUUGAGGAAUAGAAGCAGACGGAAAAGCAACAAAUUUUUGCCGAAAAACGGUCACUUUCAUGGUUAAUUUUGCUACUCUCCAAUUGUACUUGACCAAUUACAACAAUUUCAUGGAGUUUGAUACGUGAAAAGAAUUUUUUAUAAAUUUUAUUUUGAUCCAUAAUGUUAUCUUUACAUAUAUAAAACAUUUUACAAUUUUGAUUUUGGCGCAGCUAACUUUUGGUUAACAAAAAUGCUCAUGUUUAAAAAACCAGAAAUAAAACAAAACAAGAAACAAAAGAAAUAAGAGGGUAGCAUAGACAUUUUGGAUUUUUCCGUUAAUUUGGAUGAUUUCCACCCACGUUCUAAUUUAAUCCAAAACACAAAGGAAUUACGUAGAGGUUUUAAAUAAUCAGGGAGCUUCAUGAUCGAACCCCAAACCACGUGAUAGCAUACAAGAGUUCUAUUUCACUAUCGGUAGACAAAGACUUUCUAUGGUUGAUGUACCGUAGGAAAAAAUCUGCCUAUACAACGUGAUAGCAUUUUUUCAAAAACACAAGAUGGAAAAUUGCCCCCUUAAACGUGGAAAUUCAUGAUCUUUCCUCGAACAAAGAAUACUCACGCCUAUUCAAGAUGGAAAAUUGCCCCCUUAAACGUCUAUUUGUCAAUUCUUGAAAAAAGAAUACUCACGCCUAAAACACGGCCUCUUCAUCUGCAGAAUUCUAAAAAGUUACGUAAACUCUAUAAACAAGUUGAUAGGUACAAUCGUACCCAAGAUCAAGUACAGAUAGUUGUACAUUCACUGCUGCAAUAACUAAUCUGAUGACUUACAAACAUAUCAUGGUCAAUCGUUGAAUGGUAAUGAGUCUUUUGUUAUGCAUUAGUAUUAGUGUGUACACUCUAAUAGAUUGAUACUUAUACUCUUUAAAUUAUCAUAAUAAUACCCUUAAUUAACUUUAACUCUUAAAAAGAAUACGUGUUAAUACACGAGAGUGUGUAACCUGAAUUGUUACUUAUACAUUAGUGUGUAAUAGAUAGGGAUGGCAGUGAGGGCGAGUGCCCGCGGGGGGCUCUCGGGGCGGGGGCGGGGGAGAAUUUUUUCCCCCCGUUUAGAAACGGGGCAGGGGACGGGGGAGUAUACCCCCGCCCCAUCCCCCGCCCCGCCACCCGCAAAAAAAAUUAUAUAUAUAUAAUUAUAUAUAAUAUGUAAUUUAAUUAGUUAUAAACUUAUGAUAAUGAUAUUAUUAGUUAGAUGUAUUAUAUAAUGUAUAUUAGUGUAUGUAAUAUAAUUAAUAUUAUCAAUUAUACGAAUAAUUAGACAUGUCCACUAAUAGAGUUUAUUAAUUAGUUAUACUAAAUUUACUAAUACAUUUGUACUAAAUUUCUAAUUACACUUAAUAGAAUAACACUUUUUUCUAAAAAAAAAAGCACAAACACAAUAAUGAAUUAGUGAUUGUAUUUGUACCAAAAGUGAAAACUUAACUAUUUUAGUUGUAUUUAUUUCAUCAUGUUGGAUUGUAUUCAAAUAAUUUUUGUUUGAUUGUUUUUAUGAGUUUCAAUUGUAAAAUUAAAAUGAAUAAUAACUUGAUGAUGUGUUGAUAUUUUAGUACUUGAUUAUUUAUUGAUUUAACUAUAAUAAAAUUUUAUUUUAUUAAAAUUUAACUAUAAUAAAAUUUUAUUAACCAAACGAGUUAUUAAUCCCGCGGGGGCACCCACGGGGGAAGCGGGGCGGGGCGGGGGAGUGGGAGGCGGGGGACGGGGCGGGGGUGGGGGGAGUUGUAGGUAGCGGGGCGGGGGAUGGGGGAGGGGUCCCCCGCCCCAACCCCGCCAUCCCCCGCCCCGUUGCCAUCCCUAGUAAUAGACUGGCAAGCAUUGUGGUGGUCAUUGAGAACUUACUGGAGAAAUAGUCCUAUAAGCUGUUCAAUGAGCAAUCACAACUUGCUAAUUGGAUGACUAAUAUAGCUCUAGCUGUAAUGUUUUAAUUAAAUUACAUCACUAACGUUGGGAUGACUUUUUAACCAAAAAAAAAUGCCUUAGUUCAAGCUUUUCCCUUUAUUGUGCAUUUUUUAAAGCAUUUGAUAGGCACUGCAAAUCUGUCAUUUUGGACAUUUUAUUAUUGACUAACAAUGAAAGCCGUGACGUCUACCCAUAACCAACACAAGAUUAAAUUAAUAUUAGAAAAAAUAAUUGAGUAAUUGGAAAAAAAAAAAGAGACUCAUUUUCAUUGAAACCCACCGACAAACUAAACGUGUCCAUGGCUUUUGAAUAGUGCAUUCAACGUUUAAUUGUAUAGUCCAGUUCAUUGCAGAUUACAUGGAGUAAAGAUUGUGCUCUUUCCUUUUUCACCCCUUUUGGAAUCGAUACUGUGGAGAAUUGGGUUUUUCCCUUCUUUUUUUCUUUUCUUUCCUUCUGUGCUUUGCAAAACAUAGGUAAAAAUAUGAAAUCCGAAGCAUUCUUUAAUUGGGAUUAAGUAUUGUUGUUGAAAUUAAAAAGAAAAAAGAAAGAACAACAAAAUUCCCAAUCUGGGUUGAUUGUUGAGCUCUAGAUUGGUUGCAUCGUGCUUCCAUAGAAGCUCUCUUAGUGUGAUACACUGCUUUCAAUCAGUUUAACACGGGAAAAAAAAAAAAAGAGAUGAAAAGCAAAUUUGGUGGGGAUAAUUUCAGAAACCUCCCCUGAAGAUUUUGACUAUUCUACUGGUCUCCCUUCAGAUUUUAAAAAUUACACUAAUCUUCCUUGAAGUUAAUUAUCUUGUAACAUUUAAAUUCAAUCAAUAAUUUAAAAAAUGAUAUUAUGAGAGAGAAAAUAAUGAUUUUAUCAUUGCCCCCCAUCUUACUACAUUAUUUAAUUAAUUUAAUAGCAACCCACACAUUAAAGAAAAAUAUUAAAAUUUGUUGUUUAUCAUUAAAGAUCAAAUCGCUUAUAACAUCAAAUAAUAGUAUAUUAUUUAUAUUUUUCACUCAAUAUAAUAUCCAAAUUACUCUUUUCAAUUACAUACCCAUUGUUAGACAAUCAACAACAAAUAACCAAAAAAUUUGCAACCAAAAUAUUACAAAAAAAUAAACUUUAACAUAUAAAUAUUCUUAUCAACAUAUUAAAGUUAGUUACUGAAAUUUUUAUGCUGUUAAACUUCACUCUUUUUGGUUACAGAUUUUUUUGAUUAUUUGUUAUUAAUUAUGUUUGAUGAUGGAUUUAUAAUUGAAAAGAACAAUUUGAAACUUACAUUAAGUAAAAUAUAUAGAGUGAUAUACUAUUUUUUAUAACAUAUGUGAUUCAAUCCUUCUUGAUAGGAUUGGUAAUAGAGGUAGAGGGGGGAGCCGGCUGCAUCCGGUCUACUUUUCAUAGAUAGUACAAUAUUGCGAAAUCGAUCGCAUUCACGCAAUAUUAUUUCCAAGUCAUUGCAUGGCUAAGCUGCAAAAAAAGUACGAACACAUGUUAUUAUAUAGCUUACGAUUCAAAACUUUAGAGCAUAACCCUCCACCUAACACAAUUGAAUAAUGAACAUUCACGUUUGUCAAAUCUGUCAAAGCACAGUUUGAGGACAACCCAUUCCAACCUGCAAAAGAUUUUUUACUUUUCUAAAGUUGUUGAGAGCUGUAAAAAGACUUACCAUGCUUGCAUCCUCCGAGCCUUGGGAGUUAAAAAUGAAGGCACUGAGUGCUAUAAAAAGGGGAAUAGAGGCUGCCUAGAAGCAUAUCAGCCUAAAACAAGAAUUUGUAGUUAAGAUGGGAAGCAAAGCAAAAGCAAUGGGGUCUGGGCUGACUCCUCUUCUUGCCACUGUUUUAGUGGUGUUUGUUGCUCUUGGCUUGCCCUCACAAACUGCAGCUGAUGAUCACUACAAGUAUUCAUCUCCUCCUCCUCCUUACCACUAUCCCUCACCACCACCACCAGUGCAUAUACCUCCACCUCAUCCUGUUUACAAGUACAAAUCUCCACCACACCCCCAGUACAAGUAUAAGUCACCACCACCACCUCCUCAUCCGGUAUACAGUCUCCUCCGCCACCACACACCCAGUUUACAAGUACAAGUCACCACCACCACCUCCUCAUCCGGUACCACACCCAGUUUACAAGUAUAAGUCUCCUCCGCCACCAGUUUACAAAUACAAGUCUCCUCCACCACCACCUCCAGUGUACAAAUACAAGUCUCCACCACCACCAGUUUACCACUACAAGUCUCCACCACAGUUUACAAAUACAAGUCUCCACCACCACCCCCAGUUUACAAAUACAAGUCUCCACCACCACCAGUUUACCACUACAAGUCACCACCACCUCCUCCCCCAGUUUACAAAUACAAGUCUCCACCACCUCCUCACCACUACUAAGCAAUUGCUUCUGAGGUAAUAACACUUGUUCAAUAUACCCACUUCUGCAUGAUAAAGCAUAUCUCUAUCAACACAAACUGUCAUGUCUAUCAUGCUAAGUGCCUUCACUUCAUCCACCAAAAUGACUGCUAGAAAAUUUUUUUUAUGUUACCAAAGAAAGGCAUCAUUUUUUCCCUCUGUUAUCAAGAACUUGUACAGUAUAUAGAUUAAAGAGUAUUUUUUUAACUAGCUUAUCAACUGAGAAAUGCAUAUAGCUGAUAGCCAGCUGAAUAUUUGCAGGCAAAGGAGAAGGAAACCAGUGUUUGAGACCUUCUUGAAGAUGUAGAAGCAUAAGAAUUAAAGCCCAAUGUGAAGAUGAUGAUUUCAAGUUUUUCUACGUUACCAUUUCUUUAUCUAAAUUGGUUGUAGCGCCUUAGUUCCUUUGUUUAUGGGAUUUGUAUCGUUUUACGUACCAUGCAGUACAUGUCAUGUUUGUAAGGUUUUCUAUCCUGCCGGCAAACCGCAGGUUCCAUGUAAUAAAUCAAUACUAUUUAUAUUACGACACUUUUCUCUGUUUCUCUUAUAUUUUGUCGUCUUUAAUAUUCUUAAUCAUAUUUUUAACAAAAAUAUUCAAACACUUAGGCAAUCUGGUCUAAUGCUAAUUGUAUGUUUUACUUUUCUUUUUCACCUGCUCCCCUUUUCAACUCAAAAGGAUGCAAUAGUUUGUGAUCACUGUUUAAGACGGAAGCAUGAUACUAAUGAAUAUCUCAUUGAAACUCAAGGAAACUAACAUUGCGAAAAGUGUAAAUCUUGAUUUGAUGCAACUAUUUAUUCGUGGAAUCUAUAGUUACAAAACUCAAAUUCUGACUGCGCCAUUGAUAAAUUAUUAAUGACGCUAUCAUCAUUAUUUAUCCCUAACUAGUUUCGACUACAACUGAACCCAAUAUUUUCCCCAUGAUAAAAGUUUUUGACUAUUUUACUGGCCUCUCUUCAAAUUUUAAAAAUUACACUAAUCUUCAUUGAGAUUAAUUAUCUUGUAACAUUUAAGUCCAAUUAAUAAUUAAAAAAUGAUAUUAUGAGAGAGAAAAUAAUAUAAUUUUAUCAUUGCCCCCCAUCUUGCUAUAUUAUUUAAUUAAUUUAAUAGCAACCCACACAUUAAAGAAAAAUACUAAAAUUUGCUGCUUUUCAUUAAAGAUCAAAUUGCAUAUGCCAUAAAACAUAGUAUAUCAUUCUAUAUGUUUCACUUAAUGUAAGAUCCCAAUUGUUCUUUUCAAUUACAAACCCAUUGUCAAUAACAAAUAACCAAAAAAUUUGCAACCAAAAUAUUACAAAAAAAAACUUCAACAUCAUAAAUAUUCUUACCACCUCUAGUGCAUUCACCCUCAUAAAAUAAUUCAAGACCCUACUGUCAUAAAAUGACUGAUCAACUCCCGUAAACCUAAUUUGACAACAUUUAAAUGGAGAACUUUAGCUAAAAGAAUUAUGGUCAAGCUAAAGAAAAAACCAGUUAUUUUCCAACAUAUGCAAUCAUUGAUCAGGGAAAAAAAAAAGAGCAAAAAGACAUCUUCAAUCAUUUAAUAGCUUACAGGGCAAAUUAACCCCUAAGCGAAAACUGGUUGCUCUAGAAUCAAAAUUUUACUUUAGUUACCCAGGCAACUUUUUUGUUGCUUUUUUUUUUUUUUUCCUUUAGUUUUGCCCCCUCUGUCAAGCUUAUAAAAUUAUUAAGAUAAUAAAAGUGCCUUGAAUAGUAUUAAUAUAUCCAUUGACUUGAGCUGUCGUCAGUUUGCGAUUCCAUGAGGCCUUUUCAAAGUACUCAGAAAAUGGGGAGUCAUGAAAUCCAUUUGUUCUAUUCAUUGCUAAGAUGCUUUUCUCUAUAAAGAGACUUCCUAACGAAAAUACUUUGUAGAUUUCUUUACUCCAAGUGGUGCAUGGAAAAUUAAUAUUUUCAAUUAUCAAAUAAAAUUCCCUUUUUUCGGCGUAGAUUUCAUCCAUCCAGCUGUUAACACAUUCUAUAAAUCCGAAUUGACUAAUCUUUUCGUUUCCAUUUUCCAACUUGCGAAUACGGCAUAUAGUGUCUGCUAAACACUAUAUAUUCUCUGCCAAAUAUGAAUACAUAUCACUUUUCUGAGCAAGUGCAGAGUCAUUAUCAUUUUUAUUCCCACCUAACAAAUUAGGGAUAAAAAAGUUAAUAAUCUUUACAUGCUAUCAGGUCACAAGUUAAUAAUCUUUUAAAGAACAUGUUAAAUUAAUUUAUUGGUAUGAAUAGUAGUCAAAGAAGUAUGUUAAAGUUAGUAAUCUUUAAAAUAAUAUGUUAAAAUCAUUCGUACAAAUUAGUCAGAGAAGUAGCAUAAACACCGCGAUGCAAUUAAUACUUUCAAUCUCAAGGUCUCUAUUAUGGAAAUUUGCAUCGGUCAAUAUACACUUGGCAUAAUAUAAUCUCCCAACUCAUUUCUUUACAAAUGCACCUUUAAUCACCACCAAAAGGUGUGGACAUGAUCUUUACCCUAGAAAACUAUUCACCGACAGGCAAAUUGACGUCAGAAAUACUGAGGAAUUCUAGUUUCCUUCGGGUUCAUGCCAUGUUGUAUCCUUCAACUGUAACUCGAUUUCUAAGCUGUAAUUUGUGACAUAAUAGUCCUUAAACUAUGAAACCCUUCUUACUUAAUUACAAUGGUUAAUACAAUGCCCGUGACUAGACAAGUAUGAAGCAACCAUAACAGAAAAAAAAUCCAAAAUUAGAGAAAAGAAAGAAGUUUCGCGACCACCACCAGUUUACAAGUCACCUCCACCACCUCCUCCAGUUUACAAGUCACCUCCACCACCUUACCAUUAUUCCUCACCACCACCUCCAGUGCAUUCACCCCCACCACCACCAGUUUACAAGUCUCCGCCACCACCUUACCAUUAUUCCUCACCACCACCUCCUGUGCAUGCACCUCCACCACCAAUUUACAAGUCACCUCCUCCAGUUUACAAGUCUCCACCACCACCUUACGAUUAUUCCUCACCACCACCUCCAGUGCAUUCACCCCCACCACCACCAAUUUAUAAGUCUCCCCCACCGCCUCCCCCAGUAUAUAAGUCACCACCACCACCUCCUCCAGUAUACAAAUCACCUCCACCACCUCCUCCAGUUGACAAAUCUCCACCACCACCAAUUUAUAAAUACAAGUCUCCUCCACUACCUCCUCCAGUGUACAAGUCAUCACCACCACCUGCUUACAAGUCUCCACCUCCUCCAGUUUACAGUUCCCCACCACCACCAAUCUACAAGUCUCCACCUCCACCCUACCAUUACUACUACAAUUCUCCUCCUCCUCCUCGUCACUACUAAGCAAUUGUAUCCAAGUUUUUGAGGUAAUAACGCUUAACCAAUAAAUUAACUUUCGCAUGAUAAACCUUAUCUCUAUCAAGACAAACUGCCAUGUGUAUCAUGCCAAAUACGUACACCUAGAUCCAUGAAAAUGAAUGGUGAGGAGGGCCAUUUAGGCUCGGAGCGCCCUAGGCCUAGUUCCCCACCAUUUCCUGAAGUGCCGCCUCGGGUAUUAUCCUGGAAGGCGAUCGCGGCCCAUUUACCACCUCGGCUACAAUGUCAGGUCGUAACACCGAGGUGGACAUUGAAUGACAACUACGAAAAGGGGAGAUGUGAUCUCUGACACCUGAGCAAAGGCUGCUCUGACCCGCCGCCUGAAUCUGACAGAAUGUCCCAUCACGUCUCUUCAUGGAGACCGGUCAAGUCCACCUGAUCCACUGACUAUCUCAGAUCUUUUGGGACCCGUGCAAACAUCUCCUCUCUCCUAUCAGUCCCCUAUAAAUACACGAUACUUCUACUGAAAAAGGAGAUGACCAAUUUCUGGUAAAACACACUCCACUCAUUAUUUACUUCUCUAUAUCCGAACUGACUUAAGCUUCGGAGUUAUACCGGGGGAUCCAGCCCCUUUCUUAUCCAAGCAGGUGACUUCGUCCAAGAGAGUUGCCCAAGGUAAAGAUAUUCUUCCAAUUGAGGUGACUCACUCCUGCGGGUCGAAAAUCACCUCUUCAAUUGGCGCCGUCUGUGGGAACCGCAAAGAUAUUAGAAGAUGAAGCCUGCGCGUUCUAGAAGCAGAAAAGCUCUCACUAUCGAGGCUGGGCAAAGCAAUGCAGCUCAACAAGAAAAUAUUUCUGAAGGGCAGGAGUCCCCAAGGACUCAGCCCGCAAACGAAAAAGCCAUAACCCGUAUGGCCGAGUUUGUGACCGAGAACCCCAACAUCUUUGAAGAGUUGGGAAGAUACCUGAAGAGGCAAGGCAAACAAAAGGCCGAGUCCUCUAAAAGGAUGUCAGAUGGGUCUCUUGAGGACUCAUCUGAGGAGGAGUCGGAUGGAAGGCACUUAAGCCGAAGUGCCUCAAAGCGAGCAUUUUCUAAGGCCACUUCUAAGGUAGCCUCCCUGACCAAGGCGUUUUCCCGAGGGCUCUUGGGCCGACGACCCGAGGAAGAACCUCGGCCCUUGGGAAUACCCGGGGUGGACUGCAUGAGGGCUCCACCGUUCACGGAUGAUAUAAACGAGGAAAGGCUUCCUCCCAAUUUUAAGCUCCCCGCAGUACAAUCUUACGAUGGCCGAGGUGAUCCCGAGAAUCACAUCCAUACCUUCAUCUCGGCCUUCCAAAUAUACUGCAUCCCAGACCCUGUCAUAUGUCGGGCCUUUCCAGUAUUCCUCAGAGGAACUGCUCGAAAAUGGUUCUGAGCUCUAGAACCUAGGAGCAUUUCGACCCUGGGUGAAUUAGUGGAGAAGUUUCUCCACCGAUUUGUCUCCUCCCGACCUACGACUAGGACCUCGGCUUACCUGCUCACCGUGCAGCAGAACCCGGGAGAGUCACUCCGGUCGUACGUCCGGAGGUUCCAUGAGGAAAGCGUUCAGAUACCUGACCCCAAUGAGCAGGUAACCCUCGCUGCCUUUACCCAUGGACUCGUUGCCGGGGAGUUCAAUACGGGGAUCCAUAAAAAAUACCCCCGCACACUGCAUGAAUUGUGGUUGAAGGUUGAAAAGGGCAUACAGGCCGAAGACCUCCAUCGCAUGAAGAAAGAGGUCCAAGCCACCCGUCCAAGGGCUGAGCCCAGAAAGGGAAAAGACGCUGGCCGAACUGAAGUAGGGUCGGGAAGUGGCUUCCGAAGUCCUGGCCGAGACCGCCGCAGCGUGUUCGACAGGAUAUCCAAGGGGAAGUCACCUAUUCCCGAGUCCGAGUUGACUCCUUUAAAUACUACCCGAUCUCACGUGUUGUCCGUGAUGGAACAAAACAACCUCGGCAAGGGCCCGCCGAGGAUGUUUGGAAGCAGAGACAAGAGGAACUCGAACCUCUACUGCUUGUAUCAUCGUGACAUUGGUCACGAAACUGAGGAUUGCAACGAUCUCAAGAAGGAGAUCGAGAACCUCAUUAGACGGGGACACUUGAAACAGUUCAUCCGCAGAGGUGGAGGUCACCAACGUGACGAAAACCGGCAUGACAAAUGAGGUGACCAACGCCGAGAUGAGCGGCGGAGCUCCAGAAGCAGUUGCCGACCUCCUGAGGAUCCCAGGGAGACGAAAAGGCCUCCCCCAGACGGAUCUUCGGGACAUGGGCCAACCAUUGCCCGGGUCAUUAACACCAUUGCCGGAGGUCCGACGGGAGGGGACAGUCAGAACUCCCGGAAGAGAACCUAUAAGCAGGCUAACCCGGAUCAGGCCGAGUCGAGUUCUCGCCUGUCCGAGGUGAUCACCUACGGGCUCAGUGAUCCCAUCCCAGCUGCAUCCAGCAGUCAUGAAACCUUGGUGAUUGAAGUCCUCACCAAUAACUACAUUGUGAAAAGGUCUACAUAGACCCGGGAAGUUCAGUUGACGUCAUGUACCUCCGUACCUUUGAGAGCCUUAAAAUGGCUAAGGGGUGCAUGACCCCGCUGAGAACCCCUCUUGUAGGGUUCGGGGGACACGUGGUGCACCCCGAAGGGAUGGUGACUCUGACAGUGACCAUAGGGCAUCACUCUCGCUGUAGAACCGUCCCUGUCAAUUUUGUGGUGGUUAAGGCUGACUCCCCAUACAACCUACUUUUAGGUCGGCCUACGCUCAAUGCCUUGCGGGCGGUCUACUCCACCUACCACCUGAGCUUCAAGUUUCCUACCCCAGCAGGGGUGGCCGAGGUCAGCAGCGACGUCUGUGCUGUCCGGGAGUGCUACCUCGCCACCCUACAAGCAGCCUCCCCGUCUACCUCCGGUGCGAGGUCCGAGAAGAGGUCAAAUAUCCUCUCAAUAGAUAGCAUCGAUCCUCAGUGAGCUGAGAAGGUCCCGAGGCUGGAGACUGGGGAUGAGGUGGAAGAGAUUCCCCUGGACCCCACGAAACCUGAUCAGACAGUUCGCGUUGGUACCCGAUUGCCCGGUCCUAUCCGAAGAGGUAUGAUGGACCUCCUCAGGGAAUACCGGGACGUCUUUGCUUGGGCCGCCGAAGAGGUCCAAGGAGUCCCGCACCAUCUCAUGAUGCAUGACUGAACGUCGACCCCCAAGUCCGUCCGGUCAAACAGAAGAGAAGGCACAUCGGCCCUGAGCGCAGCCAAGCUGUUGGUGAGGAAGUGGACAAGCUUUUACCCGCUAAAAUAAUCCGAAAAGUCCAAUACCCGAUCUGGUUGUCUAACUCGGUCAUGGUCAAGAAGGAUACGGGGGCUUGGAGAAUGUGCGUCGAUUUUACCGACCUCAACAAAGCCUGCUCCAAGGAUUGCUACCCCUUGCCCAAAGUCGAUACUUUGGUAGACUCAGCAAUGGGCUACGAGAUCCUCUGUUUCUGGGAUGCAUUCAAAGGCUAUCACCAAAUUGGGAUGAGUCAAGAAAACCAGGAGAAAACGGCCUUCUACACCGACCGCGGCACGUACUGUUAUACUACCAUGCCAUUCGGGUUGAAGAAUGCCGGAGCCACUUAUCAACGCUUGGUCAACCAAGCAUUCAAGUCUCAAAUCGGCCGGAAUGUUGAGGCCUAUGUAGAUGACAUCCUCCUCAAAAGCCAGACGAACUCCACCUUCCUGGCCGACUUGAAGGAGGUCCUUGACAUCCUGCGGAAGGUGAAAAUGAUGCUGAACCCCAAGAAAUGUGUUUUUGGGGUCACCUCGGGGAAAUUUCUAGGUUACCUCGUCUCAAGGCGAGGUAUCGAAGCAAAUCCGGAUAAGGUGCGAGCCAUCCAGGAGAUGUCUCCACCCCGGUGCGUCCGCGAUGUCCAAAGGCUGACAGGGCGAUUAGCCGCCCUGAAUCGGUUCUUAUCGCAGUCGGCAGCUAAAGCACUGCCCUUUUUCAAAGUGUUGAAGAAAGCUGACCAUUUCUCCUGGACGGAAGAGUGUCAACAGGCGUUUGAGCAGUUGAAGGAUUACCUUCACUACCUUCCAACGCUCACCUCACCUCGUCCGGGGGACAAAUUAAUCUUAUACCUUUCUGCUGCGGCCGAAGCGGUGAGUGCCGUGCUGAUAAGGAAGGAAGGGGUCCAAAUGCCCGUCUACUACGUUAGCCGAGUCCUCCGAGGUCCAGAGACCAGGUACACACAAGCAGAGAAACUUGUGCUAGCCCUGAUCCACGCCGCCCGCAGACUCAAGCCCUACUUCCUAGCUCACCACGUCUGCUUGAGGACUGAUCAACCACUUCGGCAGAUUUUGACACGACCAGAGGUUUCGGGACGUCUUACCAAAUGGGCCAUUGAGCUGGGGGAGUACGACCUAACUUAUGAGCCUCGCACAGCGAUCAAGGCCCAGGCUCUCGCAGACUUCGUAGCCGAGCUCACCUUUGACGAGGUGCAAGGAUCCGUCCCGGCUGCCACAUCGGCCACAGUUGAUGUGGCCACCACUGGGCUCCAGCGGUGGAUCCUACACGUGGACGGUUCGUCAACAGUGAGGGUAGUGGAGCAGGCUUGCUCCUCGAAGACCCCCAAGGAGAAAUAUGCUAAUAUGCCUUAAGAUUUGACUUCGCUGCUUCAAACAAUGAAGCUGAAUACGAAGCCGUCAUUGCUGGACUGCAGCUAGCUCGCAAGCUCGGGGCCGCACACAUCUUGGUUUAUAGUGAUUCCCAACUCGUCGUGUGCCAGAUAUUAGGUGAGUACGAAGCCAGGGACGAGGUGAUGCAUCGUUACCUCUCCAAGGUCCUCCAGUUGGCGACUCACUUCGAGUCUUUUGAAAUUCAAAGAAUACCGCUAUCGAAAAACAGAAGGGCUGACGCCCUCUCCCGGCUUGCCUCAACCUCUUUCUCUGACCUGAACAAGACGGUUCUCGUUGAAGUUCUAGCCGAACCAGGAUAUGUAGCCGAGGUAGUAUACCCCGUCUACCCUGGGGACACCUGGAUGGGUCCCCUGACUCGAUUUUUCAGCCAGGGUGAGCUCCCCGAAGACCGAGCUGAGUCACGGAAGCUCCAACGAAAAGCAGCACGGUACAUUCUCCGACAAGGCCUUUUAUACAAAAGGUCUUACCUCGGCCCUUAGUUGCGAUGUAUCACGCCCGAGGAAGGCCAGAGAAUCCUCCAAGACAUACAUGAGGGGCUCUGUGGUGCUCACGUCGGCUACAGAAUGCUGGUAAAAAAGGCUUUGUUACUUGGGUAUUUUUGGCCCACUAUGAGGAUAGAUGCCCAGGUCAUGGUCCUUUGCUGCCCCUCCUGCCAGCAUCACGCUCCUGAGCACCACCAGCCGACCAAUUUAAUGAUCCCUAUCACCUCGUCAUGGCCAUUUGAGCAAUGGGGAACGGACAUAAUUGGCCCCUUUCCCAGAGCUCCAGGCAAUUAUACCUACGUGGUGGUAGCAGUGGACUACUUCACCAAAUGGGUCGAAGCUGAACCCCUAAAAAAUAUCACUGGUGCGGCAGUCCAGAAAUUCUUCUGGAAGAAUGUGGUUUGCCGCUUCGGCCUACCCCGGGUGAUCAUCUCGGAUAAUGGCCGACAGUUCGCCGAUAAUCCUUUCAAGGCCUGGUGUGAGAACCUCGGGGUCAAACAGCAUUUCACUUCGGUGGGACACCCCCAAGCCAACGGACAAGCCGAAAACUUCAAUCGCACGCUCCUCCAUGGCCUCAAGACCAGGCUCCACCAGGCUGGAUCGUUUUGGAUGGAAGAGCUCCCCAGUGUGCUGUGGUCCUACCGAACUACGCCGAGAUCAGCAACCCAGGAAACCCCGUUUUCCUUAACCUACGGGUCAGAAGCUGUUGUUCCAGCCGAAUUCAUCACCCCGAGUCCACGAAUGGCCGCAUAUGCUGCCGAAGUCAAUGAAGAAGAACGGCGAGUUGACCUCGACCUCGUCGAAGAGAAGCGUGAUAUGGCCGCGGCCAAAGUUGCUGUUUACAAAAAUAUCGUAGCUGGCUACUACAACGCUCGGGUUAAACAUUUGCGGUUCAGUCCGGGAGACCUGGUGCUCAGGAAGAACUCAGUCAGCCGGGCUGAACCUCAGGGUAAACUAACCCCCAAGUGGGAGGGACCAUACCGUGUUGUUGAGUCCAGCCAAAAUGGAUAUUGUAAAUUGGCAUACCGAGAUGGGUCUCUGAGUGCCCCGAACUUGGCAUGCUGAAAAUCUUAAGUUGUACUACCCUUGAGGGUAUGUGCUUUUAAUCUUGAGUUAUUUCACACUUAUUUUCAUUUCAUUAUAAGUGAAAAAUAAGGGGACAAAGUAGCAGUAAAGAGGAAAACCGAAUUUAAUUAAAAAGAAAGCAAGAAUAUGAACUCAAUUCCAUUGAAUUACAUAAAAGUAGAAAGCCGAGGUCACCUUUAAUUAGGAAGAAAGCAAGAAUAUAAACUCAAUUCCAUUGAAUUACAUAAAAGUAGAAAGCCGAGGUCACCUUUGACCUCGGCCUACAAUGACAAAAAAAAAAACAAGUGCCUCUAGGCACUCCCUACCCUGACAUCCUGGCCCCCCGUGGUCGCGCCACCCGUUUCGGCACCCUGUCCACCCUCAGCUCCUCCACCGGCCUGGUCGUCUUCAGUACCAUCUAGUUCAAACUCCUGGAGCCAUUUGUUGAAUUCGGCUCGGACUUCGGUUAGGUCUUUCUCAGUCCGGAUGCCCUCAGCCAUGCUGUCGCAUAGCUCCUUGGCAUCCUCGUUAUAGUGCGAAGUGCUCUGAAGGGACUCCAGUUGUUCAGAGGGAAGAAAGGAUGCCGCGUCAUUAAUAGCCGACGUGUACCCGAACAUGAAGCUUGGCCGGGUGAGCUCGCCGAGGUCACGGAUGAAGGACUCUGACGUCCGGAAGGCUUCCACAGCAGUGACCCCGGCCUUGUCCAUGGCCUCCCUGUUUGACUGUUCUUCUUGGGCCCUCCUUUUUUUCUCCUCAUCAAGAGCAGUCACCAGGGAAUUGUUCGCGACCUCGGCCCUUUUGUUAGCCGCCUUGGCCUUGUCACGCUCCAACUCGGUUGCCUUCAGUUUUUCUUCCAACUCGGCAAUUCUCUUCUGGAGCUCGGCAGGAGGCUCAUAGUUUUCCAUGAACUUUCCAUACCGUUGAAUCAUCUCGACAAAAAAAGCCGUGGUAGAGGCCCAUGACACCGAGGCGCUCUGCAUCAACUCCCCUGCGGAGAGCUUCCUAGCAUAAGUGCUAUCUCGUGGCAGCACUGAAUGCACCAAGAGCUCCUGAGCGACCAAAGGGUUCUUGCAGCGAUCGUUGAAAUUAAUCUCCCACUCUGGACACCAGUGUGAUCCGGGGUGUCUCUUGUCCUCCUCAGCUGCCUUGAAAGGCACAUGAUGGAGUUUGAACAAAGAUGACCCCGUGACGGGGUUCUCCGGAAAUAUGGUCACACCCUGACCCCGGGGGGGAGUGGCAAUCGUGACCCAGCGAGAAGGGAUUCCCACCGGAAUUGCCGAGGCUCGGGAACCUCCCGGAGUGGCCGAGGUGUGCGAGCCCUCGCCCACGAUCACCACGGCAGGCUCGCGGUCGCCCGACGCCGCGGUGGUUUUCUUAGCCGGCCUGGAAGAGGACCCUGCAGUGUCCUUGCGCUUUUUGGGAGCUCUUUUGACCACCUCGACAUCUCCCGAGGUUAUCAGGUCGAAAAUCUUCGUCACUGCAAAGUAGGAGACGAAGUCAGUUAGAAUUCAAGAGGGAUAAACUAAAAGGGAAGAAAUGGAAAAAUACAAAGUCUGUGAAGCCUAGUCGAGAGUAAGACAGGCUGGUCAGAGCUCGUCAAGGCUCAACUGAUCCCGCCUUCCACGAGCACCACUUCGGGAAAAUCCCAGCAGUUUAUCCUGAGGCCCGACCCCGUUAACUUCUGGAAGUUACGCUCUUCUAACUUCCCUGGAGAUAUCUCCUUGAUCGAGGUGGGAGGCCUCCACCAGAAUCCGCGAGGGAAGUCAUCGGCCGAGACGAAGAAGAAGUUUUGCUUCCACUCCUUUAUUGAGUUCGGAGCAUCAACCACCAACUUCGGAACUUUGUUUCCGAAGUAGAACCAUCCUUUUUCACUUCUGCUGUUCUUGAGUGAGUAACAGCGGCGAAAGAGGUUGACCUAAGGUUGUAUCUCCUGAUGUCGGCAAAGUAGCUGGAAGCCAACGAGAAUGCGAAUAGCGUUAGGGGUGAGUUGAGUGAUUCUCACCCCCCAGUACCUCAGGCAGUCCCGAAGAAACCUCGUCGUGGGCACUCUGAGUCCGGCCUCCAGCUGUUCCUGAUAGAUAGUCACCUUGCCCUUUGGUGGCAGUGCGGCUGACUGAUGCGGUUGGGGUAUGUAAAUACUAUAAUCCCUUCUCCAGGGAUACCUGCGGACCACCUCGGCUAUUGAGGCUUGUCCCAUACCACUACUGAAGAACGGCAUCUGGCCGUAGUCGAGAGUUGCCACGUUUGGAGGAGUGGAAGGUUCUUGUACUCCCUCGUCUCUAGGGAUCUCAAUCCCGAGGUCAUCGUUGUAUAGGACCUCGGGCUGGACCUCGAUCUCCUCGGGCUGCACCUCAACCGCCUCAGCUCGGCGUGAUGCCUCGGCACCUCCACCCUCAGCUUGGUGAGAUGCCUCAGCACCUCCGCCCUCGGACGCGGUCCUUUCCUGGGAGGGGUCAGGCCUCUCUGCCUCAGUGAGGUCAGGUCUCACUGUCUCUUUGUGCGUACGAGCUGUUCUAGCCAUUGUAUCAGAAGGGGAAGAAGUGAACUUACUUAGAAUCUGCGACUGGAAGAAGAUGCCGAAGUAGACGUGGUUUAGAAAGGUUGCCGAAGUGAAAAGAGAAAGAAACAGAGUUCUGGGGUGAUUCUUGAUUUUUGGUGAAGAGUAAAACGGUGAAAAAAGACCACUAUUUAUAGGCCACCAGGGUGAAACCCAAGAGACGGCACCCUCUCUCUUCAUUAAUGGGAGGACUGUUCGUCUGCCAACACAGCUGACAGCCGUCCCUUCAGUUAUCACUCAGUCCCAUCUAUGCGGUCAUGACGUGUCCGUGUUCCGUGUUUUAUACGCUUCUCAGCUUCGGGAAGUAACGACCACGGCGGAUGCCCAUCUCGCCCUUCUCAAAGCUUGGGGGGCUUAGUGAGGAGGGCCAUUUAGGCUCGGAGCGCCCGAGGCCUAGUUCCCCAUCAUUUCCUGAAGUGCCGCCUCGGGUAUUAUCCUGGAAGGCGAUCGCGGCCCAUUUACCACCUCGGCUACAAUGUCAAGUCGUAACACCGAGGUGGACAUUGAAUGACAACUACGAAAAGGGGAGAUGUGAUCUCUGACACCUGAGCAAAGGCUGCUCUGACCCGCCGCCUGAAUCUGACAGAAUGUCCCAUCACGUCUCUUCAUGGAGACCGGUCAAGUCCACCUGAUCCACUGACUAUCUCAGAUCUUUUGGGACCCGUGCAAACAUCUCCUCUCUCCUAUCGGUCCCCUAUAAAUACACAAUAUUUCUACUGAAAAAGGGGAUGACCAAUUUCUGGUAAAACACACUCCACUCAUUACUUACUUCUCUAUAUCCGAACUGACUUAAGUUUCGGAGUUAUACCGGGGGAUCCAGCCCCUUUUCUUAUUCAAGCAGGUGACUUCGUCCAAGAGAGUUGCCCAAGGUAAAGAUAUUCUUCGAAUUGAGGUGACUCACUCCUGCGGGUCGAAAAUCACCUCUUCAAAUGGUAGAAAGUUUUCUUAAGAACCAAGAACAGCAUUAGUAUUCCCUCUGCUUCCAAAAACUUGUGUAUUAAAUAGAUUAAUGAAUUGUUUAACAUGCUCAUCUACUUGAAAAUGCACAAUACCCAUAACCCACUGAAAUUUUUGCAGGAAAAGGGAAAGAGAAUCUGUGUUUGAGAGCUUCAUGAAGAUGUUGAAGAAUAAGAAUAAAAGCCCAAUGCGAGGAUGUUUUCAAGUUUUUCUAUGUCCACUUUAAUUUGUAAAUUGAAUUUUACAACUCAAUUAAUUCCUUGUUUGUGAGGUACGUAUUGUUUUACGUACCAUGCCGUACAUGUUUGUAAGGAUUUCUAUCCUAUUGGCAAAAGUCGGUUCCAUACAAUUAAUCAAUUCAUUUCACUUCUAUUGGCUCUACUAUUUAUGCAUGUUACGACACUCUUUCCCUUAUAUUUUGCCUUUAAUAUUAUGAGUCAAUAGUAAUAAUGGGCCUUUUUCUUAAAAUUAUACUAUUAUACAUAGGUAGUUUGGUCUAACGCUAAAUUCAUGUUUGUCUUUCUUUUAUUCCCUUUACAUCUCAAAGUAUACUAUAGUUUGUAAUCAUUGUGGUGAUGAUAUUACCAGCUGGUACUUAUAGUUUAAGGCAGAGACAUGAUAUUAACAACUAUCUCAUUGAAACAUAAGUCAAAAUCAUGACAAGUGUGAGUCUUGGUUAAUGCACAAUUUGUUAGUGGAAUUUAUAUUUAUAAAACUCAAAAAAAAUUUUUGACAAUGCUAUUACUAAUUAAUUAAGGACUUCAUUGCUAUAAUUUAUCGCUUACUAGUUUAAACUAUAAAUGAUCUCAAUACUUUUCUCCAUGAUGUCGAUUUCUUUAGACUACGAAAGGGAAAAAUUAGUGACAUAUCCCUUACUGAUUACAACAUCAGCAAAAAUUAGUUAUAAACUUUUCCGGUGGUUUUAAAUCCCUCGGGCACUAAGGUUUUUUGCACAUCGAGUGAAUUAAGGAACAUAGGCAAUUCGUUCUGCAUACCAAGUCCUUGUUUAAGAUGCACGUACUAAAAUGCAUCCACUUCAUUAAUUUGGAAAAUUGCCAUAGUUUUUUUUAAGCAUUUUGAUUUUUUACAUGAUUCAAAAUUUUCUUAUUGGAUACAAUCACUUUGUGUCAAGAACACAUUUUCAAUCAUCUUUUUUAUCUUCUCAAUAAGAAAAUAAAAAUUUAUUCAUGCUUUUCUAACAUAUCCAAUCAUUGAUCUGAAAAAUAAAGAAUUAAAAAAAAAAGACAUUUUCAAUCAUUGCUUACAGGGCAACUUCCCCAUGUGAACCUCUUCAAACAAAGCCAAUAAUAUGAAGGAACAUCUAAAUACACUUUUGCCCUAAAGGCUGGUUGCCUUGGGGUCAAAAUUUAACCUUCGGGAGUAUAAUUACCCGCCAAAUUUAUUAUUUUUUAUGGGUAUAUAGUUCCAAUUUUGCCUCCUGUUAAGCUUAUAAAUAUAUUACGACCCAGAAAAUAAAGGAAUCUUGAAUAGUAACAUGUCCAUUGACUUGAGUUGUCAUCAAUUUGGCUACUUCGAUUCCAUGAGGCCAAUCCAAUUCACACUAGCUAGAGAAAAUGGUGAUAAAGGCACUUAGAAAUUUAUAUGUAAUAUUGAUUGGUAGUAACUGAUAAGUAUAUAUUUUACGUGUUUUAAAUAUGUUUUAUUAGUUAGUUUUGGUGUGUUUUAACUACUUUUAUAACUAAUUAACUAGGAAUCUAGUGAAAAUAUGCAUUUUGUGGUUUGAAGUGUGAAAAUUGUAUUUCUAUGGAUUUUAAUGGUGAAAACUUCAUGUUUUUGUAGGUUUAAUGAUUCAAUCAUCAAAUGACAUGAUUUGAGAAGAUAAUUAGAUGAUUGAUGAUGUUUUGAAGUGAUAAAAAGAGAAUACAAAGUGCAAGAGAGGAAAUGCAAUCAAGAAUAAAAGAAGAAAAUUUUUGUAGCUUUGACAUAUUGUGGUAUUUUGGCAAUAUAUUGAGCUACAAUGAUUGGAUUAAGGUGAUUCUUAAACCAUUUGAAGCUAAGAUAUAGAUCUACAUUUGGUAUGAAGGCAUCGAAACCCAUGUCAGUCAUUUUCCUUGUCAAAAUGUUGAAAUACAGAAGUGCAACUCUGUUCUCGAAAGCUAAAACAGAGCUCUGGCUAGUCGAGGGUAUUUUCAUCAUUUCUUAGUCCACAGAGCUCCAAAUGAGAUGAUUCUUAAGGCAUUAGAACCCUAACUCAAAGAGCUACAACUUUCAUAUUUUGUACAAGAGUUAGUUCGGCCUCCAUCAUUCAGAAAAUAGUAGUUGAAGUGGUGCCAAAUGCAUAGAAGUGAAAACGCGAGCUAUCAAUACUCGACCUGAAGUCGCGUAUUCCUGAGGUCAUGCAUUCUCUUCUAUUUUCUGCAACUUGCCCUGCUUUCACAUAAUUUUUUCAUCUCAAUUCCAACUAUCAAUUUCGGCUAUAUCUGAUCAAGAAAAGUGUGGAAAGUUUGAAAGACAACUCAUAGGAGUUUCAAGAGUCAAAAAUUACAAUUAGAAACAACUCAUUUGGCUCUUGAAUCCUCUAUAAAUAGAGGCCUUUGAAGAACAUUUUCACAACUUUGGAAGGUUAGAGAAACUCCACAAAAACAUAGUCUUCACUAGAAUUUCCUUAGUUCAUUAGUUAGGGUAGUAUAGUAUAGUUAGUGUAGCUUUUCCUUCUUGUAUUUAUAGUUAGGUUUGAAUGAAGAUUCAGGAGCAAAGAUAGAGAGGUUGAUCUCAUGUGACAAGGGUGAUAUCUCUUCUACUACUUUCUCUUUUGUAUUUGAUUUCAUAUUUAACUAUACUACAAAUUUGGCUUUGUUUUUUUUUUUUAUCAUGUUUAGUUAAAGUUUAUGCCUAGAGUAUGGAUGACCUUUCUAUAUCUUGUUUGUGAUAUUUAACUGGUUAUUUGAUGAUGUUAUUUUUGAGCAAGUUAUUUAUCACUUUUGCUUUUCUAAUCGUGAUUAACUGGCCAUUAGUUGUGAUUAUCUAAAAGUGUUAAGUUUGUAAUGAGAAUUGGAGUUUAACACUAGUUCAAGGAAGUGAUAAAUUUAGGGAGUUCACUCAUGAGAGUAGAGGAACACCUUUGUGACCUAAGUGACUUGUUUCAUAUAAUUUCAUAGAAAAAAUGAACUUGUAAUUAAUUUCAUAACCACGAGAGUAAGUAUGGUUUAGCUAUAUGUAUAGUUGAUUCACUACGAGAGUAGGUUUCACAUACAUUAGAAAAUUACAUCAUAACUAGUCAAGAUAAUAUCAUUCAUUUAAUCAGUAAUCUCAUUUGCAUGAGUAGUAAGGCAUUCCAUAUCUCUAGGAGGUUUUUAGUAUUAUUUUCAUUACUUUUAUGUUUAUGGUAGUCUAGAUAAUAAUGGAGUUCAAAAACUACUAGUAAUUGAAAAUUUUCCCUGUGGGAUCGACCUUUAAUACCCUAUACUCGCUCUCGACUCGUAUACUUGCGAAAAAUCACGUGUGCGGUAUUUAGAAUUUAUAAAUGUAAAACUUGACUGUAGAUGAACUAAUUGAUAUAUGUAUACCCCGCACUCGUCAGUAACCAGCUUGUAUUGAUCCCAUUAUUGUGGAUAAUUGUGCUCUUAUGAAAAAAAAUUAUAAAAAAAUUAGCAAAAUUUAUGAUAACAAAUUAAAUUUAUUCAUACAAAUCAGUGAAAGAAGUAGAAUUUUAAAGACCAUGAUGAAAUUAAUACUUUCAAGGGCUCUAUUAGGAAGACUUCACUUGUUGGUGAAACUACACUAGCACAGUUAUAUGCACAUUUACUGUUUUGGUAUCUAAUUUCCUUGCCUUAAGUUGGGUGCAGAUGUUUAUAUUACAAAUAGAUGGUAUCAUAAAAUUGUUGUAUUCACGUUUGUUCUUUUUUUUUCUUCCUUAAGUUUUUUUCUUUAUUCUCGUGACUUCAAAAAUACGAACUCAAGAAAUUGGCUGCUUAAUCAAUAUGUCAUACAGGCUUCGCUAGUGAGGUAUAACUUCACAACUAGAGUCAAUAGAAAUUAUCAAAUGAUUUUUUAACAUCCAAAUUAAGCAAUAAAUUUUGUUUUCAUUUUAUGACAUAUAAUAGUACUACUUCAUGAGAGAUUUUAUAGUUUCUUUUAGGUAUCAUACCUACAAGUGAUAUUUGUCAUUGGAUAGUGACAGAAGUGUUAAUGAUUGUAAGAUUAAAUAUUGUUAAAUAUUGAAAUUUAAACUAUUUAUCUUUAUUGAAAGAUACAAGUUAAAGAAUCGUUCAAGGGGGCAAUUUUCCAUCUUGUCUUUUUGAAAAAACGCUAUCACAUUGUAUAGGCAUGAUAGGUUCAAAUUUGUCAUUAAAUUUAUGAUUGAUUUCCCUUUUAUUCAAGCCAAAUAUUGUUUUAAUUAUCAAAUUCUACUUAUAUUUGGUUAAUUGUACUAAUUGUAGGGCGGUAGAGCAAAAGUUGCUAAAAAUAGGUGAUUUUCUGCAAAUUGGUUGUCAAGGCUGAAGGAUUUGGGAUUCGCAUGUUCAAGGCCUGUUUCCAAGUUUGAUUCAAACUCUGGACAGUUUUAGAGGAAGAUUUGGAAGAUUUGAAAUUUCAUUAUUAGUUUUAUGGUUGAAUUAGGAAUCUUGGAAUAAUUUCUUUUGUGAUUUAUUUUUCUAUUUAGGAGACUAGUUGUUAUUUAGUAGUAGACUUCAAUUAGAAAACAAAGAGAAAAAGAAGGCCGGAAUCCCGCUUGAUUAAUACCUUGGCCAGGGAACAAUCUCGGUGGGGAGGACGGCCACUUAGCCUCUCAAUUCAUCUUGCUUUUCGUUAGUUUGAGAGGAAAACCAAUUGCAACUAGAUUCAAUGGAGUCUGGCAGAAUUUCUUCUAGGAUGCGUAGCUAAAUCCUCAAUUUUUAGUCGAAGGUCAAUUUGAAAAUUCGGUUCCAAAUAUCUGUGAAAUCGAAUUAUUUUACUUAUUUCUUUUAUUUAUUGGUAUUCGCACGUUUUCUGAUUUAACUUUUUAUGAUUGUUUUGUUAUUUGAAUGUCAAGGGUCCGAUAUUCGAAUUAACUUAAUAAUCUACUGCCAAAUUAACCGGUUAAAUCCGUAAUUGUUUGAUUGAUUAAUAUCAGUGGCGACUAGCGUGAUUGGUCCCAUGUUAGGAAAACGUCUGAUCUAAUUUAAACAAACCGUCGUAGCGUGUUUGUUGAUUAGGGUUGGACUUUUCUAAUUCUUAAUUCAAUUGAGAAAUUAAAUCUCCCGGUCGUACCUAAGAUUAUUUUUUUGUUAGCGAAAUAGUUAAUGGUCGUACCUUGACUAUCGAAAAAGUAAGGAAGAGUUGAUUGUUUAUCGCGUGUACGACAACUAUAAUCAAUCUAUUAAUGAGUAAUUGAAUUAUCUUUGCAUCAGUAAUCAGUUGAAUGGACCGUGUCUGAAAAGUUGUACCUUUGGCUAGAGUCUUAUCUGUUGUUGAUUCAUUCAUAUCUAUCUUCAUGCGUUGUUUUAAUUUAGUUAAUUAGUUAUUUUUAUAAAAACCCCUCAUCUCUGGACUCUAAAAGAAAUAAAUUAUUUCUAGUUCCUGUGGAUUCGAUCCUACUCACCGCUAUAUACAAAAUUUGUAUUUUUUUGAAUAAAUAAUUAUUAUUACACAGGCUUGACACCUGUCAAGGCAAAAUUUCCUUAACUUCAUCAUCUGUAGACGUAAACUUUCUACGGGUGAUAUAAUAUAAGGAAAUUUUGCCUAUACGAUGUGAUAGCAUUUUUUCAAAAAAGACAAGAUGGAAAAUUGCUCCCUUGAACGGAAAAAAUCAUGAUCUUUCCUCAAACUAGUCUACUAGUCAAUUCUUUACAAAAGAAUACUCGCUCCUAAACAUAGCCUGUUCAUCUACACUGUCCCGCAGAAUUCUAGAAAGUUAGGCAAAACUAGACAAGUUGACAGGUAUAAUCAUACCCAAGAUCAGGAACAAGCAGUUGCACAUUUCAAAAUUCGCUGCUGCAACAGCUAAUUUGAUGACUUACAACACUACACGGUCAAACUUUGAAUGGCAAUGGAUCUUUUGUUGUACGUCAUGAUGUAAUUUUCAUGUUACAUACAUUAAUAGGUUGAUAUCUAUAUUCUUUAAAUUAUCAUGAUAAUACCCUUAAUUAGAUUUAACUGAUAAAAAGAACACGUGUUAAUAUACAAAAGUGUGUAACGUGAAUGUUACAUUACUGUAUUGCAGAAGACCUAUAGUCUCUUCAUAUCUCUUCCUGCACGUAUCAAUUCGUUUCCUCUAGAUAAUAAUCUCCCAACUCGUUUCUUUACAAAUGCACCUUUUAUGUUUUAUUACCUCCAAAAGCCUUUACAGGGUCUUUACCCUAAAAAUCAAUUCACCGACUCGCAUUUGAUGUCAGAAAUUCUUAAGACGAAUUCUACUUUACUCAAAGAUUGACUGUUAAUAAUGAGACAGCGACCAUUUUGUAUUAUUAGACCGUCCUUCUUGAUAGGUAAAAGAAAUAGAGAGGAAAGUGGGUCCGUAUAUGGUCUUUUAUUCAUAGAUAAUACAACAUUACGCCAUCGAGCAUUCACACAAUAUUUCAAAGUCAUAGCAUGCCUAAGGCCCUGUUUGAUAGCUCAAUUUCGUAAUUAAAUUUAAUAGAUUCAAAUUUUAACACAUUUAAAUCAUUUGAUAACAAAAAAUUGAAUAUUUAAAUUAAUUAAGUAACACUGAACUUUCUAAACAAAACUUGCUUUCAAAAUUAAGUGAUAAGUUAUUCACUUAUCUUUGAAUGUGAUAUGCACUCAAAUAUAUUAAAUUUAAUAAUUUAAUGGAUUCAGAUUUCAGAUUUCAGUUUUAUUACACACCCUAAGUUGCAAAAUAAUACCAAAACUUGUUAUUAUAUAGCUUGAGAUUCAAAAAUUUAGAGCAUAAUUCUCAACCUAACACAAUCGAAUAAUGAAUAUUCACGAUUGUUUCAAAGUACAAUUUGAGGACAACCCAUUCCAACGCGUACACGAUUUUUAACUUUUCUAAAGUUGUUGAGAGCUGUUAAAAGAGAUUUACCAUGUUUACAUCUUCCAAGUCUUGGAAGUGAAAAAUGAAGCCACUGAGUGCUAUAAAAAGGGGGCUAGAGGCUGCCUAGAAGCAUAUCAGCCUAAAACAAGAAUUUGUAGUAACAAUGGGGAGCAAAGCAAAAGCAACGGGGUCUAGGCUGACUCCUCUUCUUACCACUGUUUUAGUGGUAUUUGUCGCCCUUGGCUUGCCCUUGGAAACUGCAGCUGAUUAUUACAAGUAUUCAUCUCCUCCUCCUCCUCCUUACCACUAUUCUUCACCACCACCUCCAGUGUAUUCACCUCCACCAACCCCUGCUUAUAAGUUACCCCCACCAUCUCCUCCAGUUUACAAGUCCUCACCACCACCUUACCACUACUCACCACCUCCGGUGUAUUUACCUCCACCAUCUCCAGUUUACAAGUCACCACCACUACCCCCUCCGGUAUACAACUCCCCGCCUCCACCAGUGUACAAAUACAAGUCCCCACCACCACCUCCUCCAGUUUACAAAUCUCCAUCGCCACCAGUUUACAAAUACAAGUCACUCCCACCACCUCCUCCGGUAUACAAGUCUCCUCCGCCACCUGUUUACGAGUACAAGUCUCCUCCACCACCUCCUCCAGUGUACAAGUCCCCACCACCUCCAGUUUACAAGUACAACUCACCUCCACCUCCUCCCCCAGUUUACCUGUCUCCACCUCCACCCUAUCAUCACUACUACGGUUCUCCUUCUCCUCACCACUACUAAGCAAGUGCAUAAGUUUUGAGGUAAUAAUACCUAUCCAAAACUUUAUCAACACAAACUGCCAUGUAUAUUAUCAUGCUAAGGACGUACACUUGAUCCAUGAAAAUGACUAGUAGAAGAUUUUUUUUAAGAACCAAAGAAAUACAUUAUUUUUUCGGUCUGUUUUCAAGAAUUUGAGCAGUAUACAGAUUAAAGAGUGUUUUUUUUUUUGUAAACUUGCUUGUCAACUUAAAAAUGCACAUAGCUGAAAGCCAACUGAAUAUUUGCAGGCAAAGGAGAAGGCAAUCGGUGUUUGAGACCUUCAAGAAGAUGUAGAAGAAUAAGAAUAAAAGCCCAAUGCGAGGAUGAUUCCAAGUUUCUACGUUACCAUUUCUACAUCUAAAUUGACUUUAGCUCCUGAGUUCCAUGUUUAUGGGGUUUGUACCGUUUUACGUACCAUGCAGUACAUGCUUGCAAGGUUUUCUGUCCUGUUGGCAAACUGCAGGUCCAUAUAAUAAAUGAAUACUAUUUACAUUACGACACUUUUCUCUUUUUCUCUUAUAUUUUGUCUUUAAUAUUGUUGAUCAUUUUUUUUUUAUCAAAAGCAUCAAAUGCUUAGGUAAUUUGGUCUAAUGCUAAUUGUUUUACUUUUAUUUUUCACCUACACCCCUUUUCAACUCAAAGGAUGCUAUAGUUUGUGAUAAUUGUUUAAGACCGAAGCAUGAUACUAAUAAAUAUCUCAUUGAAAGUCAAGGAAACUAACAUUAGGAAAAGUUUAAAUCUUGAUUUGAUGAAACUAUUUAUUCGUGGAAUUUAGAGAUACAAAACUCAAAUUGUGACGGUGUUGUUGCUAAAUUAUUAAGGACAUUAUCACCAUUAUUUUUCCCUGAUCACUAGUUUCAACUGCAAUGAUCUCAAUCUUUUUGUGACUAAUUCUUUCCUUAAUAAUUUAUAAAGACAAAACUCACAAAGAAUAUGUGACUAAUUCUUUCCUUUCGUCUUCUAAAGAAAAUGCCAACUGUUAGUUUAUCAAGGGGAAAAAGGAUCGACAUCAGUUAUUAUUGAAACUAGUAAGGAAUAAAUAAUGGUGAUAAUGUCCUUAAUAAUUUAACAACAGCACCAUCAGAAUUUGACUUUGAGCUUCGGUCUUAAACAAUGAUCACAAACUACAGCAUCCUUUGAGUUGAAAAAGGAAGUAGGUGAAAAGAAAAGUAAAAAAUACAAUUAGCAUUCCCUCAAAUUGUAGAAAGUUAGGUAGCAUUAUAGACAAGUUGAUAGCGGCAAUUUUACAUUUCAAACUUCACCUAUUCAAUAACUAAUUCGAUGGCUUGCUACAUGGUCAAUCUUUGGACCCCUUCCUGCCUCCAGAUAUCCCUUUCCUCAAUCAGGGGCUUCUACAAUUACCAGUUUCAAUUGUAUGGUAUAGUGUAAAUAUCAACAAAUUAGAUGUAGAUGCUAACAUAAUAAAUGUGAAUGCUAAGACAGCAACAUACAAUCGAACCUGCAAUUGUAUGAACCCCAAUCUCGCUUCCUAGUCCACCAUCUUUCUCUAGGUAAUAAUCUCCCUUCUAAUUUAUUCACAAAAUGCACCUUUCAUCACCUCCAAUAGCGUCGACAUGAUCUUUACCCUAGAAGACUAUUCACCGACUCUCAAUUGACGUCAGAAAAUCUAAGAGUAAUUCUACUUUACCCUAAGAUUGAUAUCAACAAGACAAGGACAAUUUAGAAUUAUUACACGCCUCUUCUUAAUAGGAAAAAGAAAUAGAGAAGAAAGUCAGGCCAGGUCUAAUUUCUUUUCAAAGGCAAUACAACAUUACGAAAUCAAGCAUUCAUUCAUACAAAUAUUUCAUAGUCACCGGUUUGCUGAGUAGAAAAAUUUAGACAAAAACUUAAUAUUAUAUUGUUUAAGAGUUAACAAUUUAGAGCUUAAUCUCCUUGUACUUUGGAGUUAACAAUUUAGAGCUUAAUCUCCUUGUACUUUGGACUAAACUUGAACGUGAAAGGAAAUCCCAAAACCAUAUUGGGCAUGAAUUCACACUUAAUAUACCCAAUAAAAGAUGGCGACUGGUGAAAGGCAGUGGAGACUGGUGGAGAGAUUUGAGGAAUAGAAGCAGACGGAAAAGCAACAAAUUUUUGCCGAAAAACGGUCACUUUCAUGGUUAAUUUUGCUACUCUCCAAUUGUACUUGACCAAUUACAACAAUUUCAUGGAGUUUGAUACGUGAAAAGAAUUUUUUAUAAAUUUUAUUUUGAUCCAUAAUGUUAUCUUUACAUAUAUAAAACAUUUUACAAUUUUGAUUUUGGCGCAGCUAACUUUUGGUUAACAAAAAUGCUCAUGUUUAAAAAACCAGAAAUAAAACAAAACAAGAAACAAAAGAAAUAAGAGGGUAGCAUAGACAUUUUGGAUUUUUCCGUUAAUUUGGAUGAUUUCCACCCACGUUCUAAUUUAAUCCAAAACACAAAGGAAUUACGUAGAGGUUUUAAAUAAUGAGGGAGCUUCAUGAUCGAACCCCAAACCACAAGGCGAUUUACUAUAUUUUACUCUUAAAUUUUGGUUUCAUCUCAUAGCAUACAAGAGUUCUAUUUCACUAUCUGUAGACAAAGACUUUCUAUGGUUGAUGUACCAUAGGAAAAAAUCUGCCUAUACAACGUGAUAGCAUUUUUUCAAAAACACAAGAUGGAAAAUUGCCCCUUAAACGGGGAAAUUCAUGAUCUUUCGUCGAACAAAGAAUACUCACGCCUAUUCAAGAUGGAAAAUUGCCCCCUUAAACGUCUAUUUGUCAAUUCUUGAAAAAAGAAUACUCACGCCUAAAACACGGCCUCUUCAUCUGCAGAAUUCUAAAAAGUUAGGUAAACUCUAUAAACAAGUUGAUAGGUACAAUCGUACCCAAGAUCAAGUACAGAUAGUUGUACAUUAACUGCUGCAAUAACUAAUCUGAUGACUUAUAAACAUAUCAUGGUCAAUCGUUGAAUGGUAAUGAGUCUUUUGUUAUGCAUUAGUAUUAGUGUGUACACUCUAAUAGAUUGAUACUUAUACUCUUUAAAUUAUCAUAAUAAUACCCUUAAUUAACUUUAACUCUUAAAAAGAAUACAUGUUAAUACACGAGUGUGUGUAACCUGAAUUGUUACUUAUAAAUUAGUGUGUAAUAGAUAGGGAUGGCAAUGGGGGCGGGUGCCCGCGGGGGGCUCUCGGGGCGGGGGUUGGGGCGGGGGGGAAUUUUUUCCCCCCGUUUAGAAAUGGGGCAGGGGACGGGGGAGUAUACCCCCGCCCCAUCCCCCGCAAAAAAAAAAUUAUAUAUAAUAUGUAAUUUAAUUAGUUAUAAACUUAUGAUAAUGAUAUUAUUAGUUAGAUGUAUUAUAUAAUGUAUAUUAGUGUAUGUAAUAUAAUUAAUAUUAUCAAUUAUAUGAAUAAUUAGACAUGUCUACUAAUAGAAUUUAUGAAUUAGUUAUACUAAAUUUACUAAUACAUUUAUACUAAAUUUCUAAUUACACUUAAUAGAAUAACACUUUUUUCUAAAACAAAAAAGCACAAACACAAUAAUGAAUUAGUGAUUGUAUGAUAGGGUGUAAUUUUACUAUUUAUUUUAUUAUUAAUUUCCCCUAUCACCUGACCUGAUGUGGAUUAAUUGCUGGAUUCUGCUCACUUUUAGUACUUUGUAUUUAUUUCAGGGAGUAGAACGGAAAUUUGAUAACAGGUGCUAAUUUGGCAGAAAAAGAGUCCAGAUGAUAGAGCUUGCCCCAAGGGCAUUUUUGGAAAGGAGAACUUGUGCCCAUCUUGGUAAUUUGGGAGAAAAGGGAAACAGACAAAAUGGGUCUAACAUGGAUUGGAAGCGGCCGCACAGUAGCAGGGAAGAGGGCAGACGUAAAAGCAAUUGCAGGGGGGAAAAGGAGUUUUUUUAGUUUUUAGCUUAGCAUCUGAUUUUCCCUGGGAGACUUUUGUUAAAGAUUUCCUUUUGGCUGAUAUUACGCAUGGCAGAUGGCUUUUAACUUAUUCCUCCAUCUUUGACUUUUCUUCUUUAGCUUGUGGCAGUGGAUUGCUACUUACGAAUGUCAGCACUUAGCCAUUCGUGGCUUUUGAUCUUUUCUUCCUUAGAAAUUCUGAGUAACCUCUUUUCCUUUGUGCGCCAGACGAAGUGAAAACUAUAAACUUUUGUAGUUUUUCUAUUCAUUCAAUAUAUUGAGACGAGUUGGAUUCUACCAAAUUUCAACGGACAUGGCCGCUGGUUUCUCUUCAAUUUUAUAUGGGCUUUGUUCAUCCAACAUGAACUAAUUUCACCACUCUAGUCAAGGAGCAACGAAGGCUCUGAUUUGCCUAAAAAUUGUGAGAUCGUUUUAAUUUAAUCUUUUCCUUUUAUUUAUUGGUAUCCGCACAUUUCUUGAUUGCUAUGCUUAUGGUUAUUUAAUUAAUUGAUUGUCUUGGAUCCAGAUAAUUAAUUGAUCUGAUAGCCUAUUGUCAAUUAGGGCAUUUAAAUCCGUAAUUGUUUAAUUGUCCUGAAAUAGUGACAACUGGCACGAUUAGAUUCGUGCCAGGGGGGAUAUGCGGGCUAAUCUAAAAUAACCCUGGUAGUGUGUUAUUUGGUUAGAAUAGGGCUCCUCUAAUACUAAGGCAAUUGGGGAAUUAAAUUCUACGGGCGUACCUAGGAUUAUUUCUUAAUUAGAGCAGUGAUUAACGGGCGUACCUUGAUCACCGACACAGUAAGGAGGGGUUGACCGUCAUCGCUUGUUUGGCAGUUAUAACCUAUUUAUCAGUAAAUAAUUGGGAUUGCCUUGCAUCAAUGAUCAAUUAGGUGAACCAUUGUUGAAGUUACUUCUUGGUUAGAUCUUUAGUUAAUAUUACCUUGAUUUUGGUGAAUUGCCAUUUGAUUUUUAGUUGCCUACUUUAUUUUAUUUUUAAUUGUUUCCUUGCUUUAAUUGAGUUAGGCCUUUAAUUAUUGUUAUUCUAAGUUUAGUGAAUUGUGGUUUAAUUCCUAAUUAGUUAUUUAUUUUUACUUUCUUAUUUGAAUUUAUUUGCUUGUUAUCAUUCCUACGAAAUCACCCCCCUGUGUUACUUUGGAUUUCUUAAGAAACAAAUAUACCCAAUCCCUGUGGAUACGACCCUACUUGCUCUGUUCACGAAUUCAUAAUUAUUUGUGAAAAGAAAUAACCAUUCCACUCGGGUAUAUCGGAUCAAGCAAAUUCUUCGGGAACAGGGUGAAUCAAGUAACCCAAUGCACACCUAGAGUCCCUGCUCCAGUACUUGGAAUUGGGUUUUGGUCAUUUUAACUGGCAAUUAGGUUUAAUUUUAUUAUUGCACAGGCUGACGACCCUGUCAAUUUUUGGCGCCGUUGCCGGGGACUGGCGUUAUUAUUUGUUUCUUUUUAAAUUCAUUCUUUGUCCUAAUUUUCUGGUUUUCUUCUAGUGUAUGCCUCGAUCUUCUCGUACAGGUAAUUUGAUUUUUGACCCUGAGGUAGAGAAGACCGCAUGUAGAACGAGAAAGGAAACCAGACAGCUCAGAGAAGAGCACUCCAGUGCUACAUCUCAGAGACCCGAGUCAGAAGUUGAACUAACAGAUUCGUUUGGUAACACUUCGAGUGACUCUGACCAGGAGGAAGACACCAUGGCUAAUGCACGAACAUUAAGGGAGUUGGCUGCUCCUGAUUUAACUCAGCAGCCUUUAUGCAUUACUUUCCCCACUUUAAAUGAUAACAUUCCAUUUGAACUAAAAUCUGGUCUGAUUCAGCUUUUACCCUCUUUUCAUGGUUUACCAGGUGAAGAGCCGUAUAAGCAUCUGCAGGAGUUUGAUGUCGUGUGUAAUAGUAUGAAACCCUCGGGAAUCACAGAAGAGCAGAUAAAAAUGAGGGCAUUCCUCUUCUCCUUGAAAGAUUCUGCGAAGGACUGGCUGUACUACCUGUCACCAGGUAGCAUCACCACGUGGGACCAAUUGAAGAAAAAAUUUUUGGAUAAAUAUUUUCCUGCGUCCAGGGCUGCAAGUCUAAGGAAAGAAAUUUGUGGGAUCAAGCAGCAUCCAGGGAAGUCACUUUAUGAGUAUUGGGAACGGUAUAAGAACUUGUUGCGCAGGUGCCCCCAACACCAAAUAAGUGAGCAAUUGAUCAUACAGUAUUUUUAUGAGGGGCUCCUUUUUAGAGACAGGAGCAUCAUUGAUGCCAGGGGGGAGGGUUGGGAUGGGUGGUACGGGGGGAGGGAGUGUAAGCAAGAGGUCUCGGGUUCGAGUCCUCCCGCUUACACACAAAAAAAAAGAUGCUGCAAGUGGAGGGGCACUGGUAAACAAAACCCCUCAGGAAGCACGGGAGUUAAUAGAGGGGAUGGCAGAGAAUUCACAACAAUUCAGUACAAGAGAGGAUGUCCCAAUACGUAAGGUGAAUGAGGUAGAGACACCCUCUAUGCAGCAGCAGCUAACUGAGUUGACCGCGUUUGUUAGGCAACUGGCUGUGAGAAAUGCAUCACAAGCCAGGGUGUGCGGGAUUUGCACUGGUAUGGGUCAUUCUGCAGACAUGUGCCCAAUGAUUCAGGAAGAAACUGCAGAACAGGUGAACAUGGCUGACCACGCGCCCGCGCCAAGGAAGCAGUACGACCCUUACUCAAGCACCUACAACCCCGGGUGGAGAGAUCAUCCCAACCUCAGUUAUGGAGAAAAUAGGCAGCCCAACAUUACACCGAACAGGCAGUCUAACUUUGUGCCAAAUAGGCCACCAGGGUACCAGCAGCAAUAUCAACCCCGACCACCUCCGUCCCCAAGCUCUGGCCCAUCUUUGGAGGAGAUGAUGAAACAAAUGAUGACAACUAUGGCUCAAAAUCAGCAAAUGACGGAGGCAACCAUUAUGCAAAAUCAGCAAAGGACGGACUCCGAAAUGAAGGAUAUAAGGAAUCAGAUAAGUCAAAUGGUCACAACAAUCAACCGUUUGGAUUCCCAGAACCAAGGUAAAUUGCCAUUUCAGCCCGAAUUAAAUUCGAAGAACGUGAGCGCAAUGACCCUAAGGAGCGGGAAAGAAAUUCAGGGGUCUGAACCUGUGAUCCCUAAGGAUAAGGAUGAGGAAAAGAUCGAAAAUGAGCUUGAAAGGGAGGACAGCAAUGGUGCAGAUCUAAAGGUACUUCCUGACCCAAUAAUUACAGCUAAAACUAACCCGCCUCCUUUUCCUAGCAGGUUGGAAAAAUCGAAAAAAGAGGAUAAGGAGAAGGAGAUCUUGGAGGUUUUUCGCAAGGUUGAGAUAAAUAUCCCCCUCUUAGACGCAAUCAGACAAGUACCAAAAUAUGCCAAGUUCCUAAGGGACUUGUGUGUCAACCGAAGGCAGUUGAGGGAAGAUGAACGGGUUAUUGUUGGGGAGAAUGUGUCAGCAGUCCUGCAGAGAAAGCUCCCACCAAAGUGCGGGGACCCAGGUAUGUUUACUAUUCCCUGUAGGAUAGGUAAUACUGUGAUAGAAGGGCCAUGUUGGAUCUGGGAGCAUCAAUUAAUCUCAUACCUAAAUCUAUCUAUGCUUCUCUAAAAUUAGGUCCAUUAAAAGAAACUGGAAUAAUCAUUCAAUUAGUUGACCGAACUAAUGCAUAUCCUGAUGGGUUGGUUGAAGAUGUGUUGGUAAAAGUUAAUGAUUUGAUGUUUCCAGCUGAUUUUUAUGUACUUGAUAUGGAUGAUGAUCACUCCCCUGAUCCCUCACCUCUGUUAUUGGGUAGACCCUUUAUGAGCACAGCACAGACGAAAAUUGAUGUUAAUAAGGGUAUCUUGUUCAUGGAGUUUGAUGGGAAAAUUGUGCAUUUCAAUAUCUUUGAUACUAUGAAAUAUCCCUCAAACUCCAACUUUAGCACAGUUUUCUCUGUGAGUGCUAUUGACCCUGUAGUGCAGGAAGUGUUUGAAACUGAUGGCAGGGAUGAGUUGGAGGUGGCUUUGACCAAGCACCUCGAGUUGGAGACAACUCCUGAGGUGGAAUGGAGCGAGGACCUAAAAUGCACAAUAGGUGCAUUACACUCAUUGCAGUCCACCACGAAAAGGUAUGAAGUCUUACCUAUUUUUACUCCCGAACCUCACCAGAGGGUGUUGCCAUCUGUGGUGCAGGCACCUGUACUAGAAUUUAAACCUCUAUCAGAGCACCUGAAAUAUGCAUAUCUGGGUGAUAAUGAGACACUCCCGGUGAUUAUCUCAUCGACACUGUCAAAAAUCCAGGAGGAGAAACUGAUCCGGGUCCUUAGAGAGCAUAAAGAGGCGAUAGGUUGGACAAUCGCAGAUAUUAAGGGGAUCAGCUCGGCCAUCUGUAUGCACCGGAUUAGACUAGAAGAGGAUGCCAAACCUGUUAGGCAGGCUCAAAGGAGGCUCAACCCCCUAAUGAUGGAAGUUGUAAAGAAAGAAAUUUUAAAAUUGCUAGAUGUGGGGAUUAUUUUUGCAAUAUCAGAUAGCCCUUGGGUAAGCCCGAUCCAGGUAGUCCCAAAGAAGGCAGGGGUGACGGUGGAGGCAAACCAAACGGGUGAGCUCGUGCCAGUGCGCAAACCCACUGGAUGGAGGCAGUGUAUAGACUACCGUAGGCUAAACGCCGUCACCAAAAAGGACCAUUUCCCUCUCCCUUUCAUUGACCAAAUGGUUGAACGUUUAGCUUGUAGAGCUUAUUAUUGCUUUUUGGAUGGAUUUUCAGGAUACUUUCAGAUAGCAAUUGCUCCAGAGGAUCAAGAGAAGACAACCUUCACGUGCCCGUUCGGGACCUUUGCUUAUAGACGAAUGCCAUUUGCGUUGUGCAAUGCACCUGCAACAUUCCAGAGGUGUAUGGUAAGUAUUUUUUCUGAAUAUGUGGAGAAAAUUAUUGAAGUUUUCAUGGACGAUUUCAGUGUGUAUGGUGAUAGUUUUGAUACGUGUUUAGAUAAUCUGAAAUUGAUCCUGAUAAGGUGUAUAGAGACUAAUCUUGUGCUUAAUUGGGAAAAAUGUCAUUUUAUGGUUGAGCACGGGAUAGUCCUGGGUCAUAUUGUAUCGUCUAAGGGCAUAGAAGUUGACAAGGCUAAAAUAGAUAUUAUUUUUGCAUUACCUUACCUCGCGAGUGUGCGGAAGGUGCGUUCUUUUCUUGGACAUGCAGGUUUUUAUCGAAUGUUCAUCAAGGAUUUUUCAAAAAUUGGAGCCCCGUUAUUCCAACUCCUACAAAAGGAUGUGACCUUCGAAUUCGAUGAUAAGUGUGAGGAAGCCUUCAACAAGUUGAAAGAAUUGUUGACCUCACCCCCAAUUAUCCAGCCCCCUGAUUGGAGUCUACCAUUUGAGAUCAUGUGCGAUGCCAGUGAUCAUGCCGUAGGGGCUGUAUUGGGGCAAAGAGUAGGGAAGGCAGCUCACGUCAUCUACUAUGCAUCCCGAGCAUUGAAUGGAGCCCAAUUGAAUUACUCCACUACUGAAAAGAAGCUUCUUGCAGUUAUUUUUGCUUUAGAAAAAUUCAGGUCAUAUUUGCUAGGUGCUAAAGUAAUUGUAUUUUCUGACCAUGCAGCAUUAAGGUACCUAAUGACCAAGAAAGAUGCCAAACUGAGGCUCAUUAGGUGGAUAUUGCUACUGCAGGAAUUUGACCUGGAGAUACGGGAUAAAAGGGGCUCAGAGAAUUUAGUAGCUGACCAUCUGAGUCGUAUACCCGUUGGAGAGGAUAAUGAACCAUUGAGGGAUGCGUUCCCUGAAGAGCACUUAUUUUCUUUAAAUUCUCAGUUGCCUUUGUAUGCCGAUCUGGUCAAUUAUUUGGUAACUGGUAAUUUUCCUGCAGGUUGACCAAAAUCGAAGAGGGAUAAAUUGAAGAGCGACGCCAAGUAUUUUAUUUGGGACGACCCGUACCUAUGGAAGAGGUGUGCAGAUCAAGUGAUGCGGAGAUGUGUAAGUGAAAUGGAAUUUCAAUCGAUUUUAGCUUUUUGUCAUACUUUUGCCUGUGGAGGUCAUUUGGACCCAAGAGAACUGCUCAUAAGGUUUUAGAAAGUGGAUUUUAUUGGCCUUCAUUGUUUAAGGAUGCCUAUGUGUUUUGUAAGUCAUGUGAUCGCUGUCAAAGGGUAGGUAAUAUACCCCGUAGAGAUCAAAUGCCCCAAGUCCCGUUGAUUUUUAUUGAAAUUUUUGAUGUCUGGGGUAUAGAUUUCAUGGGGUCUUUUCCUACUUCAUUUGGUUUUUUAUAUAUUUUGCUGGCAGUUGAUUAUGUGUCUAAAUGGGUGGAGGCUAAGGCCACUCGAACUAAUGACUCGAAAGUAGUUGCAAAUUUUGUCAGGUCUAAUAUUUUUGUGCGAUUUGGAAUGCCUAGUGCUAUUGUCAGUGAUAGGGGAACGCACUUUUGCAACAAAAUCAUAGCUGCGUUGUUUCGCAAGUAUGGUGUACUCCAAUGGGUCUCAACGUCGUACCACCCUCAGACCAAUGGUCAAGCGGAGGUGUCGAAUCGAGAGAUCAAGUCUAUCUUGGAGAAAAUGGUGCGCCCCGAUAGGAAAGACUCGAGUCAAAGGCUGGAGGACGCACUUUGGGCCUAUCGGACGGCGUACAAGACUCCUAUAGGGAUGUCACCGUACAGGUUGGUAUUUGGGAAGCCGUGUCACCUUCCAGUGGAGUUUGAGCACAAAGCUUUUUGGGCGAUAAAGUAAUGCAACAUGAAUUUAGAGGAAGCCGGUGCCCAACGAAAGUUGGAUUUGCAAGAAUUAGAAGAGAUCCGGAACGAGGCUUACGAAAAUGCACUAAUUUAUAAGGAGAGAAGCCGGAUAUUUCAUGAUCAACAAAUUUCAAGAAAAUCCUUUGAAGUUGGUCAGAAGGUCCUACUAUACCAAUCCAGGCUCAAGCUAUUCCCAGGUAAACUACGUUCCCGUUGGAUUGGACCUUUUCUUGUUACUCAUGUUUUUCCAUAUGGUGCAGUUGAAAUCCGGAGCGCUAAAACAGACAACAAAUUUGUGGUGAAUGGACACCGUCUCAAGCAUUACUACGAAGGAUUUUCAGGUGAAAAGGUGGAGACAAUAAGUCUAGACGCGCCACCGUGUCCUAAUCAGUGACAUUUUACUAUGUCUAGCCAAAGACAUUAAAGACAGGCGCUCAUUGGGAGGCAACCCAAUUGUCCCUUUUAAUUAUUUGUUUGAUUUCGUGUGAUAGUUUAAAUAUGUUUUCCUUGAAUUCGACUGAUUUUGGGUUUCAGUUUUCGUUUUUGCUGAAUUGUAGGUGACCUUCAGUCUUGACGCGCCCGCGUGAUGACAUGCAGGAAGCUCACGAUCAGAAUCGUCUGAAAGCUCUCUUGCCCUUUUGACGCACCCGCGUGAUGACGUGCAGGAAGCUCACGAUCAGAAUCGUCUGAAAGCUCUCUUGCCCUCUUGACGUGCCCGCGUCACGUUCGCAGGAAAGGUACGGGUUUCAAAAAUUUAAAGAAAAAAUAAUAAUAAUAAUAAUUUAAAAUUUUGAAAUUAACUUCCGUAAAAAAAAAAAAGAAGAAAAAAAAUUUCACCGUGGCUUAAAUAGAGCCUAAAGAAGAGAAAAAAGAAACAAUUUCUUUCUUUUUUUUUUCUUUUUCUUCUUUCUUCCUUCUUUCUUUCUUUCUUCUUUCUCUUUUCCCUCUCUCUUCUCCCCUGUUUCUUCUCCCCUGUCCGUCGCCCGUGCGCCCCAUCGCUGCUCCACCUCCACACGCACGCCGACGCUGCGAGCCACCUGCGACCCCAGCGCCAGAUCUGGACCAUCGCCGAAACCCGCAGCCUCCGCCACCUCCACCUGAGCUCUGCCUCGCGCGCAACCCAGCUGCUCUGCGCCCGAAGCUCCACCGCCGCCACAGCCUCCCCACGCAGCUCCCUGCUCACGCGGCCACAAGCCCAUUGGAAACGGGACAGAGACUGCCGCCGAGCCACUUGCCCGCGUGACCGCCGCUGUUUUCCACCACCUCCCUCACGCGAGCUCUUUCCCUCUCAGCAGCAAUCCACUUCACAGCGCACCCGCUGCGCGCCGUCGCAGCCCUCGCAGCUCCAGCCCGUCUGGUCUAGUCCGCCGCGCGCACCAACCACCCACGGACGCUACCCCCAUCGCUAACCCACGCGGCCUCCACUCCAGUCUGUCCGCCGCCGCUGCUCGUGUCUCCCUUGCGCACCUCACGCCACCCGCUACUGUCCCCUUCCGUUUGGUUAGCAUCCACGGUGGAGGUAAUUGGAGGUUAUUUUCUCAAUUGUGUGACUUCCGCCUGUGAUACUGGUUGCAUUAUUUUUGCUGGGAAUUGCUACUUCUUUUGGGUUGGGUUCAACUGUGCAAUUAAUUGGCCAACUGGAGCCAUUUGUUGGGAUUUUGGGUGAGCUGAAAUACUGCAUUUGUGUGUUACAUUGGGAGGUUUAUUGGGUACAUUCUAACCGCUGUUUUCCAUUGUUACUCUCGCUGGGGUGUCUAUUAAAUUGCGAUUGAAGUAUUUUGGAUAUUGCAUGUUGAGAUUGAGGUUUCAUUGAAUUUGGCCUACGUUCUGCCCCCAGUGGUACUGGUGGGAAUAUUUUCAAUUGAAUUUGUUACCUCUAGUUGGUUGGCUACAUUAUUAUGGUCGAAUUCCUAAGUUGUCGUCAUUGCAUUUGUUGAUCUUGAUUUGGGGCAUUAACCGGCCAACUGGAGCCAUCUGUGCGUUUUUAGGCGCUAUUAUUGGUUUCUUCUCCCUUAACUUUGUCAACUAUAUUUGGUUGGGUAUUUGGUUGACUGCCACGGACUUGUAACUGUGUUUUGCUUCUAAUUGACCAGUUGCACAGCAGUUUUUUUUUAAUUGAUAGGGUGGUUAUACCUCUGGAUAUUUGUAUCCACUGGUUUGAGGACAUGGUGAGACCAAAAUCCUCCUCUAGGUCUAGGACCCCUAGAACCUCGCAAUCCCAACCCCAAGCCUCUACUCUAGUCAAUACCCCUAUAAAUCAACCUACUGCUCCCGGUGUCCGAACCUGGUUAGGUAGGGGUAGAGGUGCCCACGUGGCUUCCGCCACUCACUUGGGAGGGCAUUUGGAAUUCACUAGAGCCGCCGAUCAGCGACGCUAUGCUCAAGCUUGUGAGCGGCGUAUCAUUCCGUGCAAAUGCGCGGACCACAUUACUAUGGUUUUUCUGGGGAUCCAAGGGGAGGUUGAGCGCAUGUACACCGCCAUUGGAUGGCGCCCCUAUCUGGAUAUUUUCCAGCCAGCCUUUGUCGAGUUGACUAGAGAGUUUUACACCACUUUUAAGUUUGAAUUACCGACUAGGUAUACUGUUGCGACUCCCGAUAUCAUUCACUUCCGUCUCAUGGGCCAGGAAUUCAAUUUCUCUAUCACCCAGUUCAAUCUGGCUUUCGGUUUCAUCACUCGGGAGUAUGCAGAGACUAGGGAAUACGGUGAGAGUGCCUGCGAUUUUGUGGAACCUUUCCUUACCGCCUACCGUGAGGUGUGGGAGGACAUGUCUGUGGACAUGCAGCGUUACGAUCCCUCUCGGUCUCGGAGCUCCUUUCUAGAGGACCCGAGUGCUCGGUAUGUUCAGCGGCUUUUAGCAUAUAGCUACUCGGGCAGAAAGAACAGCUUCGGUAUUAUCUCUCGGCCGGAGCUCUUCUUCCUUUGGUGUAUGAAGAAUGGGUUCAAGGUCAAUUUGGGUUGUUGGUUGGCGGCACAGUUCAAGACCGUCAUGGCAAAGAAGAACAAGCCGUUGAUUCUUGGGUCGUAUAUCACGUACUUGGCGGUCCAGCUAGGCGUUCUGAAUCUACAGGAUCACGAUUUGCACUUGGCCUGCGACAUGGAGUAUCUCACUGCUGACCGGCUAGAGAAGAUGGGGGUUCUGGAGCUUGUCGAUGGCCACUACCGAUUUGUGCCCCCGGGACCGCCCCGCGCCCCGCCUCGCUCUUCCUCCACCCAUUCGGCCCCAGUUGGCGGUGAUCCUGGCCCGUCGACAUCCGCUCAGCUCCCUCCACCAGCAGGGGCUGAAGAUUGGCACCAAAUCAGGACGCAGAUUCAGAAUUUGGACGCCCGGAUGAUUAGCAUCGAGAGCAACGUGGCGGCUAUAUCACAGAAUCUGGCGGCAUUCCUGCAGCACUCGGGUUUCCCGCCCCCAAUCCCACCUCACCCUCCACUAUGACCCGGUUUCAGGGAAGUUUGGUUACUUUCUCCCUCACUUUUGUUGUUUUUUGACACAUUGAGGACAAUGUGUCCUAUAGGUGUGGGGGGGUCUAUAGUCUUUCUAGUUUUUAGUAGUUGUUAGUUUUUAGUUUUUUAGUAGUUUUAGUUUUAUUUCUAGUUGCGUAUUUUCUUUCUUUUCUUAGUGCUUAUUCCCCAUGUGAAAAGAAAAAGAAAACAAAAAAAAAGAGAAAAAAAUGUUGGUUUAUUGACUCUAACUCUACUUUUGCCAAGUUUUUUUUAAAUAAAAAUGUAUCGGGUUAAUGUGGUUGGAUCCAGAAUAUCUCCCUGGUGAAUAUCGGAUUGCUUGGCUCUUUUGAUUUCUGUGUUAAUUUCUCUAGGCAUAGGGAAUGACUGUUGGCAUUUUAAUGUGAACUGGUCCAAUAUUGACUCCAGUUCUCUAUGUUUGGCAAUAAUGAGGCGAGCUGUUCCUAUUUUUGGUUCUUAGUGUUGUUAUUAUGUGUUUUUGGCUUUGUUUGGCUGUGAAUAAUCUGGACUGUACUCCGCUAUGAGUUACUACUGAGUAACCGAGGAUCGGCACCUAAAAGUGUCGAUUCUCGCGUCAAAAGGUGGUACUUUAUAUGAGUACGUGGUCGUAUAGCAGUAGGAGCUGAGUAACCGGGCUCCUUCAUCUAAAAAUGUUGGAGUUCGCGUCAAAAGGCCCCGACGGCUAACGACUAAGUCUUUUUGUGUUAAUUAUUAUUGCUUUGAAAAACAAAAAAAAAAAAGAACGAAAAAAGAGAGAAUAAAUAAUAGGAAGGCUUGCCGGUUUAUGGACUUAAUAUGGAGACUUGUGUGAAUAUUUGGACCAUUAGCUAAUAAAUGUUGUGCGCCAUUCCCUUUUCUUAGAGUAGUUAACCUGGAAAUUGAAGGAAUUUGCAGUUUAGGGGCUAACCGGGGGGGAGGCUUCUUGGAUUUUAAUCACCAAUGCUCGAUAUAUGUUUUUCUCUUGAAGAUCUUGGCAAUAUAGGAGAUUGGACAAUGGCCAUCAUCGAAUUUUGGUGUUCGUUUACUAUUCUUAUGCUUGAGGACAAGCAUGGUUUAGGUGUAGGGGGAAUUGAUAGGGUGUAAUUUUACUAUUUAUUUUAUUAUUAAUUUCUCCUAUCACCUGACCUGAUGUGGAUUAAUUGCUGGAUUCUGCUCACUUUUAGUACUUUGUAUUUAUUUCAGGGAGUAGAACGGAAAUUUGAUAACAGGUGCUAAUUUGGCAGAAAAAAGUCCAGAUGAUAGAGCUUGCCCCAAGGGCAUUUUUGGAAAGGAGAACUUGUGCCCAUCUUGGUAAUUUGGGAGAAAAGGGAAACAGACAAAAUGGGUCUAACAUGGAUUGGAAGCGGCCGCACAGUAGCAGGGAAGAGGGCAGACGUAAAAGCAAUUGCAGGGGGGAAAAGGAGUUUUUUUAGUUUUUAGCUUAGCAUCUGAUUUUCCCUGGGAGACUUUUGUUAAAGAUUUCCUUUUGGCUGAUAUUACGCAUGGCAGAUGGCUUUUAACUUAUUCCUCCAUCUUUGACUUUUCUUCUUUAGCUUGUAGUAGUGGAUUGCUACUUACGAAUGUCAGCACUUAGCCAUUCGUGGCUUUUGAUCUUUUCUUCCUUAGAAAUUCUGAGUAGCCUCUUUUCCUUUGUGCGCCAGACGAAGUGAAAACUAUAAACUUUUGUAGUGUUUCUAUUCAUUCAAUAUAUUGAGACGAGUUGGAUUCUACCAAAUUUCAAUGGACAUGGCCGCUGGUUUCUCUUCAAUUUUAUAUGGGCUUUGUUCAUCGAACAUGAACUAAUUUCACCACUCUAGUCAAGGAACAACGAAGACUCUGGUUCGCCUAAAAAUUGUGAGAUCGUUUUAAUUUAAUCUUUUCCUUUUAUUUAUUGGUAUCCGCACAUUUCUUGAUUGCUAUGCUUAUGGUUAUUUAAUUAAUUGAUUGUCUUGGAUCCAGAUAAUUAAUUGAUCUGAUAGCCUAUUGUCAAUUAGGGCAUUUAAAUCCGUAAUUGUUUAAUUGUCCUGAAAUAGUGACAACUGGCACGAUUAGAUUCGUGCCAGGGGGGAUAUGCGGGCUAAUCUAAAAUAACCCUGGUAGUGUGUUAUUUGGUUAGAAUAGGGCUCCUCUAAUAUGUAAGGCAAUUGGGGAAUUAAAUUCUACGGGCGUACCUAGAAUUAUUUCUUAAUUAGAGUAGUGAUUAACGGGCGUACCUUGAUCACCGACACAGUAAGGAGGGGUUGACUGCCAUCGCUUGUUUGGCAGUUAUAACAUAUUUAUCAGUAAAUAAUUGGGAUUGCCUUGCAUCAAUGAUCAAUUAGAUGAACUAUUGCUGAAGUUACUUCUUGGCUAGAUCUUUAGUUAAUAUUACCUUGAUUUUGGUGAAUUGCCAUUUGAUUUUUAGUUGCCUACUUUAUUUUAUUUUUAAUUGUUUCCUUGCUUUAAUUGAGUUAGGCCUUUAAUUAUUGUUAUUCUAAGUUUAGUGAAUUGUGGUUUAAUUCCUAAUUAGUUAUUUAUUUUUACUUUCUUAUUUGAAUUUAUUUGCUUGUUAUCAUUCCUACGAAAUCACCCCCCUGUGUUACUUUGGAUUUCUUAAGAAACAAAUAUACCCAGUCCCUGUGGAUACGACCCUACUUGCCCUGUCCACGAAUUCAUAAUUAUUUGUGAAAAGAAAUAACCAUUCCACUCGGGUAUAUCGGAUCAAGCAAACUCUUCGGGAACAGGGUGAAUCAAGUAACCCAUUGCACACCUAAAAUCCCUGCUCCAGUACUUGGAAUUGGGUUUUGGUCAUUUUAACUGGCAAUUAAGUUUAAUUUUAUUAUUGCACAGGCUGACGACCCUGUCAUUGUAUUUGUACCAAAAGUGAAAACUUAACUAUUUUAGUUGUAUUUAUUUCAUCAUGUUGGAUUGUAUUCAAAUAAUUUUUGUUUGAUUGUUUUUAUAAGUUUCAAUUGUAAAAUUAAAAUGAAUAAUAACUUGAUGAUGUGUUGAUAUUUUAGUACUUGAUUAUUUAUUAAAAUUUAAUUAUAAUAAAAUUUUAUUAACUCAACGAGAAAAAUUUUAUUAAUCCCGUGGGGGCACCCGCGGGGAAAGCGGGGCGGGGCGAGGGGAGUGGGAGGCGGAGGACGGGGCGGGGGCGGGGGAUGGGGGAGGGGUCCCCCGCCCCAACCCCGCCAUCCCCCGUCCCGUUGUCAUCCCUAGUAAUAGACUGGCAAGCAUUGUGGUGGUCAUUGAGCAACUUAUAGGAGAAAUAGUCCUAUAAGCUGUUCAAUGACCAAUCACAACUUGCUAAUUGGAUGACUAAUAUAGCUCUAGCUGUAAUGUUUUAAUUAAAUUACAUCACUAACGUUGGGAUGACUUUUUAACCAAAAAAAAAAAGCCUUAGUUCAAGCUUUUCCCUUUAUUGUGCAUUUUUUAAAGCAUUUGAAAGGCACUGCAAAUCUGUCAUUUUGGACAUUUUAUUAUUGACUAACAAUGAAAGCCGUGGACGUCUACCCAUAACCAACACAAGAUUAAAUUAAUAUUAGAAAAAAUAAUUGAGUAAUUGGAAAAAAAAAAAAAAGAAGAGUCUAAUUUUCAUUGAAACCCACCGACAAACUAUACGUGUCCAUGGCUUUUGAAUAGUGCAUUCAACGUUUAAUUGUAUGGUCCAGUUCAUUGCAGAUUACAUGGAGUAAAGAUUGCGCUCUUUCCUUUUCACCCCUUUUGGAAUCGAUACUGUGGAGAAUUGGGUUUUUCCCUCCUUUUUUUCUUUUCUUUCCUUCUGUGGUUUGCAAAACAUACGUAAAAAUAUGAAAUCCGAAGCAUUCUUUAAUUGGUAUUAAGUAUUGUUGUUGAAAUUAAAAAGAAAAAAGAAAGAACAACAAAAUUCCCAAUCUGGGUUGAUUGUUGAGCUCUAGAUUGGUUGCAUCGUGCUUCCAUAGAAGCAAGAUUUGUAAAAUCGGAAUCCUACAUAGGAUCGAUUUUAGUUUCACAGGAUCGGAUUGUAAAAUCGUAAGAUCCUACCAAAAGCUCUCAAUUGCAAUUAAAGGUUGCAAUUCUUUAAUAAAUUACAAAUAUACCACAAAUAUUUUCAUUUACUUGCAAAAUGGAGCUUCGUAUUUCACAAAUUUACAAAAAAAUUGUAGGAUCGUACGAUCCUACCGAUCCUACGAUCCUACACGAUCCUACCGAUCCUGCUACGAUUCUAUGCGAUCCUACAAAGAUUAAUAUGAUUUGCGACUCUGCAUACGAUCCGGAUCGAUUUUGGUUAUCCGGAUCGUAGGAUCGUAUGAUCCUACGAUCCGGAUCGCGAUUUUGACAACUAUGCAUAGAAGCUCUCUUAGUGUGAUACACUGCUUUCAAUCAGUUUAACACGGGAAAAAAAAAAAGAGAUGAAAAGCAAAUUUGGUGGAGAUAAUUUCAGAAACCUCCCCUGAAGAUUUUGACUAUUCUACUGGUUUCCCUUCAGAUUUUAAAAAUUACACUAAUCUUCCUUGAAGUUAAUUAUCUUGUAACAUUUAAAUUCAAUCAAUAAUUUAAAAAAUGAUAUUAUGAGAGAGAAAAUAAUAUGAUUUUAUCAUUGCCCCCCAUCUUACUACAUUAUUUAAUUAAUUUAAUAGCAACCCACACAUUAAAGAAAAAUAUUAAAAUUUGUUGUUUAUCAUUAAAGAUCAAAUCGCUUAUAACAUCAAAUAAUAGUAUAUUAUUUAUAUUUUUCACUUAAUAUAAUAUCCAAAUUACUCUUUUCAAUUACAUACCCAUUGUUAGAGAAUCAACAACAAAUAACCAAAAAAUUUGCAACCAAAAUAUUACAAAAAAAAUAAACUUUAACAUCAUAAAUAUUCUUAUCAACAUAUUAAAGUUAGUUACUGAAAUUUUUAUGCUGUUAAACUUCACUCUUUUUGAAUACAGAUUUUUUUGAUUAUUUGUUAUUAAUUAUGUUUGAUGAUGGGUUUAUAAUUGAAAAGAACAAUUUGAAACUUACAUUAAGUAAAAUAUAUAGAGUGAUAUACUAUUUUUUAUAACAUAUGUGAUUCAAUCCUUCUUGAUAGGAUUGGUAAUAGAGGUAGAGGGGGGAGUCGGCUGCAUCCGGUCUUCUUUUCAUAGAUAGUACAAUAUUGCGAAAUCAAUCGCAUUCACACAAUAAUAUUUCGAAGUCAAUGCAUGGCUAAGUUGCAUAAAAGUACGAACACUUGUUAUUAUAUAGCUUAAGAUUCAAAACUUUCGAGCAUAACCCUCCACCCAACACAAUUGAAUAAUGAAUAUUCACGAUUGUCAAAUCUGUCAAAGCACAGUUUGAGGACAACCCAUUCCAACCUGCAAAAGAUUUUUUACUUUUCUAAAGUUGUUGAGAGCUGUAAAAAGACUUACCAUGCUUGCAUCCUCCGAGCCUUGGGAGUUAAAAAUGAAGGCACUGAGUGCUAUAAAAAGGGGAAUAGAGGCUGCCUAGAAGCAUAUCAGCCUAAAACAAGAAUUUGUAGUUAAGAUGGGAAGCAAAGCAAAAGCAAUGGGGUCUGGGCUGACUCCUCUUCUUGCCACUGUUUUAGUGGUGUUUGUUGCUCUUGGCUUGCCCUCACAAACUGCAGCUGAUGAUCACUACAAGUAUUCAUCUCCUCCUCCUCCUUACCACUAUCCCUCACCACCACCACCAGUGCAUAUACCUCCACCUCAUCCUGUUUACAAGUACAAAUCUCCACCACCCCCACCACCACACCCAGUUUACAAGUAUAAGUCACCACCACCACCUCCUCAUCCGGUAUACAAGUAUAAGUCUCCUCCGCCACCACCACACCCAGUUUACAAGUACAAGUCACCACCACCACCUCCUCAUCCGGUACCACACCCAGUUUACAAGUAUAAGUCACCUCCACCACCUCCUCAUCCGGUACCCACAGUUUACAAGUAUAAGUCACCACCACCACCUCCUCAUCCGGUAUACAAGUAUAAGUCUCCUCCGCCACCACCACACCCAGUUUACAAGUAUAAGUCACCACCACCACCUCCUCAUCCGGUGCCACACCCAGUUUACCACUACAAGUCACCACCACCACCUCCUCAUCCGGUACCACACCCAGUUUACCACUACAAGUCACCACCACCUCCUCACCCAGUUUACAAAUACGAGUCUCCACCACCACCAGUUUAUAAGUACAAGUCACCACCACCUCCUCCACCAGUUUACAAGUAUAAAUCUCCUCCACCACCACCACCAGUUUACCACUACAAGUCUCCACCACCUCCUCCCCCAGUUUACAAAUACAAGUCUCCACCACCUCCUCACCACUACUAAGCAAUUGCUUCUGAGGUAAUAACACUUGUUCAAUAUACCCACUUCUGCAUGAUAAAGCAUAUCUCUAUCAACACAAACUGUCAUGUCUAUCAUGCUAAGUGCCUUCACUUCAUCCACCAAAAUGACUGCUAGAAAAUUUUUUUUAUGUUACCAAAGAAAGGCAUCAUUUUUUCCCUCUGUUAUCAAGAACUUGUACAGUAUAUAGAUUAAAGAGUAUUUUUUUAACUAGCUUAUCAACUGAGAAAUGCAUAUAGCUGAUAGCCAGCUGAAUAUUUGCAGGCAAAGGAGAAGGAAACCAUGUUUGAGACCUUCUUGAAGAUGUAGAAGCAUAAGAAUAAAAGCCCAAUGUGAAGAUGAUGAUUUCAAGUUUUUCUACGUUACCAUUUCUUUAUCUAAAUUGGUUGUAGCGCCCAAGUUCCUUUGUUUAUGGGAUUUGUAUCGUUUUACGUACCAUGCAGUACAUGUCAUGUUUGUAAGGUUUUCUAUCCUGCCGGCAAACCGCAGGUUCCAUGUGAUAAAUGAAUACUAUUUAUGUUACGACACUUUUCUCUGUUUCUCUUAUAUUUUGUCUUUAAUAUUCUUAAUCAUAUUUUUAACAAAAAUAUUCAAACACUUAGGCAAUCUGGUCUAAUGCUAAUUGUAUGUUUUACUUUUCUUUUUCACCUGCUCCCCUUUUCAACUCAAAAGGAUGCAAUAGUUUGUGAUCACUGUUUAAGACGGAAGCAUGAUACUAAUGAAUAUCUCAUUGAAACUCAAGGAAACUAACAUUGCGAAAAGUGUAAAUCUUGAUUUGAUGCAACUAUUUAUUCGUGGAAUCUAUAGUUACAAAACUCAAAUUCUGACUGCGCCAUUGAUAAAUUAUUAAUGACGCUAUCAUCAUUAUUUAUCCCUAACUAGUUUCGACUACAACUGAACCCAAUAUUUUCCCCAUGAUAAAAGUUUUUGACUAUUUUACUGGCCUCUCUUCAAAUUUUAAAAAUUACACUAAUCUUCAUUGAGAUUAAUUAUCUUGUAACAUUUAAGUCCAAUUAAUAAUUAAAAAAUGAUAUUAUGAGAGAGAAAAUAAUAUAAUUUUAUCAUUGCCCCCCAUCUUGCUAUAUUAUUUAAUUAAUUUAAUAGCAACCCACACAUUAAAGAAAAAUACUAAAAUUUGCUGCUUUUCAUUAAAGAUCAAAUUGCAUAUGCCAUAAAACAUAGUAUAUCAUUCUAUAUGUUUCACUUAAUGUAAGAUCCCAAUUGUUCUUUUCAAUUACAAACCCAUUGUCAAACAUGAUCAAUAACAAAUAAUCAAAAAAUUUGCAACCAAAAUAUUACAAAAAAAAACUUUAACAUCAUAAAUAUUCUUACCACCUCUAGUGCAUUCACCCUCAUAAAAUAAUUCAAGACCCUACUGUCAUAAAAUGACUGAUCAACUCCUGUAAACCUAAUUUGACAACAUUUAAAUGGAGAACUUUAGCUAAAAGAAUUAUGGUCAAGCUAAAGAAAAAACCAGUUAUUUUCCAACAUAUGCAACCAUUGAUCAGGGGAAAAAAAAAAGCAAAAAGACAUCUUCAAUCAUUUAAUAGCUUACAGGGCAAAUUAACCCUUGAGUGAAAACUGGUUGCUCUAGAAUUAAAAUUUUACCUUAGUUACCCAGGCAACUUUUUUGUUGCCUUUUCUUUUUCUUUUUUGGGUAUAUAGCUCCAGUUUUGCCCCCUCUGUCAAGCUUAUAUAAUUAUUAAGAUAAUAAAAGUGCCUUUAAUAGUAUUAAUAUAUCCAUUGACUUGAGCUGUCAUCGAUCGGUUUGGGCUACUUCGAUUCCAUGAGAACAAAUGGUAAUAAAAGUACUCAGAAAAUGGGGAGUCAUGAAACCCUUUUGUUCUAUUCAUUGCUAAGAUGCUUUUCUCUAUAAAGAGACUUCCUAACGAAAAUACUUUGUAGAUUUCUUUACUCCAAGUGGUGCAUGGAAAAUUAAUAUUUUCAAUUAUCAAAUAAAAUUCCCUUUUUUCGGCGUAGAUUUCAUCCAUCCAGCUGUUAACACAUUCUAUAAAUCCGAAUUGACUAAUCUUUUCGUUUCCAUUUUCCAACUUGCGAAUACGGCAUAUAGUGUCUGCUAAACACUAUAUAUUCUCUGCCAAAUAUGAAUACAUAUCACUUUUCUGAGCAAGUGCAGAGUCAUUAUCAUUUUUAUUCCCACCUAACAAAUUAGGGAUAAAAAAGUUAAUAAUCUUUACAUGCUAUCAGGUCACAAGUUAAUAAUCUUUUAAAGAACAUGUUAAAUUAAUUUAUUGGUAUGAAUAGUAGUCAAAGAAGUAUGUUAAAGUUAGUAAUCUUUAAAAUAAUAUGUUAAAAUCAUUCGUACAAAUUAGUCAGAGAAGUAGCAUAAACACCGCGAUGCAAUUAAUACUUUCAAUCUCAAGGUCUCUAUUAUGGAAAUUUGCAUCGGUCAAUAUACACUUGGCAUAAUAUAAUCUCCCAACUCAUUUCUUUACAAAUGCACCUUUAAUCACCACCAAAAGGUGUGGACAUGAUCUUUACCCUAGAAAACUAUUCACCGACAGGCAAAUUGACGUCAGAAAUACUGAGGAAUUCUAGUUUCCUUCGGGUUCAUGCCAUGUUGUAUCCUUCAACUGUAACUCGAUUUCUAAGCUGUAAUUUGUGACAUAAUAGUCCUUAAACUAUGAAACCCUUCUUACUUAAUUACAAUGGUUAAUACAAUGCCCGUGACUAGACAAGUAUGAAGCAACCAUAACAGAAAAAAAAUCCAAAAUUAGAGAAAAGAAAGAAGUUUCGCGACCACCACCAGUUUACAAGUCACCUCCACCACCUCCUCCAGUUUACAAGUCACCUCCACCACCUUACCAUUAUUCCUCACCACCACCUCCAGUGCAUUCACCCCCACCACCACCAGUUUACAAGUCUCCGCCACCACCUUACCAUUAUUCCUCACCACCACCUCCUGUGCAUGCACCUCCACCACCAAUUUACAAGUCACCUCCUCCAGUUUACAAGUCUCCACCACCACCUUACGAUUAUUCCUCACCACCACCUCCAGUGCAUUCACCCCCACCACCACCAAUUUAUAAGUCUCCCCCACCGCCUCCCCCAGUAUAUAAGUCACCACCACCACCUCCUCCAGUAUACAAAUCACCUCCACCACCUCCUCCAGUUGACAAAUCUCCACCACCACCAAUUUAUAAAUACAAGUCUCCUCCACUACCUCCUCCAGUGUACAAGUCAUCACCACCACCUGCUUACAAGUCUCCACCUCCUCCAGUUUACAGUUCCCCACCACCACCAAUCUACAAGUCUCCACCUCCACCCUACCAUUACUACUACAAUUCUCCUCCUCCUCCUCGUCACUACUAAGCAAUUGUAUCCAAGUUUUUGAGGUAAUAACGCUUAACCAAUAAAUUAACUUUCGCAUGAUAAACCUUAUCUCUAUCAAGACAAACUGCCAUGUGUAUCAUGCCAAAUACGUACACCUAGAUCCAUGAAAAUGAAUGGUAGAAAGUUUUCUUAAGAACCAAGAACAGCAUUAGUAUUCCCUCUGCUUCCAAAAACUUGUGUAUUAAAUAGAUUAAUGAAUUGUUUAACAUGCUCAUCUACUUGAAAAUGCACAAUACCCAUAACCCACUGAAAUUUUUGCAGGAAAAGGGAAAGAGAAUCUGUGUUUGAGAGCUUCAUGAAGAUGUUGAAGAAUAAGAAUAAAAGCCCAAUGCAAGGAUGUUUUCAAGUUUUUCUAUGUUUCCACUUUAAUUUGUAAAUUGAAUUUUGCGACUCAAUUAAUUCCCUGUUUGUGAGGUACGUAUUGUUUUACGUACCAUGCCGUACAUUUUUUUUUUCCAACAAACGGUAUCAUGUUAUAGAUAUUAACACUUGACCUUACAAGGAUUAGUUACAAAAAGGGGAUACUACCCUCAACUCUGUCCUAGCUAAAUCAGUCAGCCAUAUUGGGAAAUUAGUUUCCCAUUCAAUAUCAUGUACAAGCUUCACAGCAUAUUGUGCUAAUUGAUGGCUGAUGUGAUUUUCAGUUCUAGGUAUAAACACAAAAGAACAUUUUUCAAAAGCUAGACUAAGUUCCUGCACAUCUUCUAAGAUAGUUGCAGUCGUGUAGUCAUACUCCUUGCGUUUAGUAAUCUGCUCUACCACUGAUUUGCAGUCUGUAUGGACUAUAAUUUGUGUCCAACCUGCUUGGGUAGCCAUCAGCAGAGCAUUUCUCACAGCCCGAGCUUCCACUUCACUUGCCGAUCCCUUUCCCUGUGUGACAAUUCCUUUUGCUUUCAAAAGCUGUCCUUUCCAAUUUCUUGCUAUAAUCCCUUGUCCGGUCCUGACUCGUUUAGCUGAUAUCGCUGCAUCGGUAUACAGCCUUAUCUCUUCCUUCCUUGGCCGCACUCUCCUGGUAGGUAAGGCAUCAUUCAGCUUCCCUGCGAUCUCCUUCUGGUCUGUACUCCCUACCUGUUCAAACUCAAGCCAUUCCUCCUGUGCUUUCCUUACUAUUUUUACUGGAUCCUGGUUGGCUUGUUCAAAAAAUUUUUUGUUCCUGGCUUUCCAAAUUUGCCAAAGGAUAUUGAUAGUAAGACUAACUCUCUCCUGACCUUGGUUCAGUGCCAGCGAUUGUGUGACUUGUUCCCACCAUAACCAAAAGUUAUAUUGCAUACCCAGUAAUCCAUCCCACCUGACCGGUGCUAGCUUCCACGUUUCCACAGCCUUUUCACAGAAGAAAAACAAAUGCUCAAUAGUUUCCAUAUCUUCACCACAGCAACCACAUCUGCCUUCCCCUCUAUGUAGCCUUUUCGACAUCUGUUCAUUGACUGGCAGACAAUUUUGUAAGCACUUCCACAUGAAGUGUUUUAGUUUGGCCUUCACCUUCAAAUGCCAUAGCUGCUUCCACACAUUUCGUUUUCGUAUCUCCCAACUUGUUUCUGCCUCUUGGCCUGUCCUUGUACCUGCUUUUCCUUCCCGUUGCCUUGCUAAAGCAUAACCAGAUUUCACGCUAUAAAUUCCAGCUUUGGAAUGCCCCCAUACCAACCUAUCCUUUCUUCUUCCUAUACUUGUUGGAAUUCCCUUUAUGUGCUCUGCAUCUUUUGCACAAAACCACUUGAGAAGCAAAUCAUUUUUCCAUUUCCCUUCCUCUAUCAGCUCACUUACCCAUUCCAACUUGCAUCCCACAGGUUGUGUGGUUGAUGCAAAGCCGGUAUCUGAACCAACUAUCCAUCUGUCCCGCCACAUGUUGACUGACUUGCCAUCUCCAAUUCUUUUCCAAAGACCAUCAUACAGAAAGGAGGCUGCACUAUGAAUACUCUUCCAACACCAUGAGGCUGAAGAGACUGGCUUCUUGUCCAUCCAUUUUUCAUCACUCAUAUACUUCGCCUUCAUUACCUUACUUACUAACAAAUUUGGAGCCAUUAAGAAUCUCCAAAUUUGUUUUGCCAGUAAUGCUGUGUUGAAGGCCUCCAAAUCUCUAAAGCCUAAACCUCCUCUUCCCUUAACUUCUAAGAGCUUCUUCCAGCUUGCCCAAUGUACACAGGUACCCUUUUCUCCCUUCCCCCACCAGAAACUCGCUAUUUUACCUGUGAUUUGUCUACACAAACCCCUUGGAAGUCUAAAGCAAGCCAUCACAUAUGUUGGCAUAGCCAUAAUCACUGAUUUGACCAGAAUUUCUUUCCCUCCUUGGCUCAACAGUUUUUGUUUCCAACCUUGCAACUUGUUACUAAUUUUGUUCUGGACAAAUGCAAAGACCUGUGUCUUUGAUCUUCCAAUUGCCAUUGGGAGUCCUAGGUAGGUUCCAUUCCUUGCCUCUUUAAUGUUAUCUAAUACCUCCCUCACUCCAUUCUUCCUUUGAUCAGUGGUAUUUUUGCUAUAGAAGAUAGCUGACUUUUCAAAAUUCACCACCUGUCCGGAUGCUUGACCAUAUCUUUCCAAUAUGCUUUUGACCUUCCUCGCCUCCUGCUUGGUUGCUUGGCAGCAUAGUAGAGAAUCAUCUGCAAAAAAUAGGUGAGAAACCAUCGGACUGUCCUUGCAUAUUUUGAUCCCUGUAAUUUCCUUGUUCAUCAUAGCUUUAUGGAUCAAACAUGAAAGACCUUCAGCGCAUAUAAUAAACAAGUACGGGGAUAGGGGGUCUCCUUGUCUAAGCCCUCUACUCGGUUGAACACAGCCUACCUUUUGCCCAUUUAAGUUGAAGGAGUAAGUCACAGUAGAUAGGCAAGACAUGAUCCAUUUAACAAAAAUUGGACAAAACCCCAUUUUCAUCAUAACUCUCCCCACAUAUUUCCAUUCGACUCUAUCGUAAGCUUUGGACAUGUCCAGUUUAAGAGCCAUAAAUCCUACCCUUCCCUUUCUCCUAUUUUUCAAAAAAUGCAGGAUUUCAUGUGCAACUACUACAUUAUCAAGAAUUUGACGGCCUGGGAUAAAAGCGGAUUGAGAGGGACUAAUACAAUGAUGCAAGACACCUUUCAAUCUAUUAGCUAUGAUUUUAGAAAUGAUUUUAUACAGGACAUUGCACAAGCUAAUAGGUCUAAAAUGCACCACAGAUUCAGGAGUAUCAACUUUAGGAAUCAACGAAAUAAUAGUAUCAUUCACAGCUUUGAGCAAAUGCCCAGUAUGAAAGAAACUCUUAAUAGCUGCUACCACAUCAUCCUUGAUAAUAUCCCAAUAGUGUUGAAAAAAUAGAGGAGACAUACCAUCCGUUCCUGGUGCUUUAUUAGGGUGCAUCGAGAACAAAGCUUUCCUGAUCUCACUUUCCUCCACUUGUCGUAUCAGUUGUCCAUUCAUAUGACUCGAAAUAGUGCUUGGAAUUUCAGCUAGAAUGUCCUCAAAGCAGUCCGGGUUAGUAGUGGUAAAAAGGUCUUUAUAGUACUCACAAAGUUCCUCCUCAAUCUCAUGUUCCUCCUUGCACCAUGUCCCAUCUUUUUUCUGCAAUAUAGUGAUCUUAUUUCUCCUCCUCUUUGCCAUGACCGAAGAAUGGAAAAAAGCUGUAUUCUUGUCCCCUUCUUUGAGCCACUUGUUCCUGGAUUUUUGACUCCAAAACAUCUCUUCCUCUGCAUAAGCUUUAUUCAAUUGUGCUUUUAGUUCAGCCACUUGUACUCUUUUCCCUUCAUCCUUUCUUGCUUUCACUUCAGCCAAUUUCUCCUUUAACACUUUAAUUCUAACCUUUGAGUUUCCCUGCACCUUUUUCCUCCAAUCCAGAAUAGCCAUGCGACAUUCCUUUAUUUUUGUAGCCACUCUAAACAUCCUGGACCCUGACUUCACCUUUGUCCAUGCUCCUUGAAUCACCCUUUUUGCUUCUGGAUUUAGCGUCCAUCGUUGAUCAAAGUAAAAUCUCCGUUUUCUCCUUGUGUUUUCCGGGUUUGUAUCCACAAGAAGCAUUAGAUGAUCAGAGGCUUCAGUAUCUAAAUGAGUACACUGUGCCUUUUCAAAUCUUUGCAGCCAUUCGGUGCUGCAUAAACAUCUAUCCAACCUCUCUUUCACUUCCCCAUCCCCCUCCCAACUAUUGCACCAAAUCCACGGGACCCCUUGAUAACCUAAGUCAACCAGGUUAUUGUCUUUGAUAAACCUGUUGAACUCCCUAAAACAUCUUUCAGCUCUAUCCCUUCCUCCCCACUUCUCCUCACUAGACCUCAAAUCAUUAAAAUCUCCUACAAUGAUCCAGCCAUCCCCCCAGUCCCUCAUCCUGUCCUCUAAAUAUUUCCAUUGUGCUUUUCUAAUGUUACUAUCUGUGCUUGCAUAAACACACACUAGCCCCCAGUAUCCUUUAGUAUCCUUGUCCUCAACUCUAGCACUAAUACACCAAUCAGUACUUACAAUCUGGUCUAAAAUCACCUCAUUGUUCCAGAAUAAUGCUAGACCGCCUGCUUUACCUAUUGAAUUCACAAAAAAGCUAUUGUCAUACUGAAUCUUCCUUUGAACCUUGCCCAUAAACCCUUCCUGAUUCUUAGUUUCACAAAGGAACACCACCUUAGGAGAGUGGAAGUUAGUCACUUCCUUUAGUUGGGGACUUGUCAAGGGGCCUCCUACACCUCGACAAUUCCACACCACAACCUUCAUUUACACUUUGGAGGCUUUCCGGGGCUAGCCUCCAUUUCCCCUAUUGUACUAACAUUUAUUAGAUCCAGUUUCAUAACCUUUACCUUCGGUACAUUAUCAUCAUCCUCCUCUAUCGGUUGUGUUCCCUGAAACAUACCAUCAGCCUUCCUUUUAGCACACGAAACCUGCGUUACUUGUCCAUUUGUAUCUGCCUUUAAGGAUGUUUUAGCCGGCCUCCCUCUUCUUUUAAAACUGCUUCUUUUUUCAGCUUUGUUAUCUUCUUCCCCUGGAGUAGCCUCCUUUCUUGGCAUUCUUGCAUUUGUCUCCUCCUGCUUUAUUGACCCUACCCGCAAACUUUCACAUUCCUGUUUUGAGCUGUCCGUUUCCAUAUCCUCAUAAUCUACUGGUGGGAUUACGCUGCUCCCUCCUUUACUCCCUUCCUGUACCCUACCCUCCUUUUCACCAUUUCCCUCCAUUAAGACCACAGCCAAACUUUCCACCCGUUGGUUUGCCUUUCCAUACUGCCUGCUGUCUUUUAGAAUCUCAUCCCACCUCUCUUCAUAUUGUCUCGUCAUCAUUUUCUCCUUAUCCCCCCUUUCCUUUCCCCCCAAGACUCUACCAUUUUUUCCCCCAAGAGUUAAUGUAUCUCCAGCCAUUUGUACUCCAGUUUGAACUUCACUACUAGGAGACCCUGCCCCCACCCUCCUUGCAUCAAUUUCACUUACUCCUUCCAGCCGUCCCUUUAAGGGAGAUACCAUUAUAUUUCCAGCUCUCAUCCAGGCACCAUAUUGUUCCUCUCGCUUCUCCCCCCCACCCUUCCUACCACAGUACAAGUCCUAUCACUAUGCCCAAUGAUACCACACCUAUAACAGAAAUCAGGGCAGCGUUCAUACCUGAACUCAACCCACACUGCCUGGUUCUUACAGUUGAUCUUUGUCCCUCUAACCAGUGGUUUCGUUAUAUCUACCUCAGCCAUAAUCUUCAUGUGGCGACCCUCUUUCCCACCACUUCCUGGGAGAAUCACUCCCCUCACUGAUUUAAAGAUCCCUCCUAUUUUCAAACCCACUGCUCUGCUCAACCAGUGCACCGGUAGGUUCCAUAGUUGAAUCCAAAGAAAGGAAUGCUGGAAAAAGCUGCUGUUUGUAUCAUACCCCUCUACCCACUCCUUCACUAUCAGCAACUGGUUGUCCAUGACCCAAGGCCCUCCAGAUAAGAUCUUUUUCUUUUCCCCUUCAUCUCCCAGAUGGAAAUGGAAUAAGUUAGGACCUAACUCAGUCACUUUCAUCUUUGAGGGGUAUCCCCAUGCAUGAUUUGUAAAGUUCUUUAACCCCGUAAAGUUGGCAAUUUUUUCACCAAUCAGCUUUCCUACCAGGCUUCCUUGACACUCAGAGACGCCUUCUUCCAGGUCCUCACCACUCAGAUCGACACCUCCUAACUCUGUUUCAGACAAGUCAAAAUUUUGAAAGGCUCUUUCUAAAGCAUCCGCCAUUGCUGUGACGAGAGCUCCUUGAGAAACCAAGCACUAUUUCUGAGCUAUGAGUGACCCACUGACAGACCUGUGAAGAAUUGCAAAGACAGACAAAGCUGUGUUAUCCGUACACACUAAAAACCAACCAGAAAAACAGAGAGGAACUCGACAGAAAAAGCACAGGCACAAGAAGAAACGAAAGAAAAAAGAAAAACCAACAAACCACUAUCCCACUCCCGACCACAUAACAGCAUUAAAGAAAGGGACACAAAUACGACACUCCAACUUCCGAUCACAUGCUCUGACUCAAUGGAUCAUAUCUUGCCCAAAGCGUUUACUCCUCCAACCGAUUCCAAACCACUACAGACAUUGUCUCCCAUUUUGAAGCCGGAAGAAAGGUGGCUUCUGGACAGGGAACAUGAAAGCAAAGGUUGAACUAAAGAUUUGAUUUUAGAUCUGAAAAUUACGCUGUAGGAAAAAGUGCUAUGUGUUUGUACCUCACCCACUCUCCCACACCGAGGAGGGGAACCUCUAAAGUUAGAGAGAGAAGCUCUCAAGUUAGAGAGAAGCUUUGGAAGUUAAUUACCAACGUACCAUGCCGUACAUGUUUGUAAGGAUUUCUAUCCUAUUGGCAAAAGUCGGUUCCAUACAAUUAAUCAAUUCAUUUCACUUCUAUUGGCUCUACUAUUUAUGCAUGUUACGACACUCUUUCCCUUAUAUUUUGCCUUUAAUAUUAUGAGUCAAUAGUAAUAAUGGGCCUUUUUCUUAAAAUUAUACUAUUAUACAUAGGUAGUUUGGUCUAACGCUAAAUUCAUGUUUGUCUUUCUUUUAUUCCCUUUACAUCUCAAAGUAUACUAUAGUUUGUAAUCAUUGUGGUGAUGAUAUUACCAGCUGGUACUUAUAGUUUAAGGCAGAGACAUGAUAUUAACAACUAUCUCAUUGAAACAUAAGUCAAAAUCAUGACAAGUGUGAGUCUUGGUUAAUGCACAAUUUGUUAGUGGAAUUUAUAUUUAUAAAACUCAAAAAAAAUUUUUGACAAUGCUAUUACUAAUUAAUUAAGGACUUCAUUGCUAUAAUUUAUCGCUUACUAAUUUAAACUAUAAAUGAUCUCAAUACUUUUCUCCAUGAUGUCGAUUUCUUUAGACUACGAAAGGGAAAAAUUAGUGACAUAUCCCUUACUGAUUACAACAUCAGCAAAAAUUAGUUAUAAACUUUUCCGGUGGUUUUAAAUCCCUCGGGCACUAAGGUUUUUUGCACAUCGAGUGAAUUAAGGAACAUAGGCAAUUCGUUCUGCAUACCAAGUCCUUGUUUAAGAUGCACGUACUAAAAUGCAUCCACUUCAUUAAUUUGGAAAAUUGCCAUAGUUUUUUUUAAGCAUUUUGAUUUUUUACAUGAUUCAAAAUUUUCUUAUUGGAUACAAUCACUUUGUGUCAAGAACACAUUUUCAAUCAUCUUUUUUAUCUUCUCAAUAAGAAAAUAAAAAUUUAUUCAUGCUUUUCUAACAUAUCCAAUCAUUGAUCUGAAAAAUAAAGAAUUAAAAAAAAAAGACAUUUUCAAUCAUUGCUUACGGGGCAACUUCCCCAUGUGAACCUCAUCAAACAAAGCCAAUAAUAUGAAGGAACAUCUAAAUACACUUUUGCCCUAAAGGCUGGUUGCCUUGGGGUCAAAAUUUAACCUUCGGGAGUAUAAUUACCCGCCAAAUUUAUUAUUUUUUUUAUGGGUAUAUAGUUCCAAUUUUGCCUCCUGUUAAGCUUAUAAAUAUAUUACGACCCAGAAAAUAAAGGAAUCUUGAAUAGUAACAUGUCCAUUGACUUGAGUUGUUAUCAAUUUGGCUACUUCGAUUCCAUGAGGCCAAUCCAAUUCACACUAGCUAGAGAAAAUGGUGAUAAAGGCACUUAGAAAUUUAUAUGUAAUAUUGAUUGGUAGUAACUGAUAAGUAUAUAUUUUACGUGUUUUAAAUAUGUUUUAUUAGUUAGUUUUGGUGUGUUUUAACUACUUUUAUAACUAAUUAACUAGGAAUCUAGUGAAAAUAUGCAUUUUGUGGUUUGAAGUGUAAAAAUUGUAUUUCUAUGGAUUUUAAUGGUGAAAACUUCAUGUUUUUGUAGGUUUAAUGAUUCAAUCAUCAAAUGACAUGAUUUGAGAAGAUAAUUAGAUGAUUGAUGAUGUUUUGAAGUGAUAAAAAGAGAAUACAAAGUGCAAGAGAGGAAAUGCAAUCAAGAAUAAAAGAAGAAAAUUUUUGUAGCUUUGACAUAUUGUCGUAUUUCGGCAAUAUAUUGAGCUACAAUGAUCGGAUUAAGGUGAUUCUUAAACCAUUUGAAGCUAAAAUAUAGAUCUACAUUUGGCAUGAAGGCAUCGAAACCCAUGUCAGUCAUUUUCCUUGUCAAAAUGUUGAAAUACAGAAGUGCAACUCUGUUCUCGAAAGCUAAAACAGAGCUCUGGCUAGUCGAGGGUAUUUUCAUCAUUUCUUAGUCCACAGAGCUCCAAAUGAGAUGAUUCUUAAGGCAUUAGAACCCUAACUCAAAGAGCUACAACUUUCAUAUUUUGUACAAGAGUUAGUUCGGCCUCUAUCAUUAAGAAAAUAGUAGUUGAAGUGGUGCCAAAUGCAUAGAAGUGAAAACGCGAGCUAUCAAUACUCGACCUGAAGUCGCGUAUUCCUGAGGUCAUGCAUUCUCUUCUAUUUUCUGCAACUUGCCCUGCUUUCACAUAACUUUUUCAUCUCAAUUCCAACUAUCAAUUUCGGCUAUAUCUGAUCAAGAAAAGUGUGGAAAGUUUGAAAGACAACUCAUAGGAGUUUCAAGAGUCAAAAAUUACAAUUAGAAACAACUCAUUUGGCUCUUGAAUCCUCUAUAAAUAGAGGCCUUUGAAGAACAUUUUCACAACUUUGGAAGGUUAGAGAAACUCCACAAAAACAUAGUCUUCACUAGAAUUUCCUUAGUUCAUUAGUUAGGGUAGUAUAGUAUAGUUAGUGUAGCUUUUCCUUCUUGUAUUUAUAGUUAGGUUUGAAUGAAGAUUCAGGAGCAAAGAUAGAGAGGUUGAUCUCAUGUGACAAGGGUGAUAUCUCUUCUACUACUUUCUCUUUUGUAUUUGAUUUCAUAUUUAACUAUACUACAAAUUUGGCUUUGUUUUUUUUUUUUUAUCAUGUUUAGUUAAAGUUUAUGCCUAGAGUAUGGAUGACCUUUUUAUAUCUUGUUUGUGAUAUUUAACUGGUUAUUUGAUGAUGUUAUUUUUGAGCAAGUUAUUUAUCACUUUUGCUUUUCUAAUCAUGAUUAACUGGCCAUUAGUUGUGAUUAUCUAAAAGUGUUAAGUUUGUAAUGAGAAUUGGAGUUUAACACUAGUUCAAGGAAGUGAUAAAUUUAGGGAGUUCACUCAUGAGAGUAGAGGAACACCUUUGUGACCUAAGUGACUUGUUUCAUAUAAUUUCAUAGAAAAAAUGAACUUGUAAUUAAUUUCAUAACCACGAGAGUAAGUAUGGUUUAGCUAUAUGUAUAGUUGAUUCACUACGAGAGUAGGUUUCACAUACAUUAGAAAAUUACAUCAUAACUAGUCAAGAUAAUAUCAUUCAUUUAAUCAGUAAUCUCAUUUGCAUGAGUAGUAAGGCAUUCCAUAUCUCUAGGAGGUUUUUAGUAUUAUUUUCAUUACUUUUAUGUUUAUGGUAGUCUAGAUAAUAAUGGAGUUCGAAAACUACUAGUAAUUGAAAAUUUUCCCUGUGGGAUCGACCUUUAAUACCCUAUACUCGCUCUCGACUCGUAUACUUGAGAAAAAUCACGUGUGCGGUAUUUAGAAUUUAUAAAUGUAAAACUUGACUGUAGAUGAACUAAUUGAUAUAUGUAUACCCCGCACUCGUCAGUAACCAGCUUGUAUUGAUCCCACUAUUGUGGAUAAUUGUGCUCUUAUGAAAAAAAAUUAUAAAAAAAUUAGCAAAAUUUAUGAUAACAAAUUAAAUUUAUUCAUACAAAUCAGUGAAAGAAGUAGAAUUUUAAAGUCCAUGAUGAAAUUAAUACUUUCAAGGGCUCUAUUAGGAAGACUUCACUUGUUGGUGAAACUACACUAGCACAGUUAUAUGCACAUUUACUGUUUUGGUAUCUAAUUUCCUUGCCUUAAGUUGGGUGCAGAUGUUUAUAUUACAAAUAGAUGGUAUCAUAAAAUUGUUGUAUUCACGUUUGUUCUUUUUUUUCUUCCUUAAGUUUUUUUCUUUAUUCUCGUGACUUCAAAAAUACGAACUCAAGAAAUUGGCUGCUUAAUCAAUAUGUCAUACAGGCUUCGCUAGUGAGGUAUAACUUCACAACUAGAGUCAAUAGAAAUUAUCAAAUGAUUUUUUAACAUCCAAAUUAAGCAAUAAAUUUUGUUUUCAUUUUAUGACAUAUAAUAGUACUACUUCAUGAGAGAUUUUAUAGUUUCUUUUAGGUAUCAUACCUACAAGUGAUAUUUGUCAUUGGAUAGUGACAGAAGUGUUAAUGAUUGUAAGAUUAAAUAUUGUUAAAUAUUGAAAUUUAAACUAUUUAUCUUUAUUGAAAGAUACAAGUUAAAGAAUCGUUCAAGGGGGCAAUUUUCCAUCUUGUCUUUUUGAAAAAACGCUAUCACAUUGUAUAGGCAUGAUAGGUUCAAAUUUGUCAUUAAAUUUAUGAUUGAUUUUCCUUUUAUUCAAGCCAAAUAUUGUUUUAAUUAUCAAAUUCUACUUAUAUUUGGUUAAUUGUACUAAUUGUAGGGCGGUAGAGCAAAAGUUGCUAAAAAUAGGCGAUUUUCUGCAAAUUGGUUGUCAAGGCUGAAGGAUUUGGGAUUCGCAUGUUCAAGGCCUGUUUCCAAGUUUGAUUCAAACUCUGGACAGUUUUAGAGGAAGAUUUGGAAGAUUUGAAAUUUCAUUAUUAGUUUUAUGGUUGAAUUAGGAAUCUUGGAAUAAUUUCUUUUGUGAUUUAUUUUUCUAUUUAGGAGACUAGUUGUUAUUUAGUAGUAGACUUCAAUUAGAAAACAAAGAGAAAAAGAAGGCCGGAAUCCCGCUUGAUUAAUACCUUGGCCAGGGAACAAUCUCGGUGGGGAGGACGGCCACUUAGCCUCUCAAUUCAUCUUGCUUUUCGUUAGUUUGAGAGGAAAACCAAUUGCAACUAGAUUCAAUGGAGUCUGGCAGAAUUUCUUCUAGGAUGCGUAGCUAAAUCCUCAAUUUUUAGUCGAAGGUCAAUUUGAAAAUUCGGUUCCAAAUAUCUGUGAAAUCGAAUUAUUUUACUUAUUUCUUUUAUUUAUUGGUAUUCGCACGUUUUCUGAUUUAACUUUUUAUGAUUGUUUUGUUAUUUGAAUGUCAAGGGUCCGAUAUUCGAAUUAACUUAAUAAUCUACUGCCAAAUUAACCGGUUAAAUCCGUAAUUGUUUGAUUGAUUAAUAUCAGUGGCGACUAGCGUGAUUGGUCCCAUGUUAGGAAAACGUCUGAUCUAAUUUAAACAAACCGUCGUAGCGUGUUUGUUGAUUAGGGUUGGGCUUUUCUAAUUCUUAAUUCAAUUGAGAAAUUAAAUCCCCCGGUCGUACCUAGGAUUAUUUUUUUGUUAGCGAAAUAGUUAAUGGUCGUACCUUGACUAUCGAAAAAGUAAGGAAGAGUUGAUUGUUUAUCGCGUGUACGACAACUAUAAUCAAUCUAUUAAUGAGUAAUUGAAUUAUCUUUGCAUCAGUAAUCAGUUGAAUGGACCGUGUCUGAAAAGUUGUACCUUUGGCUAGAGUCUUAUCUGUUGUUGAUUCAUUCAUAUCUAUCUUCAUGCGUUGUUUUAAUUUAGUUAAUUAGUUAUUUUUAUAAAAACCCCUCAUCUCUGGACUCUAAAAGAAAUAAAUUAUUUCUAGUUCCUGUGGAUUCGAUCCUACUCACCAUACAAUCCAACCUGCAAUUGUAUGAACCCCAAUCUCGCUUCCUAGUCCACCAUUUUUCUCUAGGUAAUAAUCUCCCUUCUAAUUUCUUCACAAAAUGCACCUUUCAUCACCUCCAAUAGCGUCGACAUGAUCUUUACCCCAGAAGACUAUUCACCGACUCUCAAUUGACGUUAGAAAAUCUAAGAGUAAUUCUACUUUACCCUAAGAUUGAUAUCAACAAGACAAGGACAAUUUAGAAUUAUUACACGCCUCUUCUUAAUAGGAAAAAGAAAUAGAGAAGAAAGUCAGGCCAGGUCUAAUUUCUUUUCAAAGGCAAUACAACAUUACGAAAUCAAGCAUUCAUUCAUACAAAUAUUUCAUAGUCACCGGUUUGCUGAGUAGAAAAAUUUAGACAAAAACUUAAUAUUAUAUUGUUUAAGAGUUAACAAUUUAGAGCUUAAUCUCCUUGUACUUUGGAGUUAACAAUUUAGAGCUUAAUCUCCUUGUACUUUGGACUAAACUUGAACGUGAAAGGAAAUCCCAAAACCAUAUUGGGCAUGAAUUCACACUUAAUAUACCCAAUAAAAGAUGGCGACUGGUGAAAGGCAGUGGAGACUGGUGGAGAGAUUUGAGGAAUAGAAGCAGACGGAAAAGCAACAAAUUUUUGCCGAAAAACGGUCACUUUCAUGGUUAAUUUUGCUACUCUCCAAUUGUACUUGACCAAUUACAACAAUUUCAUGGAGUUUGAUACGUGAAAAGAAUUUUUUAUAAAUUUUAUUUUGAUCCAUAAUGUUAUCUUUACAUAUAUAAAACAUUUUACAAUUUUGAUUUUGGCGCAGUUAACUUUUGGUAAACAAAAAUGCUCAUGUUUAAAAAACCGGAAAUAAAACAAAACAAGAAACAAAAGAAAUAAGAGGGUAGCAUAGACAUUUUGGAUUUUUCCGUUAAUUUGGAUGAUUUCCACCCACGUUCUAAUUUAAUCCAAAACACAAAGGAAUUACGUAGAGGUUUUAAAUAAUGAGGGAGCUUCAUGAUCGAACCCCAAACCACAAGGCGAUUUACUAUAUUUUACUCUUAAAUUUUGGUUUCAUCUCAUAGCAUACAAGAGUUCUAUUUCACUAUCUGUAGACAAAGACUUUCUAUGGUUGAUGUACCAUAGGAAAAAAUCUGCCUAUACAACGUGAUAGCAUUUUUUCAAAAACACAAGAUGGAAAAUUGCCCCCUUAAACGGGGAAAUUCAUGAUCUUUCCUCGAACAAAGAAUACUCACGCCUAUUCAAGAUGGAAAAUUGCCCCCUUAAACGUCUAUUUGUCAAUUCUUGAAAAAAGAAUACUCACGCCUAAAACACGGCCUCUUCAUCUGCAGAAUUCUAAAAAGUUAGGUAAACUCUAUAAACAAGUUGAUAGGUACAAUCGUACCCAAGAUCAAGUACAGAUAGUUGUACAUUCACUGCUGCAAUAACUAAUCUGAUGACUUACAAACAUAUCAUGGUCAAUCGUUGAAUGGUAAUGAGUCUUUUGUUAUGCAUUAGUAUUAGUGUGUACACUCUAAUAGAUUGAUACUUAUACUCUUUAAAUUAUCAUAAUAAUACCCUUAAUUAACUUUAACUCUUAAAAAGAAUACGUGUUAAUACACGAGAGUGUGUAACCUGAAUUGUUACUUAUACAUUAGUGUGUAAUAGAUAGGGAUGGCAAUGGGGGCGGGUGCCCGCAGGCAACCGCCCCGCGGGGGGCUCUCGGGGCGGGGAGGGGGGAAUUUUUUCCCCCCGUUUAGAAACGGGGCAGGGGACGGGGGAGUAUACCCCCGCCCCAUCCCCCGCAAAAAAAAUUAUAUAUAUAUAAUUAUAUAUAAUAUGUAAUUUAAUUAGUUAUAAACUUAUGAUAAUGAUAUUAUUAGUUAGAUGUAUUAUAUAAUGUAUAUUAGUGUAUGUAAUAUAAUUAAUAUUAUCAAUUAUACGAAUAAUUAGACAUGUCUACUAAUAGAAUUUAUUAAUUAGUUAUACUAAAUUUACUAAUACAUUUAUACUAAAUUUCUAAUUACAUUUAAUAGAAUAACACUUUUUUCUAAAAAAAAAAGCACAAACACAAUAAUGAAUUAGUGAUUGUAUUUUUACCAAAAAUGAAAACUUAACUAUUUUAGUUGCAUUUAUUUCAUCAUGUUGGAUUGUAUUCAAAUAAUUUUUGUUUGAUUGUUUUUAUGAGUUUCAAUUGUAAAAUUAAAAUGAAUAAUAACUUGAUGAAUAAUAAUGUCAAUCGUUGAAUGGUGUGUACACUCUAAUAUUAUGCAUUAGUAUUAGUGUGUACACUCUAAUAGAUUGAUACUUAUACUCUUUAAAUUAUCAUAAUAAUACCCUUAAUUAACUUUAACUCUUAAAAAGAAUACGUGUUAAUAACUCUUAACCUGAAUUGUUACUUAUACAUUAGUGUGAAAUAGAACGGCAAGCAUUGAGCAACUUAUAGGAGAAAUAGUCCUAUAAGCUGUUGGAUGACUAAUAUAGCUCUAGCUGUAAUGUUUUAAUUAAAUUACAUCACUAACGUUGGGAUGACUAAUGGUUUAAAAAUAAUUGAGUAAUUGGAAAAAAAAAAAGAGACUAAUUUUCAUUGAAACCCACCGACAAACUAAACGUGUCCAUGGCUUUUGAAUAGUGCAUUCAACGUUUAAUUGUAUAGUCCAGUUCAUUGCAGAUUACAUGGAGUAAAGAUUGUGCUCUUUCCUUUUUCACCCCUUUUGGAAUCGAUACUGUGGAGAAUUGGGUUUUUCCCUUCUUUUUUUCUUUUCUUUCUUUCUGUGCUUUGCAAAACAUAGGUAAAAUUAUGAAAUCCGAAGCAUUCUUUAAUUGGGAUUAAGUAUUGUUCUUGAAAUUAAAAAGAAGAAAGAAAGAACAACAAAAUUCCCUGAUUGGUUGCAUCGUGCUUCCAUAGAAGCUCUCUUAGUGUGAUACACUGCUUUCAAUCAGUUUAACAUGGAAAAAAGAAAGAGAUGAAAAGCAAAUUUGGUGGGGAUAAUUUCAGAAACCUCCCCUGAAGAUUUUGACUAUUCUACUGGUCUCCCUUCAGAUUUUAAAAAUUACACUAAUCUUCCUUGAAGUUAUAACAUUUAAAUUCAAUCAAUAAUUUAAAAAAUGAUAUUAUGAAAGAGAAAAUAAUAUGAUUUUAUCAUUGCCCCCCAUCUUACUACAUUAUUUAAUUAAUUUAAUAGCAACCCACACAUUAAAGAAAAAUAUAAAAUUUGUUAUUUAUCAUUAAAGAUCAAAUCGCUUAUAACAUCAAAUAAUAGUAUAUUAUUUAUAUUUUUCACUUAACAUAAUAUCCAAAUUACUCUUUUCAAUUACAUACUCAUUGUUAGACAAUCAACAACAAAUAACCAAAAAAUUUGCAACCAAAAUAUUACAAAAAAAAAUAAACUUUAACAUCAUAAAUAUUCUUAUCAACAUAUUAAAGUUAGUUACUGAAAUUUUUAUGGUGUUAAACUUCACUCUUUGUAAUAUUUUGGUUACAGAUUUUUUUUGAUUAUUUUUUAUUAAUUAUGUUUGAUGAUGGGUUUGUAAUUGAAAAGAAUAAUUUAAAACUUACAUUAAGUGAAAUAUAUAGAGUGAUAUACUAUUUUUUAUAACAUAUGUGAUUCAAUCCUUCUUGAUAGGAUUGGUAAUAGAGGUAGAGGGGGGAGUCGGCUGCAUCCGGUCUUCUUUUCAUAGAUAGUACAAUAUUGCGAAAUCAAUCGCAUUCACACAAUAAUAUUUCGAAGUCAAUGCAUGGCUAAGUUGCAUAAAAGUACGAACACUUGUUAUUAUAUAGCUUAAGAUUCAAAACUUUAGAGCAUAACCCUCCACCUAACACAAUUGAAUAAUGAAUAUUCACGUUUGUCAAAUCUGUCAAAGCACAGUUUGAGGACAACCCAUUCCAACCUGCAAAAGAUUUUUUACUUUUCUAAAGUUGUUGAGAGCUGUAAAAAGACCUACCAUGCUUACAUCCUCCGAGCCUUGGGAGUUAAAAAUGAAGGCACUGAGUGCUAUAAAAAGGGGGCUAGAGGCUGCCUAGAAGCAUAUCAGCCUAAAACAAGAAUUUGUUGUUAUGAUGGGAAGCAAAGCAAAAGCAAUGGGGUCUGGGCUGACUCCUCUUCUUGCCACUGUUUUAGUGGUAUUUGUUGCUCUUGGCUUGCCCUCAGAAACAGCAGCUGAUGAUCACUACAAGUAUUCAUCUCCUCCUCCUCCUUACCACUAUCCCUCACCACCGCCUCCAGUGCAUUUACCUCCACCAGUGUACAAAUACAAGUCCCCACCACCACCUCAUCAUGUUUACAAGUACAAAUCUCCACCACCCCCACCACCACACCCAGUUUACAAGUAUAAGUCACCACCACCACCUCCUCAUCCGGUACCACACCCAGUUUACAAGUAUAAGUCACCACCACCACCUCCUCAUCCGGUAUACAAGUAUAAGUCUCCUCCGCCACCACCACACCCAGUUUACAAGUAUAAGUCACCACCACCACCUCCUCAUCCGGUACCACACCCAGUUUACAAGUAUAAGUCUCCUCCGCCACCAGUUUACAAAUAUAAGUCUCCUCCACCACCACCUCCAGUGUACAAGUACAAGUCUCCACCACCACCAGUUUACAAGUACAAAUCACCACCACCUCCUCCCCCAGUUUACAAAUACAAGUCUCCACCACCACCAGUUUACCACUACAAGUCACCACCACCUCCUCACCCAGUUUACAAGUACAAAUCUCCUCCACCACCAAUUUACCACUACAAGUCACCACCACCUCCUCCCCCAGUUUACAAAUACAAGUCUCCACCUCCUCCUCACCACUACUAAGCAAUUGCUUCUGAGGUAAUAACACUUGUUCAAUAACACUUGAUAGCCAGCUGAAUAUUUGCAGGCAAAGGAGAAGGAAACCAGUGUUUGAGACCUUCUUGAAGAUGUAGAAGCAUAAGAAUUAAAGCCCAAUGUGAAGAUGAUGAUUUCAAGUUUUUCUACGUUACCAUUUCAAUAUCUAAAUUGGUUGUAGCGCCUUAGUUCCUUUGUUUAUGGGAUUUGUAUCGUUUUACGUACCAUGCAGUACAUGUCAUGUUUGUAAGGUUUUCUAUCCUGCCGGCAAACCGCAGGUUCCAUGUAAUAAAUCAAUACUAUUUAUAUUACGACACUUUUCUCUGUUUCUCUUAUAUUUUGUCUUUAAUAUUCUUAAUCAUAUUUUUAACAAAAAUAUUCAAACACUUCAGCAAUGGUUCACCUAGUUGAUCAUCGAAGCAGAGGCAAUUCCAAUUAUUUAUCAAUAAAUAGGAUAUAACUACCAAACAAGCGAUGGCAGUUAACCCCUCCUUACUGUGUCGGUGAUCAAGGUACGCCCGUUAAUCACUGCUCUAAUUGAGAAAUAAUCCUAAGUACGCCCGUAGAAUUUAAUUCCCCAAUUGCCUUACAUAUUAGAGGAGCCCUAUUCUAACCAAAUAACGCACUAUCAGGGUUAUUUUAGAUUAGCCCGCGUAUUCCCCUGACAUAAAUCUAAUCAUGCCAGUUGUCAUUAUUUUGAGGUAAUUAAACAAUUACGGAUUUAACACCUCAAUUGACAAUAGAUUAUUAAAUUAAUUAAUUAUUCGGAUCCAAGACAAUCAAUUAAUUAAACAACCAUAAGCACUACAAUCAGAGAAUAUGCAAAUACCAAUAAAUAAAUAAAAAAUAAAAUUAAAUCGAUCUCACAAUUUUUAGGCGAAUCAGAGCAUCCGUUGUCCCUUGACUAGAGCAAGGAAAUUAGUUCAUAUUUGAUGAACUAAACCCAUACAAAAGGGAAGCGAGAAAUGCAGCCAUUAUCCUUUGAAAUCUGGAAAAUUCAACUUGUCCGAAUAUCGAAUAGAUAGUAAUACUACAAAAGGUAAUUCAUAGCUUCCCUUUCGUCUGACACACAAGAAGAAAAAAAAGGGCUGCUAAUAACUAAAGGAGGAAAAGUCAAAGUCCUAAGCUAUGCUACAAGACGAAAAACUAAAGAAGACAAAAAGGCAGUGCUCAUUCCCUGCAAUCUCAAUUCCUAUUCUAUCUAAGUGCUCUCCAAUGUGCGGCGGCUCCCCUUCCGGAGAGGACGAAGUGGCACCCUUUUUUCCUGCGCAAUUUUCCUAUAUAAAGUAGUGCUCCUUGCAGCGGCUCCUGUGCGAAAAAAUGAAGACUUCGGCCCAAUUUGCCUAACAAGGGCUCACGUUUUGUUGUUCUAAAAAUGUCCCUAGGACAAACUCUAUCAUCUGAACUCUUUUCUUGCCAAAUUAGUACCUGUUAUUAUAUUUUCGUUCUACUCCCUGAAAUAAAUGCAAAAUAUCAAAAGUGAGUAGAAUCUAGCAAUUAAUCCACAUUAGGUCAGGUAAUAGGGAAAAUUAAUAAUAAAAUAAAUGAUAAAAUUGCAAUCUAUCACGGGACCACUGUGGUAAGGUGUGUUUCGCCUAUUAUAAGGAGUUCGGAGAGUUAGACGUGUUGGAGGCGGAGGCGCGGUCACUCCUGCACGCCCUCCAGCUGUGUGCAGAUCGCGAGGUACGGGCGUUGACUGUAGAAUCUGAUUCAAAGGUGCUUGUUCAACUAGUUUGCUCGGAUAUGAGGUCGAAGUGGCCGGUGUGUAUCGUAUUGCGGGAAAUAAGACAUUUGAUCCGGCGGAUGGGUGCAUCCCUUCAUCAUAUAUUCCGUGAGGCCAAUUCGGUGGCGGACGCAUUGGCUUCUCUGCAAUUGGGAGGGCAGCAGUACUACACCUCAGGCGUGGCGCUGCCUUUCAGGCCCAGAGGAGAGGCUCUGCUGGAUCGUCAAGGAGUACCUCGCAUCCGUGAGGCGCUCACUAAGGUUUGAUAGGCUAUGUCCUCCUUUCAAAAAACUUAUUUCAUCUACUCCUUGUAAUCAUUUUUCUUAUCAAUAAAUUGAGGCUUUUUAUUUAAAAAAAAACAUAUAAUUUAAGGCAAAAAUAUGAUCCUAGCGAGUAUCGCACUGAGACAUUAGGAAACAUCAUUAAAAGAGUAUUUCUUGAGUUAGUGCAACUAUUUCUUAGGGGAAUUUAUAGUUACAAAAUUCAAAAAUUUGAGAUUCUAUUACUGAUUAAUUAAGGGCGUUAUCACUAUUUUUCUUAUUAUCACCAUUAUUUACCCCACAUACUAUAAGUUUUUUUAGGGCACAGGAAAAGAGGUGGGCCGAUGUUUAGUUAUGUACAAAAGUUCAAAAUUUGUAGAUAACUUAUCAUGUGCCCUUAGAGCGUAGAAUACAGAAAAAAUAUCUUAAACUAUAACUAAUCCUAAUAUUUUUCUCUAUGAUAAACUAGCUCUUAUCCAUUUCUUUAGAUGAUGAAAGGAAAUAGUUAGUCACCUGUCCUCUAGUGAUUACAACAGCAUCAAAACAAAUUAGCACUCUUUUCCCGUAGUUUAAAAAUCCCUCAGCCACUAAGAUUUUGCAUGUCGAACGAAUUAAGGAACAUAGAAGGUUCGUGCUGCACCACAGUGUCCUUGUUGACGAUGCAAAGACAGAAAUGCAUCCGCGUAUACUUCCUUAAGCAUUUUGAUUACUUUAUGAUUCGAACUUUUCUUGUCUGACAGCUGGACUUAAUUGAAAAACACAAGUAACAAUAUUUCAAAGUUGAUUCGUCAAAGUUUACCCAAUUGGUGAAACUUUCUUCAUAGAGCUGACUUUGUAUUAGGUGACAAUGAUAUGGAAUUGAUGUCCUUCCCUUUUUCCUUUUUUUGUGUUGAAGACGCACAACGUUUUCAAUGGCAAAUUUAUAUGGGCUUUUCACGACAAAAUGUGUUCUGAAAAGUUCAUUCCAGAGGUUAAAAUUUUGUGUGUUAAAAAUUUGCUUCUCAGGACUUUGAUGGGAAAGUCUUGGUGUUUCCAAAAAGUUUAAGCAGGAUGCUUCUGGCUUUCUCUCCAUGUAUUUGUGAGUUAGAUCUAAAAUUAUCAGGGCUCCAGAGAUCUCUUGAAAUCGCAGCAUAUAUUGAAGUCUUUCCAGAAGGAGUCUUUUUUUUUUUUUUUAUGAAUUAUGAUAGAUAAUUAAUCUGACGGUGCAUAUAUAUAUAUAUGUGAUUUGCAGUAGGGUGUUUGACGAAAUGGUUAGGCUUCCUAAGUAAUGAUAGGAAUGCCAUUUGCAAAGAAGGACAGGGGGCUGGUGCUGUCAUAUUUUAUGCGAUUUGAUCCGUUGUUGUAUAAGUUUAAACUUUUGACGUGCAAUUGUGCUAUAAUAUUAUACUAAAUAUAUGUGUGAAAUAUUUUGUCUAUAUACAUCACUUUUAUCAUGAAUACAACAGCUGAGUAUAAUAAUAUAGUAUAAUGUAAUUGUACACCAAAUAAUGUAGCAAAUAUAACAAUUGAUCCGAAUUACACGGAACCAUAACAACAAGAUCACCGCCUCCCAAAUUUUACAAAAUUAGGUUUUUUUUUUUUCUCUUAGAUUAUUGAAAAUUUUCAAAAAUAAUCUACAUAAUUUAAGCUUUUGUCCUACAAAAAUUUGAAGAGAUUUUACAUUACAAGCUUAAGCUUAGAUAUAUUAAACUUUGCCCCCAAGAUUAAUUUUCCGUUUUUAUCUAUGAACCGAUCCAUAUAGCUAGUUAGACUGUAGUCCUCACAUUUGUGGGAUUUAACACCCAAGAUUCUCCUUCUUGGAAUGUAAAAUGUAGAUCUUCUAUGUUAAUAAUUCAAGACCCUACUGUCAUAAACGAAAUGACUGAUCAACUCCUGUAAACCUAAUUUGACAACAUUUAAAUGGAGAACUUUAGCUAAAAGAAUUAUGGUCAAGCUAAAGAAAAAGCCAGUUAUUUUCCAACAUAUGCAAUCAUUGAUCAGGAAAAAAAAAAAAAAGCAAAAAGACAUCUUCAAUCAUUUAAUAGCUCACAGUGCAAAUUAACCCCUAAGCGAAAACUGGUUGCUCUAGAAUCAAAAUUUUACCUUAGUUACCCAGGCAACUUUUUUGUUGCUUUUUUUUUUUUCUUUUCCUUUUUGGGUAUAUAUAUAGCUCCAGUUUUGCCCCCUCUGUCAAGCUUAUAUAAUUAUUAAGAUAAUAAAAGUGCCUUGAAUAGUAUUAAUAUAUCCAUUGACUUGAGCUGUCAUCGAUCGGUUUGGGCUACUUCGAUUCCAUGAGAACAAAUGGUAAUAAAAGUACUCAGAAAAUAGGGAGCCAUGAAACCCUUUUGUUCUAUUCAUUGCUAAGAUGCUUUUCUCUAUAAAGAGACUUCCUAACGAAAGUACUUUGUAGAUUUCUUUACUCCAAGUGGUGCAUGGAAAAUUAAAAUAUUCAAUUAUCAAAUAAAAUUCCCUUUUUUCGGUGUAGAUUUCAUCCAUCCAGCUGUUAACACAUUUUAUGUAUCCGAAUUAUAUAUUCUCUACCAAAUAUUGUAACUUUUCUGAGCAUCUUUACAUUUUUAUUCCCACCUAACAAAUUAGUUGUUGAGCAUCUUUACAUGCUAUCGGAUCACAAGUUAAUAAUCUUUUAAAGAACAUGUUAAAUUAAUUUAUUGGUAUGAAUAGUCAAAGAAGUAUAUUAAAGUUAGUAAUCUUUAAACACCACGAUGCAAUUAAUACUUUCAAGCUCAAGGUCUUUUUUUUUUUUUUUUUUGGUACUGUACUUCCUUGCUUUAUAGUAUGCACGUUUAUUUCUGUGGAUUGCUUAAGCUUAUAUUGUUAAUAAUUGGGCAUUUAACCAUAAAUUAUAAUGAUUAUGAAGUCAUAUAUAUAUAUAUAUAUAUAAGAAAAUUACCACAAUUAUUCAAUUUUUUUUGCAAAUUCAAAUUUUAUUAAUAAGAAAUAGGCAGUAAGCUUUUACAAACGGAAAAAAAAAAUCCUACAACAACUCUAGGACCUUUGAAAGAAAGAAAAAAAAAAGAAAAGAAAAGCUUAAGGACUCUACCUCAUAGAAGCUAAACAAUCCUACAAAUAAACUGCAAAAUAAAUCACAAUAACGCAAAAUUUUUGUCUUUCUUCCGUAUGAAAUGAAACUACGAAGUCAAGAAUUGACUCCUUUAACCGCUAUUGCCAGCGGGCUCCGUCAGCAAGAUACAACUUUGCAAUUUGAUUCAAUAGAAAUCCUCAAAUAGCUAUUUUGACAGGCAAAUUAAGCAUUAAUUUUGGUAUCCCUUCAUAAAAUACAAGAGUACUUUUGAUUAUAUCUAUAGAUCAACUUUCUAGGCUAUUUUGAUGUAUUAUAAGAAAAUCUGCCUCAACAAUUUUGAUAGCAUUUUUCCAAAAGCAGAAGAUGGAAAAUUGCCCAUUUGUACUGGGGAGUUCGUGAUCUUUUCCUCCUUCUAGUCUACUUACAAUUCUUGGAAAAAGGAAUACUCACAUCUCAAACAACUGCCUGUUCAUCUGCAAUGUCCUGCCGAAUUCUAGAAAGUUAGGUGGCAAUGCUAAUUACAUUUCAAAAUUGACUGCUGCGAUGACUAAUUCGAUGGCUUACUACAUGGUCAACGUUUGGAUCCCUUCCUGUCCUUUUUGGAUGCACAUUUUUUUUCUCUAGGCAAUAUAUAAUCUCCCAACUCAUUUCUUUACAAAUGCACCUUUAAUCACCACCAAAAGGUGUGGACAUGAUCUUUACCCUAGAAAACUAAUCACCGACAGGCAAAUUGACGUCAGAAAUACUAAGAGGAAUUCUAGUUUCCUUCGGGUUAAUGCCAUUUUGUACCCUUCAACUGUAACUCGAUUUCUAAACUAUAAUUUGUGACAUUAUAGUCCUUAAACUAUGAAACCCCUCUUACUUAAGUACAAUGGUUAAUACAAUACCCGUGACUAGACAAGCAACCAUAACAAAAAAAAAUCCAAAAUUAGAGAAAAGAAAGAAGUUUCGCGACCAAAGUAUGUAUCAAGGCAUAGUAUAGAAAUAAAAGUGUCCAAAUUAAGAGUUUAGGGAUAAAAGAGAUCAAGAUAUAGUUUAGGGAUUGAUUUGUCUCAAUUAGAGUUUUGAUGUCAACUAAGAAGAGAGAUAUAGUUGAAGGGUAGAAUAUAGAUAUAACAGUUCAAUGAUUGAUAUCAACGAGACAAUGACAACUUUGGAUUAUUACCAACCUCUUCUUGAUGGGAAAAGGAAAUAGAGAAGAAAGUCGGGCCUGGUCUAAGCCUGCUUCGGAGGCAAAACAACAUUAUGAAAUCACCGGCAUUCACACAAAUAUGUCAAAGUCACCGGCAUGCUAAGUUGCAUAAUUUAUACAAACACUGAAUAAUAUAUUGUUCUUAAAAUUUUUGUUUAAGAUUUAACAAUUAGAGCACGGUACACGAAUUAGCAAUAUUAAAUAAUGAAUGUUCACGAUUGAUAAAGUUAUCAAAGUACAGUUUGAGGACAACCCAUUCCAACGUGUACAAGAUGUUUAGCCUUUGAAAAGUUAAUUAGAGAAGGUGACGAGAUUUUACUAGGCUUAAAUCUUCUAGGCCUCGGAAGUAAAAAAUGAAGGCCUUUGAGUGCUAUAAAAAGGGGGCUAGAUGUUGCCUAGAAGCAUAUCAGCCUCAGACCACAUUUUGUAGCAAUGGGGAGCAAAGCAAAAGCAAUGGGGUCUAGGCUGACUCCUCUUCUUACCACCGUUUUAGUGGUAUUUGUUGCUCUUGGCUUGCCUUCAGAAACUGUGGCUGAUUACUACAAGUAUUCAUCUCCUCCUCCUCCUUACCAUUAUUCCUCACCACCACCUCCUGUGCAUUCACCUCCACCACCGCCAAUUUAUAAGUCACCCCCACCACCUUACCACUACUCCUCACCGCCACCUCCAGUGUAUUCAUCUCCACCACCACCUUCGCCAGUUUACAAGUCUCCGCCACCACCUUACCAUUAUUCGUCACCACCGCCUCCGGUGCAUUCACCUCCACCACCACCUGUUUACAAGUCACCUCCACCACCUUCGCCAGUUUACAAGUCUCCGCCACCACCUUACUAUUAUUCGUCACCACCGCCUCCGGUGCAUUCACCUCCACCACCACCGAUUUACGAGUCACCUCCACCACCUCCUCCAGUUUACAAGUCUCCGCCACCACCUUACCAUUAUUCCUCACCACCACCUCCAACGCAUUCACUCCCACCACCAGUUUACAAAUCACCGCCACCACCUCCUCCUAUGUAUAAGUCCCCUCCACCACCUUAUCAUUAUUCCUCACCACCACCUCCAGUGCAUUCACCCCCACUGCCACCAAUUUACAAGUCUCCGCCACCUCCAAUCUACAAGUAUAAGUCACCACCACCUCCUCCCCCAAUUUACAAGUCACCACCACCACCUCCUCCAGUAUAUAAGUCCCUACCCCCACCAGUGUAUAAGUACAAGUCUCCACCACCACCUCCUCCAGUAUACAAAUCACCUCCACCACCUCCUCCAGUUUACAAAUCUCUACCACCACCAAUUUAUAAAUACAAGUCUCCUCCACCACCUCCUCCGGUUUACAAUUCCCCACCACCACCAAUCUACAAGUCUCCACCUCCACCCUCCCAUUACUACUACAAUUCUCCUCCUCCUCCUCCUCAUCACUACUAAGCAAUUGUAUCCAAGUUUUUGAGGUAAUAAUGCUAAACCAAUAUAUUAACUUUCGCAUGAUAAACUUUAUCUCUAUCAAGACAAACUGCCAUGUGCAUCAAGCCAAAUACGUACACUUCGAUCCAUGAAAAUGACAAGUAGAAGGUUUUCUUAAGAACCAAGGAACAGCAUUAGUAUUCCCUCUGUUUCCAAAACUUGUGUAUUAAAUAGAUUAAUGAAUUGUUUAACAUGCUUAUCUACUUGAAAAUGCACAAUACCCAUAACCCACUGAAAUUUUUGCAGGUAAAGGGGAAGAGAAUCUGUGUUUGAGAGCUUCAUGAAGAUGUUGAAGAAUAAGAAUAAAAGCCCAAUGCGAGGAUGUUUUCAAGUUUUUCUAUGUUUCCACUUUAAUUUGUAAAUUGAAUUUUUCGACUUAAUUAAUUCCCUGUUUGUGGGGUACGUAUUGUUUUACGUACCAUGCCGUACAUGUUUGUAAGGAUUUCUAUCCUAUUGGCAAAAGUCGGUUCCAUACAAUUAAUCAAUUCAUUUCACUUCUAUUGGCUCUACUAUUUAUGCACGUUACGACAUUUUUUCUCUCUUUCCCUUAUAUUUUGUCUUUAAUAUUAUUGAGUCAAUAGUAAUACUGGGCCAUUUUUUUUAAAACUUAUACUAGUAUACAUAGGUAGUUUGGUCUAACGCCAAAUUCAUGUUUGUCUUUCUUUUAUUCCCUUUACAUUUCAAAGUAUACUAUAGUUUGUGAUCAUUGUGGUGAUGAUAUUACCAGCUGGUACUUAUAGUUUAAGGCAGAGACAUGAUAUUAACAACUAUCUCAUUGAAACAUAAGGAAAAAUCAUGACAAGUGUGAGUCUUGGUUAAUGCACAAUUUGUUAGUGGAAUUUAUAUUUAUAAAACUCAAAAAAAAAAUUUUGACAAUGCUAUUACUAAUUAAUUAAGGACUUUAUUGCUAUAAUUUAUCGCUUGCUAGUUUAAACUAUAAAUGAUCUCAAUACUUUUCUCCAUGAUGUCGAUUUCUUUAGAUACGAAAGGGAAAAAUUAGUGACAUAUCCCUUACUGAUUACAACAUCAGCAAAAAUUAGUUAUAAACUUUUCCGGUGGUUUUAAAUCCCCGGGCCCUAAGAUUUUUUGCUCAUCGAGUGAAUUAAGGAACAUAGGCAAUUCAUUUUGCAUACCAAGUCCUUGUUUAAGAUGCAAGUACUAAAAUGCAUCCACUUCAUUAAUUUGGGAAAUUGCCAUAGUUUUUUUAAGCAUUUUGAUUUUUUACAUGAUUUAAAAUUUUCUUAUUGGAUACAAUCACUUUGUAUCAAGAACACAUUUUCAAUCACCUUUUUUUAUCUUCUCAAUGAGAAAAUAAAAAUUUAUUCAUGCUUUUCUAACAUAUUCAAUCAUUGAUCUGAAAAUUAAAACAUUAAGAAAAGGACAUUUUCAAACAUUAAGAAGUAGUAUUUUAAAGACCAUGAUGAAAUUAAUACUUUCAAGGUCUCUAUUAGGAAGACUUCCUUUAUUAAUACUCUACUAGGCAGAGUUAUAUGCACGUUUACUGUUUUGGCCUUAAGUUGGGUGCAGAUGCUUAUAUUACAAAUAGAUGGUAUCAAAAAAUUGUUGUAUUCACGUCUGUUCUUUUUUUCUUCCUUAAGUUUUUUUCUUUAUUCUCGUGACUUCGCUAGUGAGGUAUAACUUCACAACUAGAGUCAAUAGAAAUCGUCAAAUGAUUUUUUGACAUCCAAAUUAAGCAAUAAAUUUUGUUUUCAUUUCAUAACAUAUAAUAGUACUACUUCAUGGGAGAUUUUAUAGUUUCUUUAGGGUAUCAUACCUACAAUUGAUAUUUAUCAUUGGAUAGUGAAAGAAGUGUUAAUGUCUCUAAGAUUAAAUAUUGUUAAAUAUUGAAAAUUUGAACUAUUUAUCUCUAUUGAGAGAUACAACUUAAAGAAUCCUACCCAAAAGAGACUAGAAUUUUCUCUGUUUUUCAUCAUCUGUAGACAUAAACUUUCCACGGUUGAUAGCAUUUUUCAUCAUCUAUAAGGAAAUUUUGCCUAUACAAUGUGAUAGCAUUUUUCAAAAAGACAAGAUGGAAAAUUGCCCCCCUUGAACGGAAAAUUGCCCCCUUGUCAAUUCUUUAAAAAAGAAUACCGUCCCGCAGAAUUCUAGAAAGUUAGGCAAAACUAGACAAGUUGACAGGUAUAAUCAGACCCAAGAUCAGGAACAAGCAGUUGCACAUUUCAAAAUUCGCUGCUGCAACAACUAAUUUGAUGACUUACAACACUAAAUGGUCAAACUUUGAAUGGCAAUGAAUCUUUUGUUGUACAUCAUGAUGUAAUUUUCAUGUUACAUAAUAGAUUGAUAUCUAUGUUCUUUAAAUUAUCAUAAUAAUUAAAUUUAACUGAAAAAAAGAACACAUAUCAAUACACAAAAGUGUGCAACGUGAAUGUUAUUUUAGUGUAUUGCAGAAGACCUAUAGUCUCUUCAUAUCUCUUCCUGCACGUAUCAAUUCGUUUCCUCUAGAUAAUAAUCUCCCAACUCAUUUAUUUACAAAUGCACCUUUUAUGUUUUAUUACCUCCAAAAGCCUAAAAAUCAAUUCACCGACUCGCAUUUGGUAUCAGAAAUUCUUAUUACGAAUUCUACUUUACUCAAAGAUUGACUGUUAAUAAUGAGACAACGACCAUUUUGUAUUAUUACACCGUCCUUCUUGAUAGGCAAAAGAAAUAGAGAGGAAAGCGGGUCCGUAUAUGGUCUUUUAUUCAUAGAUAAUACAACAUUACGCCAUCGAGCAUUCACACAAUAUUUCAAAGUCAUUGCAUGCCUAAGGCCUGCUUGAUAAUCUAAUUCCGUACUUAAAUUUAAUAAAUUCAAAUCUUAACACAUUCAAAUCGUUUGAUAACAAAAAAUUGAACAUCUAAAUUAAUUAAGUAACACUGAAUUUUCUAGGCAAAACUUGCUCCCAAAAUUAAGUGAUAAGUUAUUCACUUAUCACUGAAUAUGAUAUGUAUUCAAAUGUAUUAGAUUUAAUACUUAAUAAUUUAAUGAAUUCAAAUUUCAUAUUUCAUAUUUCAGUUUUAUCAAACACACCUUAAGUUGCAAAAUAAUACCAAAACUUGUUAUUACAUAGCUUGAGAUUCAAAAAUUUAGAGCAUAAUUCUCAACCAAACACAAUUGAAUAAUGAAUAUUCACGAGUGUCAAAUCUAUCAAAGUACAAUUUGAGGACAACCCAUUCAAACGCGUACACGAUUUUUAACUUUUCUAAAGUUGUUGAGAGCUGUUGAAAGAGAUUUACCAUGUUUACAUCUUCCAAGUCUUGGGAGUAAAAAAUGAAGCCACUGAGUGCUAUAAAAAGGGGGGUAGAGGCCACUUGAGAUCCUCGGUGACAUGUUUUCUAUGCCAAUCCAAUGCCACCAAUAGUGUUGCGCCAAGUGUCAUGUUAUUAUUUACACUUGUGUUAAACUAAGCCAAGUUGAAUUAUUAGAAAAUUAAAGUGUAAAUAAUAACAUGACACUUGGCGCAAUACUAUUGGUGACAUUGGGUUGGCAUAGAAAAUAUGUCACCGAGGAUCCCAAGUGGAUAGAUGCUGCCUAGAAGCAUAUCAGCCUAAAACAAGAAUUUGUAGUAACAAUGGGGAGCAAAGCAAAAGCAACGGGGUCUAGGCUGACUCCUCUUCUUACCACUGUUUUAGUGGUAUUUGUUGCCCUUGGCUUGCCCUUGGAAACUGCAGCUGAUUAUUACAAGUAUUCAUCUCCUCCUCCUCCUCCUUACCAGUAUUCCUCACCACCACCUCCAGUGUAUUCACCUCCACCAACCCCUGUUUAUAAGUUACCCCCACCAUCUCCUCUAGUUUACAAGUCCUCACCACCACCUUACCACUACUCACCACCUCCUGUGUAUUCACCUCCACCAUCACCAAUUUACAAGUCACUGCCACCACCCCCUCCAGUAUACAACUCCCCGCCUCCACCAGUGUACAAAUACAAGUCCCCACCACCACCUUCUCCAAUUUACAAAUCUCCACCGCCACCAGUUUACAAGUACAAGUCACCCCCACCACCUCCUCCGGUAUACAAGUCUCCUCCGCCACCUGUUUACGAGUACAAGUCUCCUCCACCACCUCCUCCAGUGUACAAGUCCCCACCACCUCCAGUUUACAAGUACAAGUCACCACCACCUCCUCCCCCGGUUUACCAAUCUCCUCCACCACCAGUUUACAAAUACAAGUCACCACCACCUCCUCCCCCAGUUUACCAGUCUCCACCUCCACCCUAUCAUCACUACUACGGUUCUCCUCCUCCUCACCACUACUAAGCAAGUGCAUCUAAGUUUUGAGGUAAUAAUACCGAUCCAAAACUUUAUCAACGCAAACUGCCAUGUAUAUCAUGCUAAGGACGUACACUUGAUCCAUGAAAAUGGCUAGUAGAAGAUUUUUUUUAAGAACCAGAGAAAUACAUUAUUUUUUCGCUCUGUUUUCAAGAAUUUGAGCAGUAUACAGAUUAAAGAGUGUUUUUUUUAAACUUGCUUAUCAACUUAGAAAUGCACAUAGCUGAAAGCCAACUGAAUAUUUGCAGGCAAAGGAGAAGGCAAUCGGUGUUUGAGACCUUCAUGAAGAUGUAGAAGAAUAAGAAUAAAAGCCCAAUGCGAGGAUGAUUUCAAGUUUCUACGUUACCAUUUCUACAUCUAAAUUGACUUUAGCUCCUGAGUUCCAUGUCUAUGGGGUUUGUACUGUUUUACGUACCAUGCAGUACAUGCUUGUAAGGUUUUCUGUCCUGUUGGCAAGCCGCAGGUCCAUAUAAUAAAUGAAUACUAUUUAUAUUACGACACUUUUCUCUCUUUCUCUUAUAUUUUGUCUUUAAUAUUGUUGAUCAUUUUUUUUUUUUAUCAAAAGUAUCAAAUGCUUAGGCAAUUUGGUCUAAUGCUAAUUGUUUUACAUUUAUUUUUCACCUACAUCCCUUUUCAACUCAAAGGAUGCUACAGUUUGUGAUCAUUGUUUAAGACCGAAGCAUGGUACUAAUAAAUAUCUCAUUGAAAGUCAAGGAAACUAACAUUAUGAAAAGUGUAAAUCUUGAUUUGUGAAACUAUUUAUUCGUGGAAUUUAGAGAUACAAAACUCAAAUUGUGACGGUGUUGUUGCUAAAUUAUUUUUUUUUUAUAAUAAAACACAGUUCAUUCAAGGAUUACUGGAAAUCGUCCAGCACAAUUGAGAUACAUUGUUGCCCAGGUGGCAGAUAAAUAUGCACUAAAAUUAUAGAUAUGCAAUUUAACAAAUACAUAAGAUUUGAGAAAUUAAGGACAAAUCUAAAAAGGACCAUAAAUUUGAAAAACAUUUCAUCCUAGAAUAAGUCGCUGCAACUCUCUUUGUGCAUGCUGUAAUCGUCAGAUCUACUAAUCAACAGUUGUAAGGUCCAGUAAAGAUGGUGAGAUCUGCCGAGAUUGAUCCAAAUCUGAAAUAUUCCCUCAGAUCUGCUAUCCAAUUGGUUCAAACUCAAUACUGAAAGUGAAAUCUGAUGAGAAGACUGAAAAAAUUGUAGAUCUAACAUAUAGAUCUAAAAAAACUCCAAGAUUUGAAAAAGUAAAGAAACAAAACUAAAUAAAACUCUCAUUAAGAUAGUUUAGGAGAGACUAAAACUCUCAAUAGGACACCCUAGGAGAGAAGAAAACUCUCACUAGGAUAACCUAUGAGAGACUUUAUUGAAUGAAAGGAAAAGCAAAGGACAAAGGAAGAAGAAGGGAGACCUUGGCUUAAGGCCAAGGUCUCCCUCCUAUGGAGGAGGAAGGGUAGAGGAGGAAGCCUAGAGAGAAGGAAGAGAAUCCCUCCGCUAGAGGGAAGGAAGAGCCUCUGAGAGGGUACCCGUGUUGUUGCUAAAUUAUUAAGGACAUUAUCACCAUUACUUUUCCCUUACUAGUUUCAACUGCAAUGAUCUCAAUCUUUUUGUGACUAAUUCUUUUCUUAAUAAUUUAUAAAUACAAAACUCACAAAGAAUAUGUGACUUAUUCUUUCCUUUCGUCUUCUAAAGAAAAUGCCAACUGUUAGUUUAUCAAGGGAAAAAGGAUCGACAUCAGUUGUUAUUGAAACUAGUAAGGAAUAAAUAAUGGUGAUAAUGUCCUUAAUAAUUUAACAACAGCACCAUCAGAAUUUGAGCUUUGUAUCUAUAAAUUCCACGAAUAAAUAGUUUCAUCAAAUCAAGAUUUACACUUUUCAUAAUGUUAAGUUUCCUUGACUUUCAAUGAGAUAUUUAUUAGUAUCAUGCUUCGGUCGUAAACAACGAUCACAAACGAUAGCAUCCUUUGAGUUGAAAAGGGUAGUGAAAAAGAGAAGUAAAAAAUACAAUUAGCAUUCCCUCAAAUUGUAGAAAGUUAGGUAGCAUUAUAGACAAGUUGAUAGCCGUAAUUAUACUAAAAAUCAGGCAAAAGCCAGCAAUUUUACAUUUCAAAAUUCACCUAUUCAAUAACUAAUUCGAUGGCUUGCUACAUGGUCAAAAUUCACCACAUAUCCCUUUCCUCAAUCAGGGGCUUCUACAAUUACCAGUUCCAAUUGUAUGGUAUAGUGUAAAUAUCAACAAAUUAGAUGUAGACACUAAUAUAAUAAAUAUGGAUGCUAAGGCAACAACAUACAAAAACAUAAUAAAUUUUGGCAUUCCUUAAAAAAUUACGUCCCCAAAUCAAUCUCAUACACCCAAUUUCUAAUUUAUUUAACUCAUUCCGUCUAUUAACUGCACCAUACAAUCCAACCUGCAAUUGCAUGAACCCCAAUCUCGCUUCCUAGUCCACCAUUUUUCUCUAGGUAAUAAUCUCCCUUCUAAUUUCUUCACAAAAUGCACCUUUCAUCACCUCCAAUAGCGUCGACAUGAUCUUUACCCUAGAAGACUAUUCACCGACUCCCAAUUGACGUCAGAAAAUCUAAGAGUAAUUCUACUUUACCCUAAGAUUGAUAUCAACUAGACAAUGACAAUUUAGAAUUAUUACACGCCUCUUCUUAAUAGGAAAAAGAAAUAGAGAAGAAAGUCAGGCCAGGUCUAAUUUCUUUUCGAAGGCAAUACAACAUUACGAAAUCAAGCAUUCAUUCAUACAAAUAUUUCAUAGUCACCGGUUUGCUGAGUAGAAAAGUUUAUACAAAAACUUAAUAUUAUAUUGUUUAAGAGUUAACAAUUUAGAGCUUAAUCUCCUUGUACUUUGGACUAAACUCGAACGUGAAAGGAAAUCCCAAAACCAUAUUGGGCAUGAAUUCACACUUAAAUAGACCCAAAAAAAGAUGGCGACUGGUGAAAGGCAGUGGAGACUGGUGGUGAGAUUUGAGGAAUAGAAGCAGACGGAAAAGCCACAAAUUUUUGCCGAAAGAGGGUCACUUUCAUGGUUAAUUUUGCUACUCUCUACUUGUACUUGACCAAUGACAGGUUGUCAGUCUGUGCAAUAAUAAAAACCUGUUCAAACUAAAAGUAAUUUCUGUAGAUAGUGGUAAGCAGGGUCGAAUCCACAGGGAUUAGGUGUAACUGUUUCUUUUCAAAUUCACAAUAACAAAGGGGGUGUUUUUAUGCAGAAUGUGACAAUCAAAGAAAUUCAAUUAAAAGUAAAAUAAUAAAAAUAAAAUAGCCAACUAGAAAUUAAAUAACAAUUUACUAAAAUCAAAUGAGUGAUAAUUAAGGAUCUAGCCAAGGAAUAACUUCAGCAGUGGUUCACCUAAUUGAUCAUUGGAACAAAGGCAAUUCCAAUUAUUUACUAAUAAAUAGGUUAUAACUGCCAAACAAGCGAUGACAGUCAAUCACUCCUUACUGUGUCGGUGAUUAAGGUACGCCCGUUAAUCACUGCCCUAAUUGAGAAAUAAUCUUAGGUACGCCCGUAAGAUUUAAUUUUCCAAUUGCCUUACAUAUUAGAGGAGUGUCAGGAACAAGGAAAUAGAAUGGGACGUCGUUUAAUGCAAAGGGUUGUGCGUUUAAGGCCUUAGAAGCAAUACUACGUCGUUCUAAUAACAUAGGCGGUGCUGGUGUGAUAGGCCAAGUUAGUUGAGGGUCAAUUACAUAAAUAGCCUUCUGUAACAGAUUUUUGGUUAUGUUUUUGAAUGAAAAGUAUCUCGCUGCUUUCUCUCUCUUGUCUGUUAUUUCCCUCCCUUUUCUUCUUUCUCUCUUCCCUCUUCUUAAUCUUGUUUCUUUCUUCUGAUUCUUCCCCCAAAUUCAAUACAAUUCCAGAAAUUAACCUGCAAGUCUGACAUUUGGUAUCAGAGCGGUCGAUUCUUGGCCGCGAAGGUAUCAGAAAUGGCUGAGAGCACGCGAUUCAGGACACUGGAGGAGCAACUCAAGAAGCAGGAGAAUCGGUUGCAAGAACUGGCGGAAUCCAUGGCUGCACUGCAGAGUACGAGUUCCGAGGAGUUGCGGCAUAAGCUACAGGCGGAAAUGGAGCAGAACAAUGCAAAAUUGGACGCGGUGGUGGGAAGUCUGGACCAGAAGUUCAAUAAAAUGGAACAGAGACUCAGUACAGUGUUGAAGCUGCUGAUGAAGGAGAAAGGUCUCCCUGAUGUCGAAGGAGGAAUUUCUGAUCCAAUCUUGCCGACUCCUCCAUCUCAUCUGAGGUUAGCAUCCUCAGUCGAAGGGAUUGGGCACCAACAAGAGUACAGAGGUAGGCAAUUCACUCCUAAUGUACCUCGAUUAGAACUGCCAAUGUUUAACUCUGGAAACCCUAGGGAAUGGACCAGGAAAUGCCAGAAAUAUUUUUUGAACUAUCAGAUAGCAGAGAGUCAAAAGGUAGAGGUAGCAGAGAUGUUUUUGGAAGGUAGAGCUGACAAUUGGUUUCAAGGAGUGAAAUUGGUGAGGCCAGGGUUGUCUUGGGGGGAAUUUAGUGAACUUUUGUGUGAAAGAUUUUCUGGAAGUAGUUCUCGUGACAUUGUGGAGGAAUUUAACAAGUUACAGCAGAAAGGAACUGUUGAGGAAUAUGAGGAGAAAUUUGAAGAACUAAAAGCUCUAAUGCUGAUGAAAACCCCCAGGUUGGAUGAACUUUACUUUGUUUCCAGUUUUAUUAGUGGCCUCAGGGAAGAAAUUAGACCUAUGGUGAAGAUGUUUAAGCCUCAAACACUGAUGAAGGCCUUUGAAGUUGCGGAGUUGCAGGAGUGUUCCCUGGAAAUCCAAUCGAAACAAAACAGAACUUCAAGGAGGACAGCAAUGGAACCCAAGUUUGGAAUGUAUAAGGGCACUACGAGUGAUUAGGGUCGCCAAAAUUCAUAUAAGUUGCCUGGAGUCACUCCUGUCUCCAGGAGGACUAAUGCAGUACACAAGGAAUUUAGUAAGAUAUCAGCGGAGGAAAUGCAGUAUAAGCGUAAGCACAGCCUGUGCUAUAGGUGUGGAGAGAAGUUUGGAAUAGGUCAUCAGUGUAAGAAAGGAAGUCUGAACUGUGUGAGCACUGAGGAAGAGGAGGACACUGAAUUUGAGGAUGCGGAAGGGGAACAGGAUGAGUUAACAGGAAGGGUCGGGGAACUUGCAGAAGUCUCUUUGAAUGCUUUAUCUGGUGCCAUAAGGAGGAAAUCCAUCCUGUUGAUAGGGAACUUAGGGGGGCUUCCAGUCAAAAUUUUGGUGGACACAGGCAGUUCUAACAGCUUCAUUCACCACAGGAUUGUCAACCUACUGCAUCUACCAUAUCAGGCAGUCAGUCCAUUUACUGUGACUCUAGCAGAUGGAACUGACAUUACCAGUGGAGCCAUCAGUCCCAGCGUGUCUUGGUUAAUUCAGGACUAUCAAUUCCAAUUUGACUUAAAAGUAAUGGAAUUAGGGGGAUGGGAUAUAAUUCUGGGGGUGGACUGGAUGUGCCAGUAUAGUCCCAUUACAUUUGAUUUCCACUCUCUUAGCAUUGCCCUUAGUGAUAGGGGUUCUUUACUACACCUCCAAGGACUUGUGAAGCAACCUACUAUGGAACUGGUGAGGGGCAGGGAUCUCAGCUCGUUUAUACAGGAGAAGCAAAGAAACUGUGCAGCCAUGCAUGCUGAUAGGGCCAGGGAAACAGGAGAGCAGCUUCCAAAAGCUAUAGAAAGGAUCCUGGAACAGCACUCUCAGGUUUUCUCCACCCCAACAGGAUUACCCCCAGAGAGGGAAUUGGACCAUCAGAUCAACCUCAAACCAGGAGCUGAACCCUUCAAGCUCAAACCUUACAGGUACCCCCACUCACAUAAAGCAGAAAUUGAAAAAAAAGUUGCUGAGAUGCUCACUAAUGGAAUUGUUAUACAUAGCACAAGCCCCUAUGCCUCCCCUGUAUUGUUAGUAAAGAAAAAGGAUAACUCCUGGAGAUUAUGCAUAGAUUACAGGAAGCUGAACGAGCUGACUAUAAAGGAUAAGUUCCCUAUUCCCAACAUAGAUGAACUAUUGGAUGAAUUACAUGGAACCAGAUACAUGUCCAAACUGGAUCUCAGAGCUGGUUACCAUCAGUUGAGGGUGAAAGCUGUUGAUACCCCUAAGACUGCCUUCCAGACACACCAUGGCCACUUUGAAUUCUUAGUGAUGCCUUUUGGACUCACAAACGCGCCAGCUACAUUUCAGUCCUUGAUGAACAGAAUAUUUCAGCCAUAUCUCAGAAAGUUUGUCCUAGUCUUCUUUGACUACAUAUUAGUGUACAGCCCCACACUAGAGAUGCAUGCACAGCAUCUACAGAUUGUGCUCAAUAUUUUAGAAGAAAAUCAGCUGUAUUACAAGAGGUCAAAGUGCUCUUUUGCCCAGUCCUCAAUUGAAUACUUGGGGCACGUGAUCUCAGAGGCAGGAGUGAGUAUGGAUGUGGCUAAGGUGGAGUGUAUCAAGUCCUGGUCUGUUCCUAGUACAGUCAAGGAGCUGAGAGGGUUUUUGGGAUUAAUUGGUUACUACAGGAGAUUCAUUAAAGGCUAUGGAGUGAUUAGCAAACCCUUGACUGUAUUGUUGAAAAAGGAAGGUUUUGCAUGGAACCAUGAAGCUCAAAUGGCCUUUGAAGAUUUGAAAAAGGUUAUGACCACAGCCCCAGUGCUGAGCAUGCCUAAUUUCGAACUUCCUUUUGUCAUAGAGACUGAUGCCUGUGGAAUAGGUAUUGGAGCAGUGUUGAUGCAGCAAGGACAUCCUAUUGCUUUCCUUAGCAAGGCAUUAUCAGUUCAGAAUUUGGGGUUAUCAGUCUAUGAAAAAGAGCUUUUUGCCUUAGUGCUAGCUGUAACUAAGUGGAGGCAUUACCUGGUGGGUCAUCACUUCAUUAUCAGGACAGAUCACCAAGCUCUCAAACAUUUGAUAGAGCAAAGGCUUACUCAUCCACUCCAGCACAAGUGGCUAACUAAGCUACUUGGUUUGGACUAUGAAAUACAGUAUAAAAAGGGUGCAGACAAUGGGGUGGCAGACGCCCUCUCCAGGAGAAGGAUUGAGGGAAACACUGUUGACUGUGGAGAGACUGGGCAUCAGACCUGCGCCAUAACCUCAGCUCAGCCUAGUUGGAUGCAGGAAAUGCUAGAAAGCUACAUUGGAGAUGCAGAGGCUCAACAGAAGUUAUCUGAGCUAUUGCUGGAUCCCAAUGCAGAUCCAGAUUAUCAGUUAAAGAAUGGGAUGCUCAAGUUUAAAGGGCGGCUGUACAUAGGAUCUGCUAACAACAUUAGGACCAAGGUGGUCAGAGCAUUGCAUGACUCAGCCCUUGGGGGGCACUCAGGUCCUGGAAUCCGUAAGGAUGUCCUUCAAUAUGUGAGAUCUUGUGAUGUGUGUCAAAGGAACAAACAUGAAAAUGUUCCUUAUCCUGGGUUGCUGCAACCAAUUCCUGUACCUCAGCAGGCUUGGUCACACCUCACCAUGGAUUUUAUUGAGCAACUACCCCCAUCCCAUGGAUUUGAUACCAUUUUGGUGGUGGUGGAUAGGUUAACCAAGUUCAGCCACUUCAUUCGACUCACUCACCCUUUUUCUGCACAGCAGGUAGCACAGCUUUUCCUUGACAACAUAUACAAGCUGCAUGGACUUCCUGAGACCAUUAUAACUGACAGGGACAUAAUCUUUCUUAGUAAGUUUUGGCAAGAGUUAUUUGGUAUGGUAGGGGUAAAGCUGCACUACAGUUCAUCGUAUCACCCUCAAUCAGAUGGUCAAAGUGAAAGGGUCAAUCAGUGUUUGGAAAACUAUCUCAGGUGUAUGUGCAGUGAGCAUCCUUCUCACUGGAGCAGUUGGCUUCCUACAGCUGAGUUAUGGUACAACACUAACUUCCAUACUAGCUUGCAGGUGACACCAUUCGAAGCACUAUACGGGUAUAAACCAAAUCACCUUCCCUUAGGACCUUUUCAUGAUAGCCUGGUACCUGCUGCUGGUAACAUGGUGCAGACUAGGCUCCAAAUUCUAUCCCUCAUCAAAGAGAAUCUAGCCACCGCCCAGAAUCGAAUGAAAAUGUUUACUGAUAAGCACAGGACUGAACGUGUCUUCCAAGUGGGGGAUUGGGUAUUUCUCAAGCUGCAACCUUACAGGCAACAAUCAGUGGCCUUACGGAAGAAUUUGAAGUUGGCUGCCAAAUACUUUGGACCUUUCCAGAUCCUUGCGAGAGUAGGGGAAGUCGCCUACAGACUUAAGUUGCCAGAGGGAGCUCGAGUUCAUUCCGUGUUCCAUGUGUCCUUACUUAAAAGGAAAGUGGGAGUUACACAGCAGGUAAAGCCCAGCUUGCCAGAAGUAGACGCAUCAGACCAAUGUUUGCUGAAGCCAGAGAAGAUUCUCCAGAGGCGUGUUAUCAUACGAGCUGCCAAACCAAUCAUCCAGUACCUGGUGAAGUGGAACAACUUACCAGAAUCCGAAGCAUCAUGGGAGGAUAAAAGCUUCAUUGACAGACAAUUUCCGGAAUUUCAAGCUUGAGGACAAGCUUUGCUUAAGGGGAAGAGAUUGUCAGGAACAAGGAAAUAGAAUGGGACGUCGUUUAAUGCAAAGGGUUGUGCGUUUAAGGCCUUAGAAGCAAUACUACGUCAUUCUAAUAACAUAGGCGGUGCUGGUGUGAUAGGCCAAGUUAGUUGAGGGUCAAUUACAUAAAUAGCCUUCUGUAACAGAUUUUUGGUUAUGUUUUUGAAUGAAAAGUAUCUCGCUGCUUUCUCUCUCUUGUCUGUUAUUUCCCUCCCUUUUCUUCUUUCUCUCUUCCCUCUUCUUAAUCUUGUUUCUUUCUUCUGAUUCUUCCCCCAAAUUCAAUACAAUUCCAGAAAUUAACCUGCAGAUCUGACAAGGAGCCCUAUUCUAACCAAAUAACACACUACCAGGGUUAUUUUAGGUUAGCCCGCGUAUUCCCCUGACAUGAAUCCAAUCAUGCCAGUUAUCACUAUUUUGAAACAAUUAAACAAUUACGGAUUUAACGUCCCAAUUGACAAUAGAUUAUCAAAUUAACUAAUUAUCCGGAUCCAAAACAAUCAAUUAAUUAAAUAAUCAUAAGCACUGUAAUCAGGGAAUAUUUGAAUACCAAUAAAUAAAAAGAAAGGACAAAAUUAAAUCGAUUUCACAAUUUUUAAACGAACCACAACCUCAGUUGUUCCUCGGCUAGAUUGAGAAAAUUAGCUCAUGUUCGAUGCGAAAAAUCCACAAGAAAUUGUUAAGAGAGCCGCGGCCAUUGUCCCUUGAAAUUGGGGAAAUUCAAUUCGGUUGAACUACGAAAGAAAAGUAAGCUACAGAGAGUUGCCGAUUGGGUUUUGCUUGUCCCUAACAUGCGAGGGAGCAAAGCCACGAAAGGACGACAAAGGUCAAAAAGAAAGGCUACAGAGCAUGUUCCAGGUCUUUUUGUGCUCUCCACAUCCGAGCCAACGAAAAGAAAUAAAAAACUACCAGGAGCUAAAGGAAAACCGCAAGAAAAGUCAAAGGCUAAAAAAACUUCCUAGUGCUUGUUCUCUGCUUAUCUCUUUAUCUAAUUCUAAGUCCCCGAUUUUUUGCUCCGUGCGGCGGCUCCCCCGGAGAGAAAGGAUUGCAUCCGCUGCCCUCUUCCACCAAUUACCAAAAUGGGCACACCGCUUCUUUUUCAAAAAUGCUCCUGGAUAAACUCUAUCAUCUGGACUUUUUUUCUGUCAAAUUGACAUUUAUUAUUAUAUUUUCGUUCUACUCCCUGAAAUAAAUGUAAAAUAUUAAAAAUGAGUAGAAUCCGACAAUUAAUUCACAUCAGGUCAGAUAAUAAAGAAAAUUAAUAAUAAAAUAAAUAAAUAAAUUGCAACCUAUCAACCAAAUACAACAAUUUCAUGGAGUUUGAUACACAAGCCCAAAUACACGAGAGUGUGUAACCUGAAUUGUUACUUAUACAUUAGUGUGUAAUAGAACGGCAAGCAUUAUGGUGGUCAUUGAGCAACUUGUAGGAGAAAUAGUCCUAUAAGCUGUUCAAUGACCAAUCACAACUUGCUAAUUGGAUGACUAAUAUAGCUCUAGCUGUAAUGUUUUAAUUAAAUUCCAUCACUAACGUUGGGAUGACUUUUUAAUCAAAAAAAAAAAAGCCUUAGUUCAAGCUUUUCCCCUUAUUGUGCAUUUUUUAAAACAUUUGAUAGGCACUGCAAAUCUGUCAUUUUGGACAUUUUAUUAUUAACUAACAAUGAAAGCCGUGGACAUCAACCCAUAUCCAACAAAAUAUUAAAUUAAUAUUAGAAAAAAUUAUUAAGUAAUUGGAAAAAAAAAGAAGAGGCUAAUUUUCAUUGAAACCCACCGACAAACUAUACGCUGCUUUCAAUCAGUUUUAACACGGGAAAAAGAAAAGGCAUGAAAAGCAAAAUUUGUGGGGAUAAUUUCGGAAACCUCCCAUGAAGUUUUUGACUAUUUUACUGGCCUCCCUUCAGAUUUUAAAAAUUGGACUAAUCUUCCUUAAAGUUAAUUAUCUUGUAACAUUUAGAUCCGAUCAAUAAUUUAAAAAAUAAUAUUAUGAGAGAGAAAAUAAUAUGAUUUUAUUAUUGCCCCCAUCUCACCACAUUAUUUAAUUAAUUUAAUAGCAACCCACACAUUAAAGAAAAUGACAGGUCGUCAACCUGUGCAAUAAUAAAAUUAAACCUAAUUGCCAGUUAAAAUGACCAAAACCCAAUUCCAAGUACUGGAGCAGGGACUCUAGGUGUGCAAUGGGUUACUUGAUUCACCCUGUUCCCGAAGAGUUUGCUUGAUCCGAUAUACCCGAAUGGAAUGGUUAUUCCUUUUCACAAAUGAUUAGGAAUUUGUAGACAGGGCAAGUAGGGUCGUAUCCACAGAGACUGGGUAUAUUUGUUUCUUAAGAAAUCCAAAGUAACACAGGGGGUGAUUUUGUAGGAACGACGAUAAUUAAAUAAAUUCAAAUGAGAAAGUAAAAAUAAAUAAUUAACUAGAAAUUAAACCACAAUUUACUGAACUCAGGAUAACAAUAGUUAAAGGCCUCAAUUAAUUAAAAUAAGGAAACAAUCAAAAAUAAAAUAAAGUAGGUAAUUAAAAGUCAAAUGGCAAUCCACUACAAUCAAGGAAAUAUUAACUAAAGAUCUAGCCAAGAAAUAACUUCAGCAAUGGUUCACCUAAUCGAUCAUUGAUGCAAAGCAAUCCCAAUUAUUUACUAAUAAAUAGGUUAUAACUACCAAACAAGCGAUGGCAGUCAACCCCUCCUUACUGUGUCGGUGAUCAAGGUACGCCCGUUAAUCACUGCUCUAAUUGAGAAAUAAUCCUAGGUACGCCCGUAGAAUUUAAUUCCCCAACUGCCUUACGUAUUAGAGGAGCCCUAUUCUACCCAAAUAACACACUACCAGGGUUAUUUUAGAUUAGCCCGCGUAUCCCCCUGACACGAAUCUAAUCGUGCCAGUUGUCACUAAUUUGAGGUAAUUAAACAAUUACGGAUUCAAUACCCCAAUUGACAAUAGAUUAUCAAACCAAUGAAUUAUCCGGAUCCAAGACAAUCAACUAAUUAAAUAAUCAUAAGCACUGCAACCAAGGAAUAUGCGAAUACCAAUAAAUAAAGGAAAAGAUAAAAUUAAAUCGAUCUCACAAUUUACAGGUGACCCAAAGCAUCAGUCGUUUCUUGACUAGAACGAGGGGGUUAGCUCAUAUUGGAUGAACUAAGCCCGCGGGAAAUUCCAGCAAAAGUCACGGCCGUUGUAUGCAUUUCAAGAGCCGCAAUUCGUCAAACACUUGGAAAGCGAAUGUAAGGCACGGGUAACAAUUGAAACUUUCUAAUUGUUCCUAGCAUUCGUAAAGCAAAUUCACUCCAGAAGUACAGUGAGGAAAAGUCAAAGAAAGUGGGCUUCAAUUCCUUGCUCCUGACAUGCGUGGAGACAAGCCAAUGCAAGACUACAAUAAACUAACAAGGAAAAGUCAAGAAUUGGAGCUAAGCUCCCCUGCCAUGCGCAGGAAUCCCAAAAGUAAAAAGUAAAGCUUCAAAGAAAAGUCAACAAUUCUUCCUAAGCUACAGACGGAAGAUCCAGCACAAAAGCCAGCUCCCUUUUUGAUCCCUUUUUCCCCCUUCUUAUUGCGGCGGCUCACCAGGAGAGGAGAGCCCUCCGUCCGUCCUUUCUUCCGGAAAUUACCAAAAUGGGCAUGACAUCUUCUCUUCCAAAAGUGCCCCUGGGACAAGCUUUCUCAUCUGAAUUCUUUUUUUUUCCAAUUUGGCACCUGUUAUCAUAUUUAUAUUCUACUCCCUGAAAUAAACGUCAAAUACUAAAAGUGAGUAGAAUCCAGCAAAUAAAUCCACAUCAAGUCAGGUAAUAGGAGGAAUUAAUAAUAAAAUAAAUGAAUAAAUUGCACCCUAUCAAUUCCCUCCACACCUAAACCAUGCUUGUCCUCAAGCAUAAGAAAAGUAAACGAACACCAAAAUUCGACGAUAGCCAUUGCCCAAUCUCCUAUAUUGCCAAGACAUUCAAGAGAAAAACACAUAUCGAGCAUUGGUGAUUAGAAUCCCAGAAGCAUCCCCCCGGUUAGCCUCUAACCCCCAGAUUCCUUCAAUUUCCAACUUAACUACUCUAAGAAAGAGGAAUGGCACACAACAUUUAUCAGCUAGUGGUCCGAAUAUUCACACAAGUCUUCAUAUCCAAUCCAUAAACCGGCAAGCUUCCCUAUUAUUUAGUCUCUCUUUUUUUCCGUUUUUUUUCAUUUUCAUUCUUCCCCUCUUUUUUUUUUUUUUUUAAAGCAGUAGCAAUCAACACAAAAGACUUAGUCGUUAGCCGUCAGGGCCUUUUGAUGCGAACUCCAACAUUUUUAGAAGGAGGAGCCCGGUUACUCAGCUCCUACCGCUAUACGACCACGCACUCAUAUAAAAUACCACCUUUUGACGCGAGAAUCGACACUUUUAGGUGCCGAUCCCCGGUUACUCAGUAGUAACUUAAUAGCGGAGCACAGUCAAGCUUAUUCUCAGCCAAACAAUGCACAAACGCAAAAUAACAGCACUAACAAUCAAACAUAGGAGCAGCUCGCCUCAUUAUUGUCAAACAUGGAGAACUGGAGUCAAUAUUGGACCAGUUCACAUUAAAAGGCCAUAUUCAUUCCCUACGCCUAGAAAAGUUAACAAAGAAAUCGAAAGAGUCAAACAGUUAAAUAUUCACCAAGGGGAUAUUCAGGACCCAACCACACUAACCCGAUACAUUUUGUAUUUUAAAAACUUGGCAAAAGUAGAUUUGGAGUCAAUGAGUCCACAUCUCAAUUUUAGCCUUCACAUGAAAGGCAAUCACCAAGAAGAAAGAACGGAAAAAUAAGCAACUAGAAAUGAGACUACGAAAAACUACUAAAACUAAAAACUCACUUUUUUUCUUUUUCUCUUUUUUUUUCUUUUUGAAUUUUUUUUUCAUUUUUAUUUUUUUUUAUUUUUUUUAUUUUUUAAACAUUAACUAUAAACAUUAACUACUAAAAACUAAAAACUAAAACUACUAAAAACUAAAAACACUAAAAACUGCUAAAAUGAAAAGCUGAAAACUGAAAACUACUAAAAACGGAGCACACUAGCAUAACUUUAGAUCCCCCCCACACCUAUAGGACACAUUGUCCUCAAUGUGACAAAUAAGAACCAAAAGUGAAGCACAAGUGAGAGGGGAAUCAGCCAAACUUCCCUGAAAUCGGGUCACAGCGGAGGGCGAGGUGGAAAUGGAGGUGCAAAGCCUGUAUGCAUCAGGAACUGUGCCAAAUUCUGUGCUAUGCCGGCGACAUUGGCGUCGACGUUGGUCAUCCGGGCCUGCAAAUCCUGAACCAGCUCCCUGAGAUGCUGCCAAUCAUCGGUCCCAGGUGGUGGAGGUGGCGCAGAAGUAGAGGUAGACGGCCCAGCAGUGUCCGCGGCCGACCCAGGGAAUGAAGAUGGCCCUGCCCGGGCCGAAUGGUGUGCACCCGGGGCUCGAGGUGGUCCCGGACGGGUAAACUGGUGAAAACCAUCUGGCAGACGCUCGACGACCCCCAUUUUCUCUAAGCAAACUACGUCCAAGUGCUCCAUCUCAAAUGCCAAAUGGAGGUCGUGGUCAUCCAGGUUAAGAACUCCCAACUGGGUCGCCAAGUGAGUGAUGUAGGACCCAAGGAUCAGUGGUUUGUUCUUCUUGGUCAAGACCGUCUUGAACUGUGCGGCCAACCAACAUCCCAAGUUCACCUUGAUAUUGUUCUUCAUACUCCAGAGAAAGAAGAAUUCGGGCCGAGAGAGUAUACCGGAGCUGUCCUUGCGCCCCGAGUAGCUAUAAGCUAAGAAUCGCUGAACAUAGCGGGCGCUAGGGUCCUUAAGAAAGGAGCUCCUGGACCGGGAAGGAUCGUAGCGUUGCCUAUCGACGGACAUGUCCUCCCAUACAUCAUGGUAGUGGGAGAGGAAAGGCUCUACGUAGUCACAGGCACUCUCCGCAUACUCCCUAGUCUCAGCAUACUCUCUAGUGAUAAACCCAAAUGCCAGAUUGAAUUGAGUAAUGGAGAAAUUGAAUUCUCGACCCAUGAGCCGGAAAUGAAUGACAUUCGGUGUUUCACCCGUGUAUCUCGUAGGUAAUUCGAACUCAAAGGUGGAGUAAAACUCCCGGAUCAGCUCAACAAAAGCGGGACAAGAAAUAUGGAAAUAUGGGCGCCACCCAAUGGCUGUGAACAUUUGCUCAACCUCCUCCCGUAUACCCAGGGCAGUUAGAGAGAGUCUAUGACAAGACUUACAGGAUAUUAUACGCCUCUCGCAGACCUUAGCGUACCUCUGCCGAUCGGCGGGUCUGGUAAAUGUUAAGUGCCCCCCAAAAUGAACAGGUGCAUCUACCUGAGCACCCCUAUCCCUACCCAAACGGGUUCGAACACUAGAAGAGGAGGGUAGGUUGGUAGGUGAGUUGACAGGAAUAGAGGCUUGUGGAGGGGGUUGAGACUGAGAGGUCCUAGACCUAGAGGAGGAUUUCGGUCUCACCAUUCCCCCCAAAGUAAGUUCAAGGCAACAGAAAAUCCGACAAGUAUAGAAACCAGCAAUUGACAAAGCAAAAAUCUCCCAGUAGUAACCCAGCCAAUAGCAAACAAAAGAGUUCCAGCAAGUAAUCAACAAGCAAUUCAGAAAUAUCUCAACUAAAAUCUCAAGAGAAACCCCAGCGAGUUAUCCAGCAAUUCAAGCAAUAUCCCCAAGCAAUGUGGUGGUCAAAAUGUCAUCUCCAAAUUGAACAAAUAAUCAGAGCAUUGCAACACAUUGAAAAUCUCAAUAAACGGCUCCAGUUGGCCAAGAAAAAUUGCUAACUCAUACUCAGCAAUAGUAGUGCAGCAAAGGGACAGUAACCACGCAAUAAAAACACUUAGCUUGCACUCAAAUGGUCACCCCAAAUAACAACCCAGUAUGAAACCCGCAGGCAGAGUAUUCCUCAAACCGUUAGCCUAAACCCAGUCAACAACCACGGCCAGAAAUAACCCCAUAAAUAGUGCAAUGAGUAAUCCCCAGCAACAUAAUCAGGUGUAAUCAACUGGAGCAAGCAAUUUACAUGGCAUAGAAACCUCCCAAUCAAACAAGUGCAUUAUUCUAGCGCACCCCAAAAUUCCAAGAAAUGGCUCCAGUUGGCCAAUUAAUUUCACAAUGUCACCCAACUCAGGAGAAAUAGCAAUUCCACACAAAAAUAGUCAAACCAGUACCACUGGCGAAAAAUCUUUCAAAUAUGCACAAUUUGCUACCAAAUAUCACCGGCUAACACUGAAAAAUUGAGGGCAAGUGUCAAAUACCUCCACAGGGACUACCCCAGGCGGCAGACAGAGAAGCGGCGUUGAAGCUGGUGGUCGAGCGGGGCGGCGCUCGCGUCGGCGUGCGCAGCGGCGACGGCGCGCGAGGAUGGAGUUUCGGGAGGUUGCGUGCGGGCUUGGCUGAAGACGCGGCGCGCGCUAGGGCUUCGCUGCGGCAGGCGUGCAGCAGGGGAGAAGAAAGAAAAGAGAAAGAAAGAAAGAAAAAGAAAGGAAAGAAAGAACAGAAAAGAAGGAAAAGAAAAAGGAAUUUUUCUUUUUUUUCUUUUUCUUUAGGCUACGGUUUAGAGGACAAAUUUUUCUUCUUCUUGUUUUCUACUUUUUUAUUUUUUUAUUUUUUAGUUUUUAAUUUAUUACUAUUAUUAUCAUAUUUAAUUGAGGAAAAAAAAUGUUUUUUUUUAAAUCCCUACCUUUCCCACGAACGUGACGCGGGCACGUCAAGAGGGCAAGAGAGCUCCCAGAAGUUUCAGAAUUUUCUGAUCGUAAGCGUCCUGCACAUCACCACGCGGGCACGUCAUGAGGACAGGAGAGCUCCCAGAAGUUCAGAAUUUUCUGAUCGUGAGCGCCCUGCACGUCACCACGCGGGCACGUCAUGAGGCCAGGAGAGCUCCCAGAAGUUUGAAGUUUCUGAUUCCUGCCCGUCAUCACGCGGGCGCGUCAUGACUGAAGGUCACCUACAAAUCAGCAAAAACGAAAACUAACACCCAAAAUCAGUCAAAUUCAGGGAAAGCAGAUUUAAACUAUGCUACAAAACCAACAAACAAUUAAAAGAAAUAAUUAGGUUGCCUCCCAAUGAGCGCCUUUCUUUAAUGUCUUUGGCUAGACAUGGUAAAGUGUCACUGAUUAGGACACGGUGGUGCGUCAAGCCUUAUUGUCUCCACCUCUCUACCUGAAAAUCCUUCGUAAUAAUAUUUGAGACGGUGUCCAUUCACCACAAAUUUGUUGUCUGUCUUAGCACUCUGGAUCUCAACUGCACCAUAGGGAAAAACAUGAGUAACAAUGAAAGGUCCAAUCCAACGGGAACGUAGCUUACCUGGGAAUAGCUUGAGCCUGGAUUGGUACAGGAGGACCUUCUGACCAACUUCAAAUGUUUUUCUUGAAAUUUGUUGGUCAUGAAAUGCCCGGCUUUUCUCCUUAUAUAUCAAGGCGUUUUCGUAUGCUUCGUUCCGGAUCUCCUCCAAUUCUUGCAAAUCCAACUUCCGUUGAGCACCGGCCUCCUCUAAAUUCAUAUUGCAGUGCUUUAUCGCCCAAAAAGCCUUGUGCUCGAACUCCACUGGAAGGUGACACGGCUUCCCAAAUACCAACCUGUACGGUGACAUCCCAAUAGGAGUCUUGUACGCCGUCCGAUAGGCCCAGAGUGCGUCUUCCAACCUUUGGCUCCAGUCUUUUCUAUCAGGGCGCACCAUUUUCUCUAAAAUGGACUUAAUCUCCCGAUUCGACACCUCCGCUUGACCAUUGGUCUGAGGGUGGUAUGACGUUGAGACCCUGUGGAGUACACCAUACUUGCGAAACAACGCAGCUAUGGUUUUGUUGCAAAAGUACGUUCCCCUAUCACUGACAAUAGCUCUAGGCAUUCCAAACCGCACAAAGAUAUUAGACCUGAUAAAAUCUGCAACUACUCUCGAAUCAUUAGUUCGAGUGGCCUUAGCCUCCACCCAUUUAGACACAUAAUCAACUGCCAGCAAAAUAUAUAAAAAACCAAAUGAAGUAGGAAAAGGCCCCAUGAAAUCUAUACCCCAGACAUCAAAAAUUUCAACAAAAAUCAACGGGACCUGGGGCAUUUGAUCUCUACGGGCUAUAUUACCUACCAUUUGACAGCGAUCACAUGACUUACAAAACACAUAGGCAUCUCUAAACAAUGAAGGCCAAUAAAAUCCACUUUCUAAAACCUUAUGAGCAGUUCUCUUAGGUCCAAAAUGACCUCCACAGGCAAAAGUAUGACAAAAAGCUAAAAUUGAUUGAAAUUCCAUUUCACUUACACAUCUCCUCAUCACUUGAUCGGCACACCUCUUCCAUAGGUACGGGUCAUCCCAGAUAAAAUACUUGGCAUCGCUCUUCAAUUUAUCCCUCUUCGAUUUCGGCCAACCUGCAGGAAAAUUACCAGUUACCAAAUAAUUGACCAAAUCAGCAUACCAAGGCAACUGAGAAUUUAAGAAAAAUAGGUAUUCUUCGGGGAAUGCAUCCUUCAAUGGCUCGCUAUCCUCUUCAACUAGUAUGCGACUCAAAUGGUCCGCUACUAGAUUUUCUGAGCCUUUUUUGUCCCUUAUCUCCAAGUCAAAUUCCUGUAGGAGCAGUAUCCACCGUAUGAGCCUCGGUUUUGCAUCUUUCUUGGUCAUCAGGUACCUCAAUGCUGCAUGAUCAGAAAAUACAAUCACUUUAGCACCUAACAAGUAUGACCUAAAUUUUUCCAAAGCAAAAAUAACUGCCAGAAGCUCCUUCUCAGUGGUGGAAUAAUUCAACUGGGCUCCAUUCAAGGCCCGGGAUGCGUAAUAGAUGACAUGAGCCGCCUUGCCUAUUCUUUGCCCCAGUACAGCCCCAACAGCGUGAUCACUGGCAUCGCACAUGAUCUCAAAUGGCAAAUUCCAAUCGGGGGGUUGGAUGAUUGGGGGUGAAGUCAGCAAUUCCUUCAGCUUGUUAAAGGCUCUCUCACACUUAUCAUCAAAUUCGAAGGCUACAUCUUUUUGUAGGAGUUGGAACAACGGGGCUCCAAUCUUUGAAAAAUCCUUGAUGAACCUUCGAUAAAAACCUGCAUGUCCAAGAAAAGAGCGCACCUCCCGCACACUCGCGGGGUAAGGUAAUGCAGAAAUAAUGUCUAUUUUAGCCUUGUCAACUUCUAUGCCCUUAGACGAUACAAUAUGACCCAGGACUAUUCCGUGCUCAACCAUAAAAUGACAUUUUUCCCAAUUAAGCACAAGAUUAGUCUCUAUACACCUGAUCAGGAUUAAUUUCAGGUUAUCUAGACAAGUAUCAAAACUAUCACCAUACACACUGAAAUCAUCCAUGAAAACUUCUAUUAUUUUCUCAACAUACUCGGAAAAGAUGCUUACCAUACAUCUUUGGAAAGUCGCAGGUGCAUUGCACAACCCAAAUGGCAUUCGUCUGUAGGCAAAGGUCCCGAACGGGCACGUGAAGGUUGUCUUCUCUUGAUCCUCCGGGGCAAUUGCUAUCUGAAAGUAUCCUGAAAAUCCAUCCAAAAAGCAAUAAUAAGCCCUACCAGCUAAACGUUCAACCAUUUGGUCAAUGAAAGGGAGAGGGAAAUGGUCCUUUUUGGUGACGGCGUUUAGCCUACGGUAAUCUAUACAUUGCCUCCAUCCAGUGGGUUUGCGCACUGGCACGAGCUCACCAGUUUGGUUGGCCUCUACCGUCACUCCUGCAUUCUUUGGGACUACCUGGACCGGACUCACCCAAGGGCUAUCAGAUAUUGCAAAAAUGAUGCCCACAUCUAGCAAUUUUAGAAUCUCUUUCUUUACGACUUCCAUCAUGAGGGGAUUGAGCCUUCUUUGAGCCUGCCUAACAGGUUUGGCAUCGUCUUCCAGCCUAAUCCGGUGCAUACAAAUGGCCGGGCUGAUCCCCUUAAUGUCUGCGAUUGUCCAGCCUAUUGCCUCUUUAUGCUCCCGAAGGACCCGGAUCAAUUUCUCUUCCUGGGUCUUUGACAGUGCCGAUGAGAUAAUCACUGGGAGUGUCUCAUUAUCACCUAGGUAUGCGUAUUUCAGGUGCUCUGGUAGAGGUUUCAACUCCAGUACAGGUGCCUGCACCACAGAUGGCAAUACCCUCUGGUGAGCCUUGGGAGUAAAAAUAGGUAAGACUUCAUACCUUUUCGUGGUGGUCUGCAACGAGUGUAAUGCACCUAUUGUGCAUUUUAAAUCCUCGCUCCACUCCACCUCAGGAGUUGUCUCCAACUCGAGGUGCUUGGUUAAAGCCACCUCCAGCUCAUCCCUGCCAUCAGUUUCAAACACUUCCUGCACUACAGGGUCAAUAGCACUCACAGAAAAAACUGAGCUAAAGUUGGAGUUAGAGGGGUACUUCAUAGUAUCAAAAAUAUUAAAAUGCACAAUUUACCCAUCAAACUCCAUGGACAAGGUACCCUUAUUAACAUCAAUUUUCGUCUGCGCAGUGCUCAUAAAAGGUCUACCCAAUAACAAAGGUGAGGGAUCAGGGGAGUGAUCAUCAUCCAUAUCUAGUACAUAAAAAUCAGCUGGAAACACCAAAUCAUUAACCUUUACCAACACAUCUUCAAUCAACCCAUCAGGAUAUGCAUUAGUUCGGUCAGCUAAUUGAAUAAUUAUUCCAGUUUCUUUUAAUGGACCUAGUUUCAAAGAAGCAUAGAUAGAUUUAGGCAUGACAUUAAUUGAUGCUCCCAGAUCCAGCAUGGCCCUUCUGAUCACAGUAUUACCUAUCUUACAGGGAAUAGUAAACAUACCUGGGUCCCCGCACUUUGGUGGGAGCUUUCUCUGCAGGACCGCAGACACAUUUUCUCCAACUAUGACCCGUUCAUCUCCCCUCAACCGCCUUCGGUUGACACACAAGUCCCUUAGGAACUUGGCAUAUUUUGGUACUUGUUUGAUGGCGUCUAAGAGGGGGAUAUUUAUCUCAACCUUGCGAAAAACCUCCAAGAUCUCCUUCUCCUUAUCCUGCUUCUUCGAUUUUUCCAACCUGCUAGGAAAAGGAGGCGGGUUAGUUUUAACUGUAAUUAUUGGGUCAGGAAGUACCUCUGGAUCUGCACCAUUGCUGUCCUCCCUUUCGAGCUCAUUUUCGAUCUUCUCUUCAUCCUUGUCCUUGGGAAUCACAGGUUCAGGCCCCUGAAUUUCUUUCCCACUCCUUAGGAUCAUUGCGCUCACGUUCUUCGGAUUCAACUCCGGUUGAGAUGGCAGCUUCCCUUGGUUCUGGGACUCCCAACGGUUCAUUCUGGUGGCCAAUUGACCUAUCUGAUUCCUUAUGUCCUGCAUUUCGGAGUCCGUCUUUUGCUGAUUUUGCAUAAUAGCUGCCUCCGUCCUUUGCUGAUUCUGCGCCAUGGUUGUCAUCAUUUGUUUCAGCAUCUCAUCCGUAGAUGAACCAGAUUGAGGGAGCGGAGGUGGUCGGGGUUGGUAUUGCUGCUGGUACCCUGGUGGCUUAUUUGGCACAAAGUUAGACUGCCUGUUUGGCGUGAAGUUGGAUUGCCUAUUUCCACCAUAACUGAGGUUGGGAUGAUCUCUCCACCCGGGGUUGUAGGUGCUUGAGUAAGGGUCGUACUGCUUCCUUGGCGCGGGCGCGUGGUCAGCCAUGUUCACCUGUUCCGCAGUUUCUUCCUGAAUCAUUGGGCACAUGUCUGCAGAGUGACCUAUACCAGUGCAAAUCCCGCAUACCCUGGCUUGUGAUGCAUUUCUCACAGCCUAUUGCCUAACGAACGCAGUCAACUCAUUUAGCUGCUGCUGCACAGAGGGUGUCUCUAUCUCAUUCACCCUACGUAUUGGGACAUCCUAUCUUGUACUGAAUUGCUGUGAAUUCUCUGCCAUCCCCUCUAUUAACUCCCGUGCUUCCUGAGGGGUUUUGUUCACCAGUGCCCCUCCACUUGCAGCAUCAAUGAUGCUCCUGUCUCUAAAAAUGAGCCCCUCAUAGAAAUAUUGUAUGAUCAACUGCUCACUUAUUUGGUGAUGGGGGCACCUGCGCAACAAGCUCUUAUACCGUUCCCAAUACUCGUAAAGUGACUCCUCGGGAUGCUGCUUGAUCCCACAAAUUUCUUUCCUUAGACUCGCAGCCCUGGACGCAGGAAAAUAUUUAUCCAGAAAUUUUUUCUUCAAUUGGUCCCACGUGGUGAUGCUACCUGGUGACAGGUAGUACAGCCAGUCCUUCGCAGAAUCUUUCAAGGAGAAGGGGAAUGCCCUCAUUUUUAUCUGCUCUUCUGUGAUUCCCGGGGGUUUCAUACUGUUGCAAACGACAUCAAACUCCUGCAGAUGCUUAUACGGCUCUUCACCUGGUAAACCAUGAAAAGAGAGUAAAAGCUGAAUCAGACCAGAUUUUAGUUCAAAUGGAAUGUUGUCAUUUAAAGCUGGGAAAGUAAUGCAUAACGGCUGCUGAGUUAAAUCAGGAGCAGCCAACUCCCUUAAUGUUUAUGCAUUAGCCAUGGUGCCUUCCUGCUGGUCAGAGUCACUCGAAGUGUUACCAAACGAAUCUGUUGGUUCAACUUCUGACUCGGGUCUUUGAGAUGUAGCACUAGAGUGCUCUUCUCUGAGCUGUCUGGUUUCCUUUCUCGUUCUACGCGCGGUCUUCUCUACCUCAGGAUCAAAAACCAAAUCACCUGUGCGACAAGAUCGAGGCAUACACUAGAAGAAAACCAGAAAAUUAGGACAAAAUUGAAUUUAAGAAGAAACAAAUAAUAACGCCAGUCCCCGGCAACGGCGCCAAAAAUUGACAGGUCGUCAACCUGUGCAAUAAUAAAAUUAAACCUAAUUGCCAGUUAAAAUGACCAAAACCCAAUUCCAAGUACUGGAGCAGGGACUCUAGGUGUGCAAUGGGUUACUUGAUUCACCCUGUUCCCGAAGAGUUUGCUUGAUCCGAUAUACCCGAAUGGAAUGGUUAUUCCUUUUCACAAAUGAUUAGGAAUUUGUAGACAGGGCAAGUAGGGUCGUAUCCACAGAGACUGGGUAUAUUUGUUUCUUAAGAAAUCCAAAGUAACACAGGGGGUGAUUUUGUAGGAACGACGAUAAUUAAAUAAAUUCAAAUGAGAAAGUAAAAAUAAAUAAUUAACUAGAAAUUAAACCACAAUUUACUGAACUCAGGAUAACAAUAGUUAAAGGCCUCAAUUAAUUAAAAUAAGGAAACAAUCAAAAAUAAAAUAAAGUAGGUAAUUAAAAGUCAAAUGGCAAUCCACUACAAUCAAGGAAAUAUUAACUAAAGAUCUAGCCAAGAAAUAACUUCAGCAAUGGUUCACCUAAUCGAUCAUUGAUGCAAAGCAAUCCCAAUUAUUUACUAAUAAAUAGGUUAUAACUACCAAACAAGCGAUGGCAGUCAACCCCUCCUUACUGUGUCGGUGAUCAAGGUACGCCCGUUAAUCACUGCUCUAAUUGAGAAAUAAUCCUAGGUACGCCCGUAGAAUUUAAUUCCCCAACUGCCUUACGUAUUAGAGGAGCCCUAUUCUACCCAAAUAACACACUACCAGGGUUAUUUUAGAUUAGCCCGCGUAUCCCCCUGACACGAAUCUAAUCGUGCCAGUUGUCACUAAUUUGAGGUAAUUAAACAAUUACGGAUUCAAUACCCCAAUUGACAAUAGAUUAUCAAACCAAUGAAUUAUCCGGAUCCAAGACAAUCAACUAAUUAAAUAAUCAUAAGCACUGCAACCAAGGAAUAUGCGAAUACCAAUAAAUAAAGGAAAAGAUAAAAUUAAAUCGAUCUCACAAUUUACAGGUGAUCCAAAGCAUCAGUCGUUUCUUGACUAGAACGAGGGGGUUAGCUCAUAUUGGAUGAACUAAGCCCGCGGGAAAUUCCAGCAAAAGUCACGGCCGUUGUAUGCAUUUCAAGAGCCGCAAUUCGUCAAACACUUGGAAAGCGAAUGUAAGGCACGGGUAACAAUUGAAGCUUUCUAAUUGUUCCUAGCAUUCGUAAAGCAAAUUCACUCCAGAAGUACAGUGAGGAAAAGUCAAAGAAAGUGGGCUUCAAUUCCUUGCUCCUGACAUGCGUGGAGACAAGCCAAUGCAAGACUACAAUAAACUAACAAGGAAAAGUCAAGAAUUGGAGCUAAGCUCCCCUGCCAUGCGCAGGAAUCCGAAAAGUAAAAAGUAAAGCUUCAAAGAAAAGUCAACAAUUCUUCCUAAGCUACAGACGGAAGAUCCAGCACAAAAGCCAGCUCCCUUUUUUAUCCCUUUUUCCCCCUUCUUAUUGCGGCGGCUCACCAGGAGAGGAGAGCCCUCCGUCCGUCCUUUCUUCCGAAAAUUACCAAAAUGGGCAUGACAUCUUCUCUUCCAAAAGUGCCCCUGGGACAAGCUUUCUCAUCUGAAUUCUUUUUUUUUCCAAUUUGGCACCUGUUAUCAUAUUUAUAUUCUACUCCCUGAAAUAAACGUCAAAUACUAAAAGUGAGUAGAAUCCAGCAAAUAAAUCCACAUCAAGUCAGGUAAUAGGAGGAAUUAAUAAUAAAAUAAAUGAAUAAAUUGCACCCUAUCAGAAAAAUGCAAAAAUUUGUUAUUUAUCAUUAAGGAUCAUAUCGCAUAUAACAUCAAAAAAUAGUAUAUUAUUUAUAUCUUUCACUUAAUAUAAUAUCCAAAUUACUCUUUUCAGUUACAUACCCAUUGUUAGACAAAAUCAACAACAAAUAACCAAAAAAUUUGCAACCAAAAUAUUACCAAAAAAAUAAACUUUAACAUCAUAAAUAUUUUUAUCAACAUAUUAAAGUUAGUUAUUGAAAUUUUUAUGGUGUUAAACUUCACUCUUAGCAAUAUUUUGGUUACAGAUUUUUUUGAUUAUUUAUUGUUGAUCGUGUUUGACAAUGGAUUUGUAACUGAAAAGAAUAAUUUGAAUCUUACAUUAAGUGAAAUAUAUAAAAUAUUAUACUAUUUUUUAUGGCAUAUGUGAUUCUUUUUUUUUUUUUUAUCAGAACGGCAACAUUGUAUUAAUAGUAAACCAAUUACAGUAUAGGUGGGCAACCGCCCUCACAAUCUGCCUGGACUUGUUCCAGCAGCCAAACUGGGAAGUUUUCCUUCCAUUCAGUAUUUUGUUCCAAAGUAAUAGCUACUUUAGCUAGUUUAUGGCUAACAAAGUUGUUCACCCUAUUUGCAAAGGUAAAACAACAUUCAUCAAAUUUUAUUCAUGUACAAUUGUUGCUAUCACCACGUCCUCCUCCUCCUCCUCACUGCACACUACUUGACUACCACCCUUCGCCAACCUUGCUGUUGCAUGUGCAACUAUCAUGGCCUCUCUUAGCGCCUUUGCUUCUUCGACCUUUGGACUGGCACAGCUAAAAUUUGGAACAGCCCAGGCCCACCCGCAAUCUUCCCAACCAAUCCCUGGCCACCCUUUUCCCACCCAGCUUCUAUGGCAUGUGUGAUUCAAUCCUUCUUGAUAGGAUUGGUAAUAGAGGCAGAGGGGGGAGCCGGCUGCAUCCGGUCUACUUUUCAUAGAUAGUACAAUAUUGCGAAAUCGAUCGCAUUCACACAAGAAUAUUUCGAAGUCAUUGCAUCGCUAAGUUGCAAAAAAGUACAAACACUUGUUAUUAUAUAGCUUAAGAUUCAAAACUUUAGAGCACAACCCUCCACCUAACACAAUUGAAUAAUGAAUAUUCACGAUUGUCAAAUCUGUCAAAGCACAGUUUGAGGACAACCCAUUCCAACCUGCAAAAGAUUUUUGACUUUUUUAAAGUUGUUGAGAGCUGUAAAAAGACUUACCAUGCUUACAUCUUCCGAGCCUUGGGAGUUAAAAAUGAAGGCACUGAGUGCUAUAAAAAGGGGGCUAGAGGCUGCCUAGAAGCAUAUCAGCCUAAAACAAGAAUUUGUAGUUAUGAUGGGAAGCAAAGCAAAAGCAAUGGGGUCUGGGCUGACUCCUCUUCUUACCACUGUUUUAGUGGUAUUUGUUGCUCUUGGCUUGCCCUCAGAAACUGCAGCUGAUGAUCACUACAAGUAUUCAUCUCCUCCUCCUCCUUACCACUAUCCCUCACCACCACCUCCAGUGCAUUUACCUCCACCAGUGUACAAAUACAAGUCCCCACCACCACCUCAUCAUGUUUACAAGUACAAAUCUCCACCACCCCCACCACCACACCCAGUUUACAAGUAUAAGUCGCCACCACCACCUCCUCAUCCGGUAUACAAGUACAAGUCUCCUCCGCCACCUCCUCAUCCGGUACCACACCCAGUUUACAAGUAUAAGUCACCACCACCACCUCCUCAUCCGGUACCACACCCAGUUUACAAGUAUAAGUCUCCUCCGCCACCAGUUUACAAAUAUAAGUCUCCUCCACCACCACCUCCAGUGUACAAAUACAAGUCUCCACCACCACCAGUUUACCACUACAAGUCUCCACCACCUCCUCCCCCAGUUUACAAAUACAAGUCUCCACCACCACCACCACCAGUUUACCACUACAAGUCACCACCACCUCCUCCCCCAGUUUACAAAUACAAGUCUCCACCACCUCCUCACCACUACUAAGCAAUUGCUUCUGAGGUAAUAACACUUGUUCAAUAUACCCACUUCUGCAUGAUAAAGCAUAUCUCUAUCAACACAAACUGUCAUGUCUAUCAUGCUAAGUGCCUUCACUUCAUCCACCAAAAUGACUGCUAGAAAAUUUUUUUUAUGUUACCAAAGAAAGGCAUCAUUUUUUCCCUCUGUUAUCAAGAACUUGUACAGUAUAUAGAUUAAAGAGUAUUUUUUUAACUAGCUUAUCAACUGAGAAAUGCAUAUAGCUGAUAGCCAGCUGAAUAUUUGCAGGCAAAGGAGAAGGAAACCAGUGUUUGAGACCUUCUUGAAGAUGUAGAAGCAUAAGAAUUAAAGCCCAAUGUGAAGAUGAUGAUUUCAAGUUUUUCUACGUUACCAUUUCUUUAUCUAAAUUGGUUGUAGCGCCUUAGUUCCUUUGUUUAUGGGAUUUGUAUCGUUUUACGUACCAUGCAGUACAUGUCAUGUUUGUAAGGUUUUCUAUCCUGCCGGCAAACCGCAGGUUCCAUGUAAUAAAUCAAUACUAUUUAUAUUACGACACUUUUCUCUGUUUCUCUUAUAUUUUGUCGUCUUUAAUAUUCUUAAUCAUAUUUUUAACAAAAAUAUUCAAACACUUAGGCAAUCUGGUCUAAUGCUAAUUGUAUGUUUUACUUUUCUUUUUCACCUGCUCCCCUUUUCAACUCAAAAGGAUGCAAUAGUUUGUGAUCACUGUUGAAGACGGAAGCAUGAUACUAAUGAAUAUAUCAUUGAAACUCAAGGAAACUAACAUUAUGAAAAGUGUAAAUCUUGAUUUGAUGCAACUAUUUAUUCGUGGAAUCUAUAGUUACAAAACUCAAACUCUGACUGCGCCAUUGAUAAAUUAUUAAUGACGCUAUCAUCAUUAUUUAUCCCCAACUAGUUUCGACUACAACUGAACCCAAUAUUUUCCCCAUGAUAAAAGUUUUUUACUAUUUUACUGGCCUCUCUUCAAAUUUUAAAAAUUACACUAAUCUUCAUUGAGAUUAAUUAUCUUGUAGCAUUUAAGUCCAAUUAAUAAUUAAAAAAUAAUAUUAUGAGAGAGAAAAUAAUAUAAUUUUAUCAUUGCCCCCCAUCUUGCUAUAUUAUUUAAUUAAUUUAAUAGCAACCCACACAUUAAAGAAAAAUACUAAAAUUUGCUGCUUUUCAUUAAAGAUCAAAUUGCAUAUGCCAUAAAACAUAGUAUAUCAUUCUAUAUGUUUCACUUAAUGUAAGAUCCCAAUUGUUCUUUUCAAUUACAAACCCAUUGUCAAACAUGAUCAAUAACAAAUAACCAAAAAAUUUGCAACCAAAAUAUUACAAAAAAAAACUUUAACAUCAUAAAUAUUCUUACCACCUCUAGUGCAUUCACCCUCAUAAAAUAAUUCAAGACCCUACUGUCAUAAAAUGACUGAUCAACUCCUGUAAACCUAAUUUGACAACAUUUAAAUGGAGAACUUUAGCUAAAAGAAUUAUGGUCAAGCUAAAGAAAAAACCAGUUAUUUUCCAACAUAUGCAAUCAUUGAUCAGGGAAAAAAAAAAGAAGCAAAAAGACAUCUUCAAUCAUUUAAUAGCUUACAGGGCAAAUUAACCCCUAAGCGAAAACUGGUUGCUCUAGAAUCAAAAUUUUACUUUAGUUACCCAGGCAACUUUUUUUGUUGCCUUUUCUUUUUCUUUUUUGGGUAUAUAUAUAGCUCCAGUUUUGCCCCCUCUGUCAAGCUUAUAUAAUUAUUAAGAUAAUAAAAGUGCCUUUAAUAGUAUUAAUAUAUCCAUUGACUUGAGCUGUCAUCGAUCGGUUUGGGCUACUUCGAUUCCAUGAGAACAAAUGGUAAUAAAAGUACUCAGAAAAUGGGGAGUCAUGAAACCCUUUUGUUCUAUUCAUUGCUAAGAUGCUUUUCUCUAUAAAGACACUUCCUAACGAAAAUACUUUGUAGAUUUCUUUACUCCAAGUGGUGCAUGGAAAAUUAAUAUUUUCAAUUAUCAAAUAAAAUUCCCUUUUUUCGGUGUAGAUUUCAUCCAUUCAGCUGUUAACACUCCGAAUUGACUAAUCUUUUCGUUUCCAUUUUCCAACUUGCGAAUACGGCAUCUUACAUAUUGUCUGCUGAAUAUGAAUACAUAUCCCUUUUCUGAGCAGGUGCAGAGUCAUUAUCAUUUUUAUUCCCACCUAACAAAUUAGUUAAUAAUCUUUUAAAGAACAUGUUAAAUUAAUUUAUUGGUAUGAAUAGUAGUCAAAGAAGUAUGUUAAAGUUAGUAAUCUUUAAAAUAAUAUGUUAAAAUUAUUCGUACAAAUUAGCCAGAGAAGUAGCAUAAACACCGCGAUGCAAUUAAUACUUUCAAUCUCAAGGUCUCUAUUAUGGAAAUUUGCAUCGGUCAACAUACACAAAGCAUUAUUGUAUGCACGUCUCUCUAUUAUGGAAAUUUGCAUAGGUCAAUAUACACUUGGCAUAGUUGCAUGCACGUCCAAUUUUUUUUUAUUUUUAUUUUUGGUAUUUUACUUCCUGCCUUAAGUUGCCUGCAGAUGUUUGUAUUACAAAUAUAUGGUAUACUAAAUAUAUAGUAUGCACAUUAAUUUCUUUGGGUUGCUUAAGGGUAUAUUGUUAAUAAUAGGGGGUUUAACCAUAAAUUAUAACAAUGAUGAAGUAAUAUAUAUUAGAAAAUUAACACAAUUAUGAUUUUUUUUUUUGUAAAAUUCAAAUUUUAUUAAUAAGAAAUGAAAUAGGCAGUAAGCAUUUACAAACCGAAAACAAAAUCCUACAACAACUCUAGGACUCUACACCUUAUUAAAAAAAAACAUUUUGAUAGCGUUUUUCCAAAAGCAGAAGAUGGAAAAUUGCCCAUUUGUACUGGGGAGUUCGUGAUCUUUUCCUCAUUCUAGUCUACUUACAAUUCUUGGAAAAAGGAAUACUCACAUCUCAAACAACAGCCUGUUCAUCUGCAGUGUCCUGCCGAAUUCUAGAAAGUUUGGUGGCAAUGUUAAUUACAUUUCAAAAUUGACUGCUGCGAUAACUAAUUCGAUGGCUUACUACAUGGUCAACGUUUGGAUCUCUUCCUGUCCUUUUUGGAUGCACAUUUUUUUUCUCUAGGUAAUAUAUAAUCUCCCAACUCAUUUCUUUACAAAUGCACCUUUAAUCACCACCAAAAGGUGUGGACAUGAUCUUUACCCUAGAAAACUAUUCACCGACAGGCAAAUUGACGUCAGAAAUACUAAGAGGAAUUCUAGUUUCCUUCGGGUUAAUGCCAUUUUGUACCCUUCAACUGUAACUCAAUUUCUAAGCUGUAAUUUGUGACAUUAUAGUCCUUAAACUAUGAAACCCUUUCUUAUUUAAUUACAAUGGUUAAUACAAUGCCCGUGACUAGACAAGUAUGAAGCAACCAUAACAAAAAAAAAAUCCAAAAUUAGAGAAAAGAAAGAAGUUGCGACCAAAGUAUGUAUCAAGGCAUAGUAUAGAAAUAAAAGUGUCAAAAUUAAGAGUUUAGGGAUAAAAAAGAAUCAAAAUAUAGUUUAGGAAUUGAUUUGUCUCAAUUAGAGUUUAGAUGUCAACUAAGAAGAGAGAUAUAGUUGAAGGGUAGAAUAUAGAUAUAACAGUUCAAUGAUUGAUAUCAACGAGACAAUGACAACUUUGGAUUAUUACCAACCUCUUCUUGAUGGAAAAGGAAAUAGAGAAGAAAGUCGGGCCUGGUCUAAGCCUGUUUCGGAGGCAAAACAACAUUAUGAAAUCACCGGCAUUCACACAAAUAUGUCAAAGUCACCGGCAUGCUAAGUUGCAAAAUUUAUACAAACACUGAAUAUUAUAUUCUUCUCAAAAUUUUUGUUUAAGAUUUAACAAUUAGAGCACGGUACACGAAUUAGCAAUAUUAAAUAAUGAAUGUUCACGAUUGAUAAAGUUAUCAAAGUACAGUUUGAGGACAACCCAUUCCAACGUGUACAAGAUGUUUAGCCUUUGAAAAGUUAAUUAGAGAAGGUGACGAGAUUUUACUAGGCUUACAACUUCUAGGCCUUGGGAGUAAAAAGUGAAGACACUGAGUGCUAUAAAAAGGGGGCUAGAUGUUGCCUAGAAGCAUAUCAGCCUCGGACCACAUUUUGUAGCAAUGGGGAGCAAAGCAAAAGCAAUGGGGUCUAGGCUGACUCCUCUUUUUACCACCGUUUUAGUGGUAUUUGUUGCACUUGGCUUGCCUUCAGAAACUGCAGCUGAUUACGACAAGUAUUCACCUCCUCCUCCUCCUUACCAUUAUUACUCACCACCACCUCUUGUGCAUUCACCUCCACCACCGCCAGUUUAUAAGUCACCCCCACCACCUUAUCACUACUUCUCACCACCACCUCCAGUGUAUCCAUCUCCACCACCAUCUGUUUACAAGUCACCUCCACCACCUUCGCCAGUAUACAAGUCCCCACCACCACCUUAUCAAUAUUCCUCACCACCACCUCCAGUGCAUUCACCUCCACCACCACCGAUUUAUAAGUCACCUCCACCACCUCCUCCAGUUUACAAGUCCCCGCCACCACCUUACCAUUAUUCCGCACCAUCACCUCCAGUGCAUUCACCUCCACCACCACCGAUUUACAAGUCACCUCCACCACCUCCUCCAGUUUACAAGUCUCCAUCACCACCUUACCAUUAUUCCUCACCACCACCUCCAGUGCAUUCACCCCUACCACCACCGGUUUACAAGUCUCUGCCACCACCUUACCAUUAUUCCUCACCACCACCUCCUAUGCAUGCACCUCCACCACCAAUAUACAAGUCACCUCCACCACCUCCUCCAGUUUACAAGUCUCCACCACCACCUUACCAUUAUUCCUCACCACCACCUCCAGUGCAUUCACCCCUACCACCACCAGUUUACAAGUCUCCGCCACCACCUUACCAUUAUUCCUCACCACCACCUCCUGUGCAUGCACUGCCACCACCAAUUUACAAGUCACCUCCACCACCUCCUCCAGUUUACAAGUCCCCACCACCACCUUACCAUUAUUCCUCACCACUACCUCCAGUGCAUUCACCUCCACCACCACCGAUUUACAAGUCACCUUCACCACCUCCUCCAGUUUACAAGUCUUCACCACCACCUUACCAUUAUUCCUCACCACCACCACUCUUCAAUUUGGAUGUAAUUCAAUUUUCCUUGUAAUCGGUGGCCCUCCUUCGGAAUCCAAAUAGUCAUUGAGUGCAGCCUUCUUUCUUUAUUUUUUACUCAUUUUCACCUCAUAAAUUGCUUUCAUCCCCUAAAACUUGUUCGCUGGAAUUUUGAAUUUACCCAUACAACUAAACUCAGAAAAUUCUUACACAAAGGGAUUAGUAGCAUGAAUAGCAAACACAGAAUAAGAGAUAACAGUAUGUUUUAUUGUAUUAAAAAUAUUAAAGUGGAUUAUUUCUCCAUCGAAUUCCAUUGUGAGAGUAUCGUUACUAACAUCAAUCUUAGUUUGAGCAGUACUCAAGAAUGACCUUCCUAAUAUAAUGGGUGAUGGAUUUGGGACACUUUCAUCAUCCAUAUAAAACACAUAAAAAUCAACAGAAAAAAUUAAUCCAUCUACUUGAACUAAAAACAUCCUCAACUACCCCAUUUAGAUAAGCAAAUAUACGAUCAGCCAAUUGAAUUAUUAUCCCUAUUUCUUUUAAAUGUUCUAAAUUUAGGGAAUCAUAAAUUGAUUUAGACAUCACAUUAAUAGAAAUCUUUAAAUCUAUCAUGGCAUUUUUUAUAUUAGAAUGUCCAAUCUUACAUGAGAUAGUAAACAUACCUAGAUUCUCGCAUUUAGGUGGUAGUUUCCUUUGUAAAAUUGCUGAAACGUUCUCAUCUACCACAAUAUGCUUGUCCUCCUCAAUUUCUUCUUGUUGACACACAAGUUUUUCAAGCAUUUAACGUAUUUUGGAACUUAUUUGAUUUGCGUCCAACAAAGGGAUAUUGAUUGCCACCUUGCGAAAAUCUCUAAAAUCUCCUUUUCUUUAUCUUGUUUCUUUGAUUUCUCUAACCUGCUUGGAAAAGGUGGUGAGUUAGUUCCAACUCUAAUUAUAGAAUCAACAAUUACCUUUGGAUUCACAUUUCUCAUUCCUUCCUCCUCAAGCUCUUUGUCGAUUCGAUCUUCAUUUUUAUCCUUUGGAAUCACAACUUCGGAUCCCUGAAUUUUCUUCUCGCUCCUUAAGGUCAUUACACUUACAUUCUUCAGGUUCAGUUCAGGUUGAGACGACAAUUUUUCAUAGAUUUGGGAUUCCAGGCGGUUGAUUGCUAUUACCAUCUGACUCAUCUGACUCUGCAGUGCUUGCACCUGUCCCAAUUGAUUCCUCAUACUUUGCAAGUCAAAAUCCAUCUUUUGUUGAUUAGCAAUUAAUUGCUUCAUUAUCUCUUCUAUAGAUGGACUUGAGUUUGAAAGAGGUGGUGGCGGGCGAGACUGAUACUGUUAUUGAUACCCUUGCUAUCUAUUUGGUGCAAAAUCUGGCUACCUAUUUCCUCCAUAGCUGAGGUUGGGAUGAUCUCUCCAACCAAUAUUGUACGUAUUCGUGUACGAGUCGUAUGGUUUUCUUGGCACGGCGCGUGACCAGCCAUGUUCACUUGCUCCGUACUUUUCUCUUGAAUCAUUGAGCACAUCUCUGUAGAAUGACCCAUAGCAGUGCAGAUCCCACACAUCUUGACUCGUGAUGCAUUUCCUAUAGCUAAUUGCCUAACAAAGGAUGUUAAUUCGGUCAACUGCUGUUGGAUAGAAUAUGUUUCUACCUCAUUUACUUUGCGUGUUGGGGCAUCCUCCCUCGUACCAAACUGUUGCGAAUUUUCCGCCAUUCCUUCAACUAGCUCCCACGCUUCUCGAGAAGUCUUGUUCACCAAUGCCCUUCUACUUGCAGCAUCAAUUAUACUCCUGUCUCUAAAACGCAGCCCCUCGCAAAAAUAUUGGAUGAGCAAUUGCUCACUUAUUUGGUGUUGAGGGAACUUGAUGCAUAACUUCUUGAAUCGCUCCCAAUAAUCAUAAAGCGACUCUCCUGGAUGCUACUUGAUACCGUAUAUCUCCUUCCUUAGACUUGCAGCUCGAGAUGCAAGAAAAUAUUUGUCCAAGAACUUUUUCUUCAGCUGAUCCCACGUGGUGAUGCUACCUGGUGGUAGAUAGCACAGCCAGUCUUUUGCGGAGUCCUUCAAGGAGAAGGGAAAUGCCCUCAUUUUUAUCUAUUUUUCUGUAAUUCUCGGAGGUUUUAUGCUGUUGCAAACGACAUCAAACUCUUGCAAGUGCUUAUACGGUUCCUCACCUGGUAAACCAUAGAAAGAUGGCAAGAGAUGAAUUAGACCAGAUUUUAACUCAAAUGAAGUGUUAUCAUUUAAAAAUAGAAAAGUAACUGAGAUGCAGCACUGGAAUGUUCUUCUCGAAAUUGUCUGGUCUCUUUCUUUGUUCUACGCGUAGUCUUCUCUACCUUAGGAUCAAAAAUUAAUUUACCUGUACGAGAAGAACGAGGCAUACACUAGAAAAACACUAGAAAAUUAGAACAAAAAUGAACAUAAAAAGAAACAAAUAAACCAACGUCAGUCCCCAGCAACGGCGCUAAAAAUUGACAAGUUGUCGAUGCCUGUGCAAUAAUAAAAAUAAACCUAGUUACCAAUUAAAAUAAUCAGAGCCUAAUUCUGAGUACUAGAGCAGGGACUAUAGGUGUGCAAUGGGUUACUUGAUUCACCCUAUUCCUGAAGUUUGCUUAACCCGAUAUACCAGAAUGAGAUUGCUUAUUCAAAAGGAAUUAUUGAUUUGUAAACAGGGCAAGUAGGGUCGUAUCAUCAGGGAUUGAAAAAAUUUGUUUCUUUUCAAAUCCACAGUAACAAGGGGAUGUUUUUGUAUAAAUGAUAACAAUCUAAGGAGUGCAAAUAGAAAUAAAUAGAUAACUAGAAAUUAAAUGACAAUUCACUAAAAUUAGAGUAAUAAUAAUUAAAGGUCUAGCUAAGAAAUAACUUCAGCAAUGGUUCACCUAAUUGAUCAUCGACGCAAAGGCAAUUCCAAUUAUUUACUAAUAAAUAGGUUAUAACUGCAAAACAAGCAAUGACAGUCAACCCCUCCUUACUGUCGGUCGGUGAUUAAGGUACGCCCAAUCACUGCUCUAGUUGAGAAAUAAUUUUAGGGACGCUCGUAAGAUUUAAUUUUCCAAUUGCCUUACGUAUUAGAGGAGCCAUAAUCUAACCAAAUAACGCUACCAGGAUUAUUUUAAAUUAACCCGUGUAUUCCCUUGAUACAAAUUCAAUCAUGUCAGUUGUCACUAUUUCAAGGUAAUGAAACAAUUACGGAUUUAAUAUCCUAAUUGACAAUAGGUUACUAAAUCAAUUCACUAUUUCGAUCCAAGAUAAUCAAUCAAUUUAACAACUAAUAGCACUGCAAUCGGAGAAUAUGUAAAUACCAAUAAAUAAGAGGAAAAGAUAAAAUUAAAUCGAUCUCACAAUUUUUAAACAAAUCAAAGUAUCCGUUGUUUCUUGACUAGAAAAGAAAAUUUAGUUCAUUCCUAAUGUGAAAGACCCACGUGAGAAUUCAAAAAUAAUAUUCACGGAUAUUGUCUUGAUUCAAUAGAUUCAAUUGCGUUGGAAUAAGGAUAAAAAGCCAAACUAUAGAGAGUGAUUCAAUGUUUUGUUUCGUUUGCAUUUUUUCUACACAUAUGGAAGAAGAAAAACAACUAAAGGACGAAAAAAAAAAGUCAAAGAAAGGCACCCAAAGUAGUGCUUGGUCUCUACCAUCCUAUUUCCUAUCUAAUUACUACUUCCCUUCUGCGGCUGCCUAGAGGAAGAAAGAGAAAGCAGACUUCAGGUCUUGUUCCAUCUCCUCCCUUUUCGGCAAUUCCCCAAAAGUAGAAAAGUUCCUCCGUUUACCAAAAUGCCCCUGGAAUGAGGACUGCUACUUGAACUCAUUUUCUUGAUAACUGUCAAAUUAGCACUUGUUAUGGUAUUUGCGUCUACUUCCUGUAAUAAAUGUAAAUUGCCAAAAGUGAGUAAACUGAUAAUUAAUUUACAUCAGGUCAGGUAAUAGGAAAAAUUAAUUAUAAAAUAAAUGAUAAAAUUGCAACCUAUCACUUAGAAUAACCAGAAAUAAAACAAAACAAGAAAUGAAAGAAAUAAGAGGGUAGCAUAGACAUUUUGGAUUUUUCUGUUAAUUUGGAUGAUUUCCACCUACGGUCUAAUUUAAUCCAAAACACAAAUGGAUUAUGUGGAGAUUUUUAAACAAUGAGGGAGUAUCGUGACCGAAUCCCAAACCACAAAGGGGAUUUACUAUAUUUUACUCUUAAAUUUUGGUUUCAUCUCAUAGCAUACAAGAGUACUAUUUCACUGUCUGUCGACCAGGGAGGAGGGUUGGGUUGGGUGGUACGGGGGAGGGAGUCUAAGUAAGAGGUCUCAGGUUCGAAUCCUCCUGUUUAUACUAAAAAAAAAAAUUUACUAUCUGUCGACAAAGAUUUUCUAUGGUUGAUGUACCAUAGGAAAAAUCUGCCUAUACAAUUAUUUGGAAAAAUUAUCCAUCCAAACAUAGUCACGAUAGCAUUUUUUCAAAAACACUAGAUGCAAAAUUGUCCCCUUAAACGUGGAAAUUCAUGAUCUUUCCUCGACUAGUCUACUUGUCAAUUUUUGAAAAAAGAAUACUCACGCCAAAAACACGGCCUCUUCAUCUGCAGAAUUCUAAAAAGUUACGUAAACUCUAUAAACAAGUUGAUAGGUACAAUCGUACCCAAGAUCAAGUACAGAUAGUUGUACAUUCACUGCUGCAAUAACUAAUCUGAUGACUUACAAACACAUCAUGGUCAAUCGUUGAAUGGUAAUGAGUCUUUUGUUAUGCAUUAGUAUUAGUGUGUACACUCUAAUAGAUUGAUACUUAUACUCUUUAAAUUAUCAUAAUAAUACCCUUAAUUAACUUUAACCCUUAAAAAGAAUACGUGUUAAUACACGAGAGUGUGUAACCUGAAUUGUUACUUAUACAUUAGUGUGUAAUAGAACGGCAAGCAUUAUGGUGGUCAUUGAGCAACUUAUAGGAGAAAUAGUCCUAUAAGCUGUUCAAUGACCAAUCACAACUUGCUAAUUGGAUGACUAAUAUAGCUCUAGCUGUAAUGUUUUAAUUAAAUUCCACACUAACGUUGGGAUGACUUUUUAAUCAAAAAAAAAAAAGCCUUAGUUCAAGCUUUUCCCCUUAUUGUGCAUUUUUUAAAACAUUUGAUAGGCACUGCAAAUCUGUCAUUUUGGACAUUUUAUUAUUAACUAACAAUGAAAGCCGUGGACAUCAACCCAUAUCCAACAAAAUAUUAAAUUAAUAUUAGAAAAAUUAUUAAGUAAUUGGAAAAAAAAAAGAAGAGGCUAAUUUUCAUUGAAACCCACCGACAAACUAUCCGUGUCCAUAGCUUUUGAAUAGUGCAUUCAACGUUUAAUUGUAUGGUCCAGUUCAUUGCCGAUUACAUGGAGUAAAGAUUGUGCUCUUUCCUUUUUCACCCCUUUUGGAAUCGAUACUGUGGAGAAUUGGGUUUUUCCCUCCUUUUUUUCUUUUCUUUCCUUCUGUGCUUUGCAAAACAUACGUAAAAAUAUGAAAUCCGAAGCAUUCUUUAAUUGGGAUUAAGUAUUGUUGUUGAAAUUAAAAAGAAGAAAGAAAGAACAACAAAAAUCCCAAUCUGGGUUGAUUGUUGAGCUCUAGAUUGGCUGCAUCGUGCUUCCAUAGAAGUUCUCUUAGUGUGAUACGCUGCUUUCAAUCAGUUUUAAUAUUUAAGUAGAGUGCAAAAUAACUUUACUAUUUAAUGGGUUAUAAUGCACCAUUUGGUACCUCUCACCCACCUAUGAUUUGAUUUACUACUGGCAUGGUAAUGGACAGAGUUGGGGGAGCAGGAGGAGGGAGAUGGCGGUACCAGUCCGUCAACCACAGCACACCCUCCCUCGGACUUUGCGUGGUAGCGAAGUGGAGGCAGAUCGAGCACACAUGCACUAACGCCUUAAGUAUGUACAAUAUAUGUAUGCCAAAAGCAUAGCCAAGCCUACCAGCGCAUUUCAAUAAUAUAACCCGGAAAUUAAGGGCAUUGAAUUAAGUACGAUGAAUCAUAUUGGUGCACAAUUACAGUUUGAAGCUACCGAUUCGAGUAAAUUUAAGCGUAAGCACAAUCAAUCGCCAGUCAAAUGCUGAAAUAUGCAUAUGCAUGGAUGAAUGUAUGGGUUUCUUAGUUCCAGACCAAAGGCCAACAAUAAGGGAAGGAAGGACAGUUCUCAUUUUUAGCACGGACAAGGAGAUGAAGAAAAGUGUAUGUAGCUUGAGACAGAACAAUGGCAUGUGACCGCUCCUGAGACCACAUAACGUGGGGUGGGGAUGGGACGGCCAAGAAUGAAGAUGCCUGUCGGUCUCUCCGUGCUGCUACCAUAUGAAUCCCCCGUUAACCAAUUCAAGAUAAGCCUGAAGUUCUUUUCAUCCCCAAACCCUGUCCCAUCUGUGUAAAUCCAACAUCAUCAUUUACGACCUGCAACUCAGGUUAAGCAUGUUCUAUUGAGAUUCAGACACCACCCUUCAAAAGAUAUACUACUGUGAAACCAGCAGCUUAAUAUCAUUGUAUAAAAAAAAAAAAAAAAGAAAGAAGAAAAGACAUGAAAAGCAAAUUUUGUGGGGAUAAUUUCAAAAUCUCUCCUAAAGUUUUUUACUAUUUUACUGGCCUCCUUUCAAAUUUUAAAAAUUACACCAGUCUUCCUUGAGAUUAUUUAUCUUGUAACAUUGAGGUCCAAUCAAUAAUUAAAAAAUGAUAUUAUGAGAGAGAAAAAAAAUAAACUUUAACAUCAUAAAUAUUCUUAUCAACAUAUUAAAGUUAGUUACUGAAAUUUUUAUGGUGUUAAACUUCACUCUUUGUAAUAUUUUAGUUACAGAUUUUUUGAUUACUUGUUGUUGAUUUUUUUUUUUUUAGUGUAAACAGGAGGACUCGAACCUAAGACCUCUCACUUACACUCCCUCCCCCCGUACCACCCCAACCCAACCCAACCCUCCCCUCGUUGUUGAUCAUGUUUGACAAUGGAUUUGUAAUUGAAAAGAACAAUUUGGAUCUUACAUUGAGUGAAAUAUAUAGAAUGAUAUACUAUUUUUUAUGGCAUAUGUGAUUCAAUCCUUGAUGAUAAAAGCAAAUUCAAGUGUUUUCUUUAAUGUUUGUGCUGAUAUUAGAUUAAUUAAAUAAUUUAGUAGAUGAAGGAAAAUGGUGAAAUCAUAUUAUCUUCUCUUUCCUAAUAUCACUAUUUAAUUAUUGAUUGAACUUAGAUAUUACAAAUAAUAAAUCUCAAGGGAGAUUAGUAUAAUUUUCAAAUUUUGGAGAGAAGCUAAUGAAAUAGUCAAAAACCUUAAGGGAGGUUUACAAAAUUAUCCCAAAUUUGUGGGAAUUAGAAUAAUUGUACUGGACGGCACUGCCGCAACAGAGGGAAAGAGGAGGAGGUGCAGUUAACUUUUUGUUGUUUGAAAUCCUUGGUGAAAUAUUACAGAAAGACAGAUAAAACAGUUAGUACAUAGAUGUAUAUGACAGGGAAAAUGGUACGUCUGUUAAUCACAUUUGAAACACUUUCAUUGGUGAAUGACGAAAACUAUCAGGCUUGCCCAAUAGUUGAUCAUUGACCAAGACAAAUCUUGCCAUGCUAGAGGUACCAUCUUUUCGUACCUCUUUAGUGCACAGGACAUUCCUUUGUUUCAUCUAGCUAAUAAUCUACCAACUCAUUUCUUUGCAAAUGCACCUUUUAUGGUCACGUCUACGAAAGCUUUACAGGAUCUUUACCCAAAAAAUCAAUUCACCGACUCGCAUUUGAUGUCAAAAUUUCUUUACUUUACUCCAAGAUUGACUGUUAAUAAUAAUGCCACUUUGAAUUAUCACACCAUCCUUCUUGAUAGGAUUUGUGCUAGAGGUAGGGAGGGAGUCGCUGCAGCCGGUCUUCUCUUCAUAGACAGUACAAUAUUGCGAAAUCGAUCGCAUUCACGCAAUAUUAUAUUUCCAAGUCGUUGCAUGGGUAAGCUGCCAAAAAGUACGAACACAUGUUAUUAUAUAGCUUAAGAUUCAAAACUUUCGAGCAUAACCCUCCACCUAACACAAUUGAAUAAUGGAUAUUCACGAUUGUCAAAUCUGUCAAAGUACAGUUUGAGGACAACCCAUUCCAACCUGCAAAAGGUUUUUUUACUUUUCUAAAGUUGUUGAGAGCUGUUAAAAGAUUUACCAUGCUUACAUCUUCCGAGCCUUGGGAGUUAAAAAUGAAGGCACUGAGUGCUAUAAAAAGGGAAUAGAGGCUGCCUAGAAGCAUACCAGCCUAAAACAAGGAUUUGUAGUUAUGAUGGGAAGCAAAGCAAAAGCAAUGGGGUCUGGGCUGACUCCUCUUCUUGCCACUGUUUUAGUGGUGUUUGUUGCUCUUGGCUUGCCCUCAGAAACUGCAGCUGAUGAUCACUACAAGUAUUCAUCUCCUCCUCCUCCUUACACUAUCCCUCACCACCACCUCCAGUGCAUAUACCUCCACCUCAUCCUGUUUACAAGUACAAAUCUCCACCACCCCCACCACCACACCCAGUUUACAAGUAUAAGUCACCACCACCACCUCCUCAUCCGGUACCACACCCAGUUCCUCAUCCGGUGCCACACCCAGUUCCUCAUCCGGUGCCACACCCAGUUUACAAGUAUAAGUCACCACCACCACCUCCUCAUCCGGUACCACACCCAGUUCCUCAUCCGGUACCCACACCCAGUUUACAAGUAUAAGUCACACCACCACCUCCUCAUCCGGUACCACACCCAGUUUACAAGUAUAAGUCACCACCACCACCUCCUCAUCCGGUAUACAAGUAUAAGUCUCUCCGCCACCAACACCCAGUUUACAAGUAUAAGUCACCACCACCACCUCCUCAUCCGGUGCCACACCCAGUUUACCACUACAAGUCACCACCACCACCUCCUCAUCCGGUACCACACCAGUUUACCAUACAAGUCACCACCAAUCCUCACCCAGUUUACAAAUACGAGUCUCCACCACCUCCAGUUUAUAAGUACAAGUCACCACCACCUCCUCCACCAGUUUACAAGUAUAAAUCUCCUCCACCACCACCACCAGUUUACCACUACAAGUCUCCACCACCUCCUCCCCCAGUUUACAAAUACAAGUCUCCACCACCUCCUCACCACUACUAAGCAAUUGCUUCUGAGG